rnacentral:lncRNA from 1 species
GGGAAUGGAGGUCGCUGGGUGCCUGUAUAUAUAGACAAAGGUUAGGCAUAUGCUAUGCUGGAAAUAAACUCAUUGUUAUGCACUUCAAUUUCCAUUUCCAUUUCAUUGAUCAUUAUCUUUUAUCUGUUUCAGGAAUAAGUAUUCUGGACAUCAACAAGUGCUUGUGUCUGGUGCCUCUAGAAUCGAGCAGUAGCGAUGUCAGUCUAUGGUUAUGUCUAGCUUAAAUGGUCAGGAGACCGAAGUCUUUUGCAAUAGACCUCUGUCUUGUGCCCCCAGACUAUAUUAUAUCUAUAUAUGAAACCAGUAUGUGAUGGGAACUCUUAUUUUGUAUUCCUGUUUCUACCUUAUUGUAAUUGCUACAAGUGGCUGUAAACCUUUUAACUUUGAAGCCAGUGUUUGGUAUGUCGUGCUUAUUUUCUUCAAUACGCUAGUUCAUCAUUUGCUGCCAUACUGAAAGUCUUUUGGAGUAUCCUGCCAUGGUUGUUAGUGUAAGUGACAUGGCAUAAAUAUAUGGUAUCAUACUGGGCCAGAAUCCUCCAAAGUUUAUCAAAGUAUACCUUUACUUGUAACAGUGUUCUAGCACAAGUUGCAGAUACCGAGGCCGAAGACUAGGCGUGUGAAUCAAAUGACCCGACGUCUAAGCUUUGUUGAACUAAGGGAAAGUCUAGGAUAACUGCUAUGCAGCGAAUCAGUUCCUCUCCCAAAAUCAUACUAAGUGCUUCAGAUGUCCAGAUCAUUGCUUCCGAGGGGUAUCCAACACAUUUGCCGAAAUAGUCCCGCGACCCAGAGAUUUCACCAGAAACUUCAGGGUUUGCUACAGCGGUUCUGAUCUCAGAUUUGGUAAGAUUCAGAAAUAAAGCAGCAUCCACUGCAUUCUCCGAUGCCUCCCUUGCCUAGUCCUGCUGUGAGAACUCGAAAGGUAAUAUUGGAGAAAUAAACCUCAAGUCAGCUAGCUUUUCAGAAAUGUUAAGUCAAGCAUCCCUUUCCCCUCUUUAUUGGAAGAGGAGUAAUGGACCAUUGGACAAUAUCUGACCUGGUCUCACAAUCGCACAGAGCUUGAAUGCUUGAUCAUGUUGUACUCGUCUGAUGAAGACCACCUCUUGUUUGAUUGUGACUUGUACUAAACUGCACAACCCGGAAUUGCUUGGUCAAGGCAUUUUUGGGUUGUUGGGAUCAACUCCCCACAUGGAAUGGGUCAAUCACUGUCCCCUCACUAAUAAAACUUCUAAAUAGCCAGUGUUAGGAUGUUAUGCUUAGUUUUCCUAAUACGCUAGUUCAUCAUUUUUCGCAAUGUUGGGGGUUUGUUGGAGUAUCUUGCGAUGGUUGUAGGGUUAGUGACGUGGCAUAAACAUAGGGUAUCAUAUUGGGCCCACAUCCUCCUUCAAAAUCUCUCAAAAUAAAGUUUUACUUGUAACAAUGUUCUAGCACAAGUUUUUUUUUUAAACGGAGGCAAAGAUUGCCUCGUCUAUUAAUUAAGCAGAAGAGAAUUGCCCAGUUAAUUAUGAAAAACCGGGCAAAAACCGGAACAACAAGGGCCGAGCCCACUCCCAUAGACUGAAACACACAGGGCAAAGCCCACCCUUCUCGACGACAUGUCGACCUGCGGACAGACAACGCAGCUCCGAUUCUGACGGAGAACUCAGAAGAACGAAACCAGGCACGGCUGGCGCCAUGGAAGAUCGCUGAAAGGACACCUGGAACCGGUCAUCGUAUACCACAGGGCCUCGCCGCCGCAGCUUCGACUCCACAACAACAAACAAACCGAGGCAAUAUCGUGGACACGCCGGAGAAGAGCCGACUAUCGCAACCAUUGCCGCAUCACUGACAUCGCUCCCACCAUCAUCGUUGCCAUAGAAGUCUGGACGCCACAGUGAUUUUCUCGGGGCCGCCGCCCCGACAUCCACCGCUCCGUCGCGCCCAGCGCAAUCAACCGGCACCACCUUCCGGGGCCGCCGCCCCGACGUACCACCGCUCCGCUCGAGCAGCAACGCUGCGCGACCCAGCUGCCCACAGCCCAUGCUGCUCAGGGCAACCGCUCGCAGACCACGAAUGUCGCACCACAUCCGGGGCCGCUGCCCCGACGCAAAGUCAGACCGCCCCCUCUGGAACGCGUCGACCGGACCGACAAGCCUGCCACCCAAGUGGCCCAAGAUUGCCACCCAAGUGAAGGCCGAGCCACUGCCCCGCCCCAUGGAGCCGCACCGCGCAUCACUUUUCGAGGCCGCCGCCUCGGCGUUCAUCAGCCGUCCGGGGCCGCUGCCCCGGCAUCCACCAAACCCGACGUAGGAGAAAACCAAACGCACCAAGCACAAGCUAACUCUCCCAAGCAACGCCCCCAAGAGGGAAACGAUGAAGACGUCGCCGUCGCCCGCUCCGGAAAAUCUGGAGCUUAGGUUUUCACCCGGAGAGCCCGAGCCCCACAUAGAAGAAGAUGAGUUCCACAACGACGCCUCCAAGAAGGGAAACGACGCCCGAAAGCGCCGCCGUCAACGGCACCGACAAAGUCGGGUCAAGGCUUUCGCCCGGAACACACACAUCCCUAUGGAGGCCCGCAGAUCUGAUCCACCCAGAAGCAUGGAGAUCAUUGGAGCCGUUCCUGUUGCGCCUUGCACUCUCCAACGCCGACCACCAAGCUUCACCGCGCACCACCCUCAGCAGCAGCACCUCAAGCUGUGAAUGAGAAGCGAGCGCACACGACACCAUGGCCAAAACGCCAUGGCUUCCAGCCCGGGGCCACCGCCCCGGCUUCCUCCUCGCGUCACGCCCGCCUGACGAGCUUCCCUGCCCGGCGCCUCCCGAGCCGAACCACGUCCCGCCCACGCGCCCGACUUGCGCCGCGCACAACGCACGCACCGCGCGAGACGCCCGCCCGCACGCAUCCGCGCCUCCCCUUGACGGCGCCCCUGCUGGAGCGCCAGAUCCCGCGCCCNNNNNNNNNNNNNNNNNNNNNNNNNNNNNNNNNNNNNNNNNNNNNNNNNNNNNNNNNNNNNNNNNNNNNNNNNNNNNNNNNNNNNNNNNNNNNNNNNNNNNNNNNNNNNNNNNNNNNNNNNNNNNNNNNNNNNNNNNNNNNNNNNNNNNNNNNNNNNNNNNNNNNNNNNNNNNNNNNNNNNNNNNNNNNNNNNNNNNNNNNNNNNNNNNNNNNNNNNNNNNNNNNNNNNNNNNNNNNNNNNNNNNNNNNNNNNNNNNNNNNNNNNNNNNNNNNNNNNNNNNNNNNNNNNNNNNNNNNNNNNNNNNNNNNNNNNNNNNNNNNNNNNNNNNNNNNNNNNNNNNNNNNNNNNNNNNNNNNNNNNNNNNNNNNNNNNNNNNNNNNNNNNNNNNNNNNNNNNNNNNNNNNNNNNNNNNNNNNNNNNNNNNNNNNNNNNNNNNNNNNNNNNNNNNNNNNNNNNNNNNNNNNNNNNNNNNNNNNNNNNNNNNNNNNNNNNNNNNNNNNNNNNNNNNNNNNNNNNNNNNNNNNGGGGUGUGGAGGGAGGAGGGAAGGUGGCGGCGCCGGAGUGGUUCCCCCCGUGCCGCCAGGGAGAGGCGACGCGGAGGUCAGGCUUCUCCACCAGCACAAGUUGCAGACAGUGGCUUAGGAGAACAACUUGUGGCUCAAGUGGUAUUGGCCUAGUUUGCUGUUUUAUGCAUAUAAAAUUAUAAAUCAUGUGUUCAUGUGGAAAGUGGAGACUGCCAAUCAUUGGUCUUUCAAUUGCACCGAACUCUACUUCCCUUUUUCCAUUGUGACCUAACAAAAUCCUGUUUUUGUUAAGUGAAAUAUUGGCCACUCUUGGAUUUUGAACUAAGGACUAGACCGUAGAGAUUGUUGUAAGAAAAAGAGUGCGCGACUGUAGAAACUUUGUGUUGUAUUAAAAGGAAAUGAGAAAUCUCAUGAUUUAUAUUGAUAUAUAUGUUUUGAACUUUUCUAUAUCCAUUGGUCAUACGCUCAAGUUACUCUUUUGUUCCCUUUAAGUAGGAGUACCCAAGUGGAGAUUCGUUUCACGGUUUGACAAAUGUUUUUUUCGACAAAGCGUGUUUUUUAUUGACUCAAAAUUUAGAGCAUCGAGAGAUACAAUUAUAGAAGUACACACCCGGCAUCUGUAUAAUUAGGAUGCACACAACCAACACUAACACACACAUAAAAAAUCAAGUCGGCAAAUAGCUAAGUCAUCAAGACUGAAGCUAUGCCCAGGCAAGAAACAAAAAAAAAAACCCCGAAAGCGAUAAAGACAAUGAUUGACAACAUACAUAAGUGACCAUCGACACCAAACCAUCUCUUACAACACAAGGGCUAUGAGGAAGGUUCUUCAAAAGCGACACCUCUAGGAAGAGAACGACGUGCAAGCGCCACCAAACAAUGACUUCAUCAAGGUAAUGACGUUGAGAACAUCGCCAUUGCUAGGUAUAACCAAACAGUCAGACCUAGGGUUUUCACUCUAGAUCUCCGGACCAGGUACCAAAAAGUACAACCUAAUCAAAGCCAUCAUAUGUUGUCUCCUCCACUUGCCUCGAUCCCAACAGCUGAAUAUAUAUAUACACACCGUCCUGAUGGUAGGCUAAUGAGCCAGGGCAAGGGCUGUUCAACACAACCCGGUGAAGUCUUUGUUGGGGAGUGUCGCUGUACUAGAGUAGGGGUACCCUAUUACCCCGAACUCGUGCACGGGCAGUUGCAGCACCCCGCGGCAAGGCUUGCCGGGUGACCGCCAGGACCCUCCGUGGUUCCCUUGAAGACCAUUCAAGAACAAAGUACUCAAACCAAGGCCCCGGCAAGAGGAGCUUGCCGGGAAGGCCAACCAAGGCCCCGGCAAGAGGAGCUUGCCGGGAAGGCCAACCAAGGCCGCGGCAAGAGGAUCUUGCCGGGAAGAGACAAGACCCCGGCAAGAGGAGCUUGCCGGGAAGGCCACUCAAGGCAUACCAAGAAAGCUUGCCGCGACGCGCCCUGCAUCCCGGCAAGAUCCGGCGAGCGACAAGCUUCCGGACGCGACAAGACGACGGCCGCGGCAAGGAGUUUGCCGCGGGAAACCCCCACUUCGUGCCUGCGCUCCAGCACACCUGCUAACGUGUCGCUCUAGGGCUCUCCCAAGCACACGUGGCAGGAGGCCGUGCAGCUAAGGGUACGUGGUGGCAAGCAGAGAUGAAGAGAAGCCCAUCGUGGCAAACGGUGGCGCUCCUAACGGUCACCUUUUGCACUGUUUAGGAGACUCAGACAGGCAUUUAAUACCCUUGUCCCCUGCCGUCAGAGUUAGGUAGGGCGCACUAUAUCCACAGUAAGCGGUAGCUGCACCUACCGCAUCCUUUUCCAUUUUUACCCUUCUAGUCUACGUUGCCACCUGUGGGUAACCCCUUGAAAGUAUAAAAGGAGGCCCAAGCGCAACGAAGAAGGGGUUCCGGAGGUUCGGCCAGUUCGGCUCAUUCAACACCAGGAACACUCUCACGCUCAGUCUGGCAGCGUCCAUCGCUCCUGAGCAAGAAUCCAAUAUACACAAACAAGCAGCAGUAGGGUUUUACGCAUCCGUGCGGCCCGAAGCUGGGUAAAAUCGCCCGCGUGUACUGCCUCGAUCCGCUCUUUGUGCGCUCUCCGCCCCCCACCGAACCGAAAGGGGCCCUGUCCCCAUAGGUGUUGGUGGAAUCAGCAUCGCCCCCGACAUCUUUGGCGCGCCAGGUAGGGGGCGUCGAGAUCGUGCGAAUCCGAUCCGGCGUGCACGCAAGCUAAAUCUUCAUCGUCAUGGCUCCCAAGGAGCGGACGAGCAAAAGAACGACGCCAGUGCGGCAACAGAAAAAGCUAAGUCAUGCAAAACUUUAGAUAUUUCCUUUCUAUAUAAGGUUAUCCGCCUCGGAGAUCUUGUUCUUUGUACGGAAAACCUGUGCGCGGAGGAAUCAACUCGUGGCUAGUUGCGCCCUUACUUUGUUUCGAGUCCGCUCAACAGCUUAAGUGAGCUGCUAGCGCCCUUACUUUGCUUCGAGUCCGCUCAACAACUUAAGUGAGCCGCUAGCGCCCUUACUUUGUUUCGAAUCCGCUCAACAACUUAAGCGAGCUGCAACUAGUUGCGACAAGAUUGCUUGUCGAUAGCGACCCCGCCAGCAGGCUGCUGAAGUUCCGCACUCGGCGCUCGCGGCAAGGGUGCCUGCACCGGCAAGUUUCCCUAGAAAGCGUAGGGUGAACGUACAAAGAGAGGUUCAACAGGAAGAUAGCAUGCGCUAUUUAUUUGAGAUUUCUGCAUAGACCUGUAUGCCGAGGAGCCUUCUCGGGGCUAGUUGCGCCCCAUGUUGCCUCGAGUCCGCUCGGCAAUUUGUGCGGUUGCGCUAGCACCAAGAAGGUAAACCUUUCCGGGAGGCGAUGUUCCCGAAUAGCUGCUAAGGGCCCUUUCCCUCAAGCGCUACUGGCUGGAUCGUACGCACCAAAAAGCAUUCCAGCAGGCAUAGGGAAUAUGCAGCAAAAGUCGAAAUUCGCAAGCGAGUUAAGUGCACUUCGGAUGCUAAUCACUUGUCAUCUUUAAAUGCAGUCAUGGCUCGGGGGCUGGCAACGCCCCUAGGGCCAACCUUUCCGGCAACGAUCUUGCCGGGAGCCGGCGUCAAGAACGACGAAGUUCUUCGCCAUAAGCCUUUCCGGCAACGAUCUUGCCGGGAGCCGGCGUCAAGAACGACGAAGAUCUUCGCCAUAAGCCUUUCCGGCAACGAUCUUGCCGGGAGCCGGCGUCAAGAACGACGAAGUUCUUCGCCAUAAGCCUUUCCGGCAACGAUCUUGCCGGGAGCCGGUGUCAAGAACAACGAAGUUCUUCGCCAAAAGCCUUCCUGGCGACCAGCUUGCCGGAAGUCGGCAUCGAGAACGUCAAAGUUCUCUGCUGAAGAUAAAAGCCUUCCUGGCAACAAACUUGCCGGAAGCCGGCAUCGAGAACGUCAAAGUUCUCUGCUGAAGAUAAAAGCCUUCCUGGCAACAAACUUGCCGGAAGCCGGCAUCGAGAAUGUCAAAGUUCUCUGCUGAAGAUAAAAGCCUUCCUGGCAACAAACUUGCCGGAAGCCGGCAUCGAGAACGUCAAAGUUCUCUGCUGAAGAUAAAAGCCGUCCUGGCGACCAGCUUGCCGGAAGCCGGCAUCGAGAACGUCAAAGUUCUCUGCUGAAGAUAAAAGCCUUCCUGGCAACAAACUUGCCGGAAGCCGGCAUCGAGAACGUCAAAGUUCUCUGCUGAAGAUAAAAGCCUUCCUGGCAACGAGCUUGCCGGAAGCCGGCAUCGAGAACGUCAAAGUUCUCUGCUGAAGAUAAAAGCCUUCCUGGCAACGAGCUUGCCGGAAGCCGGCAUCGAGAACGACAAAGUUCUCUGCUGAAGAUAAAAGCCUUCCAGGCAAGCCAAUAUCGCUGGGGGCUGUGAGUGCCAAGAAUCGCCCACGGCAAACCAGAGUUGCCGAGGGCUGCAAUAUCAGAUAAGUCUUUCAUCCCUCAUCAUGCAUUCUCUUACGGACUGGGGAACGCGAAACCAUGUUCCUUCCCGGAAACUGCCGUGCUCCCUCGACUCUAGGCCCUGGGGCUCGUUCUCGGGGCCAAGUUUGGUCGUAGUCGUGGCAGCAAAGGGAUGAAACGAGGAGACCGCACCCACCUCGUUCCUGCCUCCGUCAAAAGCGUGAGAAAGGUCGAGCGACGUGGGAAGGUGGCAGGGUCUGUUCCCGGGAGAUGAAAUGUCUGUCUGAGGGAUACCAAGGAUUCGCUCCUUGGCGUGGGUUUAGCUCACGAGACAAAUAACCCGGCAAGCAUCCCCUUUUCAUUAAAAAAAACAUCCCACUCAGGUACAGUCCAUAGAGGAUGAAAAACAUGAAAGAGAGGAUUACAAGUUCAAGAUACAGCUAAGGCCCGAAGGCUUACAAAUUAAAAAGAUAAGAUGCCCGUAAUCCCUUUCCUGUCCCUCUUUUUAGGAGGCAGGUCAAGGAGGCGAAAAGGGCAAAAGGAGUGCCUAGGAGAACUACAGGUGCCAGAAGACACCAAGGGAACAUCCCGGGGGCCGUCCGAAGGCUGGACGGCGACGGCGGCGCUGGAAGCGGGGCUCGAAGACGGGGCGGCAGGACGUCAGCACGCUGUCGAGGGCACCACGCCCUCGUACUCCGACCUGACGGCCUUGUCGCCAGCCCUCUUCCCCUUCUGCAGCCUCCCUACGCCAGCCGCCCAAGGAGACGACCCCGGGGAGUUCAAGAAGCCGGCGACGCGGAUGAUGGGGUCGCCGGUGCCGCGCAAAGCGGCGUCCGACGCCUAGUCGGACCCGCCGCUCCGCCACCCGCUGCCCUCAUCGUCGCUGUCGCUCCCCUCCUCGUCACUCUCGCUCGAGGAGGAGCCUUCGCUGUCGGAGGAGCUGUCCACGCAGCACUUCGCCCGAGUGCCGAAGCACCCGAAGGCCUUGACGGAGAGGAGAUCGCCCUCCAUCAACUUAAAAUGGAGGGUAAACCCCUCCGUCAAGCUGUGGAUGCGGGCGAACGUCUUCCACCCUCGAUCAAGAUACAUCACAUUAGGGGCUGGGAAUGCAACGCGGACUCGCGUGCCGCUAAUCCCACAGCCCCUCAUGUGCAGUCUCAGCGUCUCGGGCGGGUCCACUUCCAUCGCACGCACAAACGGAGCUGGAAGCCGGAGGCGACGACGAGGCGCCCGGCGCAGCCUGACGAAGAACUUGCAAGGGUCGUCCCCUAUAUGGACCGCCGUGGGGGGAGGAGCCGCCGGCGGAGGUGAAGCUGACGCGCCGCCCCGUCCGCCUCUUCCCCGAGCGCCUCGACCUCGUCCUCGACCUCGUCCGCGACCUCGCCCCCUCCCUCUUCCCCUUAUGGCUGGCUCUGCCACCACGGGCGCGGAAGAGGGAGAGAUGCGCUGUCUGGCGGCGACCCUCGCCGCCACCGAUGAAGGGCCUGGGUUCCCUUUCUCCAUGGCAGAUGCGAGAAAGGGGAGCAGAAGCUGAAGAAAGGAGAAGAUGAGAGAGUGCAGGUUUCUGUGCUCCCAUCCCGCUCUUUAUAAAGGAGCGAGGUGGGGGCUCGGCCGCCCCGCUCAGCGAAUCAAGGCACGGGAAGGGCAGGGAGUCAGGGCCAACCCGCUCGCGACGGGCCAGUUUCCCACUCCACCGUCCGUGACCCCAAGCGCAUGGGAGCCGCGUGGCGGGGAUGCAGAACCAAGGUGACGGAUGAGGCGGCCUCGCUCCGUCCCGUGAACACGGGGAGUGGACGUCCCAAAAACCGCGCACCGGCCCCGUCCAGUAAAUGCACCACGCCCCCACACCUACCUCCAUUUAGGGAGGAGGGCGUGAACCGUCCCCAUCAUCAUGGCCUGACGCAUACUCGGGAGGCUUAGCCCCACGCACGCCACCCACGAUCUCACCCACGACGCCGCAUUUGACGCGUGCCGUUCUGGGCGUGCGCGGUGGGAGCGGAGAGAUAUGCGGUGUGACCUAGGCCGCACGUGCCCGUGCACUGUUUUGGGCCUGGCCCAACAGCGCUCGGCACCGUGUAUGGCCCAGGCCCGGGGGCUCCUGUCGGUGUACUAGAGUAGGGGUACCCUAUUACCCCGAACUCGUGCACGUGCAGUUGCAGCGCCUCGCGGCAAGGCUUGCCUGGUGACCGCCAGGACCCUCCGUGGUUCCCUUGAAGACCAUUCAAGAACAAAAUACUCAAACCAAGGCCCCGGCAAGAGGAGCUUGCCGGGAAGGCCAACCAAGGCCCCGGCAAGAGGAGCUCGCUGGGAAGGCCAACCAAGGCCCUGACAAGAGGAUCUUGCCGGGAAGAGACAAGACCCCGGCAAGAGGAGCUUGCGGGAAGGCCACUCAAGGCAUACCAAGAAAGCUUGCCGCGACGCGCCCUGCGUUCCGGCAAGAUCCGGCGAGCGACAAGCUUCCGGACGCGACAAGACGACGGCCGUGGCAAGGAAUUUGCCGCGGGAAACCCCCACUUCGUGCCUGCGCUCCAGCACACCUGCUAACAUGUCGCUCUAGGGCUCUCCCAACCACACAUGGCAGGAGGCCGUGCAGCUAAGGGUACAUGGUGGCAAGCAGAGAUGAAGAGAAGCCCAUCGUGGCAAACGGUGGCGCUCCUAACGGUCACCUUUUGCACUGUUUAGGAGACUCAGACAGGCAUUUAAUGCCCUUGUCCCCUGCCGUCAGAGUUAGGUAGGGCGCACUGUAUCCACAGUAAUCGGUAGCUGCACCUACCGCAUCCUUUUCCAUUUUUACCCUUCUAGUCUACGUUGCCACCUGUGGGUAACCCCUUGAAAGUAUAAAAGGAGGCCCAAGCACAACGAAGAAGGGGUUUCGGAGGUUCGGCCAGUUCGGCUCAUUCAACACCAGGAACACUCUCACGCUCAGUCUGGCAGCGUCCAUCGCUCCUGAGCAAGAAUCCAAUAUACACAAACAAGCAACAGUAGGGUUUUACGCAUCCGUGCGGCCGAAGCUGGGUAAAAUCGCCCGCGUGUACUGCCUCGAUCCGCUCUUUGUGCGCUCUCCGCCCCCCACCGAACCGAAAGGGGCCCUGUCCCCAUAGGUGUUGGUGGAAUCAGCAUCGCCCCCGACAUCUCUGGCGCGCCAGGUAGGGGGCGUCGAGAUCGUGCGAAUCCGAUCCGGCGUGCACGCAAGCUAAAUCUUCAUCGUCAUGGCUCCCAAGGAGCGGACGAGCAAAAGAACGACACCAGUGCGGCAACAGAAAAAGCUAAGUCAUGCAAAACUUUAGAUAUUUCCUUUCUAUAUAAGGUUAUCCGCCUUAGAGAUCUUGUUCUUUGUACGGAAAACCUGUGCGAGGAGGAAUCAACUCGUGGCUAGUUGCGCCCUUACUUUGUUUCGAGUCCGCUCAACAGCUUAAGUGAGCUGCUAGCGCCCUUACUUUGCUUCGAGUCCGCUCAGCAACUUAAGUGAGCCGCUAGCGCCCUUACUUUGUUUCGAAUCCGCUCAACAACUUAAGCGAGCUGCAACUAGUUGCGACAAGAUUACUUGUCGGUAGCGACCCCGCCAGCAGGCUGCCGAAGUUCCGCACUCGGCGCUCGCGGCAAGGGUGCCUGCACCAGCAAGUUUCCCUGAAAAGCGUAGGGUGGACGUACAAAGAGAGGUUGAACAGGAAGAUAGCAUGCGCUAUUUAUUUGAGAUUUCUGCAUAGACCUGUAUGCCGAGGAGCCUUCUCGGGGCUAGUUUCGCCCCAUGUUGCCUCGAGUCCGCUCGGCAAUUUGUGCGGUUGCGCUAGCACCAAGAAGGUAAACCUUUCCGGGAGGCGAUGUUCCCGAAUAGCUGCUAAGGGCCCGUUCCCUCAAGCGCUACUGGCUGGAUCAUACGCACUAGAAAGCAUUCCAGCAGGCAUAGGGAAUAUGCAGCAAAAGUCGAAAUUCGCAAGCGAGUUAAGUGCACUUCGGAUGCUAAUCACUUGUCAUGUUUAAAUGCAGUCAUGGCCUGGGGGCUGGCAACGCCCCUAGGGCCAACCUUUCCGGCAACGAUCUUGCCGGGAGCCGGCGUCAAGAACGACGAAGUUCUUCGCCAUAAGCCUUUCCAGCAACGAUCUUGCCGGGAGCCGGCGUCAAGAACGACGAAGUUCUUCGCCAUAAGCCUUUCCAGCAACGAUCUUGCCGGGAGCCGGCGUCAAGAACGACGAAGUUCUUCGCUAUAAGCCUUUCCGGCAAGGAUCUUGCCGGGAGCCGGCGUCAAGAACGACGAAGUUCUCGCCAUAAGCCUUUCCGGCAACGAUCUUGCCGGGAGCCGGCGUCAAGAACGAUGAAGUUCUUCGCCAUAAGCCUUUCCGGUAACGAUCUUGCCGGGAGCCGGUGUCAAGAACAACGAAGUUCUUCGCCAAAAGCCUUCCUGGCGACCAGCUUGCCGGAAGCCGGCAUCGAGAACGUCAAAGUUCUCUACUGAAGAUAAAAGCCUUCCUGGCAACAAACUUGCCGGAAGCCGGCAUCGAGAACGUCAAAGUUCUCUGCUGAAGAUAAAAGCCUUCCUGGCAACCAGCUUGCCGGAAGCCCGCAUCGAGAACGUCAAAGUUCUCUGCUGAAGAUAAAAGCCUUCCUGGCAACAAACUUGCCGGAAGCCGGCGUCGAGAACGUCAAAGUUCUCUGCUGAAGAUAAAAGCCUUCCUGGCAACGAGCUUGCCGGAAGCCGGCAUCAAGAACGUCAAAGUUCUCUGCUGAAGAUAAAAGCCUUCCUGGCAACGAGCUUGCCGGAAGCCGGCAUCGAGAACGACAAAGUUCUCUGCUGAAGAUAAAAGCCUUCCCGGCAAGCCAAUAUCGCUGGGGGCUGUGAGUGCCAAGAAUCGCCCACGGCAAACCAGAGUUGCCGAGGGCUGCAAUAUCAGAUAAGUCUUUCAUCCCUCAUCAUGCAUCCUCUUAUGGACUGGGGAACGCGAAACCACGUUCCUUCCCGGAAACUGCCGUGCUCCCUCGACUCUAGGCCCUGGGGCUCGUUCUCGGGACCAAGUUUGGUCGUAGUCGCGGCAGCAAAGGGAUGAAACGAGGAGACCGCACCCACCUCGUUCCUGCCUCCGUCAACAGCGUGAGAAAGGUCGAGCGACGUGGGAAGGCGGCAGGGUCUGUUCCCGGGAGAUGAAAUGUCUGUCUGAGGGAUACCAAGGAUUCGCUCCUUGGCGUGGGUUUAGCUCACGAGACAAAUAACCCGGCAAGCAUCCCCUUUUCAUUAAAAAAAACAUCCCACUCAGGUACAGUCCAUAGAGGAUGAAAAACAUGAAAGAGAGGAUUACAAGUUCAAGAUACAGCUAAGGCCCGAAGGCUUACAAAUUAAAAAGAUAAGAUGCCCGUAAUCCCUUUCCUGUCCCUCUUUUUAGGAGGCAGGUCAAGGAGGCGAAAAGGGCAAAAGGAGUGCCUAGGCGAACUACGGGUGCCAGAAGACACCAAGGGAACAUCCCGGGGGCCGUCCGAAGGCUGGACGGCGACGGCGGCGCUGGAAGCGGGGCUCGAAGACGGGGCGGCAGGACGUCAGCACGCUGUCGAGGGCACCACGCCCUCGUACUCCGACCUGACGGCCUUGUCGCCAGCCCUCUUCCCCUUCUGCAGCCUCCCUACACCAGCCGCCCAAGGAGACGACCCCGGGGAGUUCAAGAAGCCGGCGACGCGGAUGAUGGGGUCGCCGGUGCCGUGCAAAGCGGCGUCCGACGCCUAGUCGGACCCGCCGCUCCGCCACCCGCUGCCCUCAUCGUCGCUGUCACUCCCCUCCUCGUCGCUCUCGCUCGAGGAGGAGCCUUCGCUGUCGGAGGAGCUGUCCACGCAGCACUUCGCCCGAGUGCCGAAGCACCCGAAGGCCUUGACGGAGAGGAGAUCGCCCUCCAUCAACUUAAAAUGGAGGGUAAACCCCUCCGUCAAGCUGUGGAUGCGGGCGAACGUCUUCCACCCUCGAUCAAGAUACAUCACAUUAGGGCUGGGAAUGCAACGCGGACUCGCGUGCCGCUGAUCCCACAGCCCCUCAUGUGCAGUCUCAGCGUCUCGGGCGGGUCCACUUCCAUCGCGCGUGCAAACGGAGCUGGAAGCCGGAGGCGACGACGAGGCGCCCCGCGUAGCCUGACGAAGAACUCGCAAGGGUCGUCCCCUAUAUGGACCGCCUGGGGGGAGGAGCCACCGGCGGAGGUGAAGCUGACGCGCCGCCCCGUCCGCCUCUUCCCCGAGCGCCUUGACCUCGUCCUCGACCUCGUCCACGACCUCGCCCCCUCCCUCUUCCCCUUAUGGCUGGCUCUGCCACCACGGGCGCGGAAGAGGGAGAGAUGCGCUGUCUGGCGGCGACCCUCGCCGCCACCGAUGAAGGGCCUGGGUUCCCUUUCUCCAUGGCAGAUGCGAGAAAGGGGAGCAGAAGCUGAAGAAAGGAGAAGAUGAGAGAGUGCAGGUUUCUGUGCUCCCAUCCCGCUCUUUAUAAAGGAGCGAGGUGGGGGCUCGGCCGCCCCGCUCAGCGAAUCAAGGCACGGGAAGGGCAGGGAGUCGGGGCCAACCCGCUCGCGACGGGCCAGUUUCCCACUCCACCGUCCGUGACCCCAAGCGCAUGGGAGCCGCGUGGCGGGGAUGCAGAACCAAGGUGACGGAUGAGGCGGCCUCGCUCAGCCCCGUGAACGCGGGGAGUGGACGUCCCGAAAACCGCGCACCGGCCCCGUCCAGUAAAUGCACCACGCCCCCACACCUACCUCCAUUUAGGGAGGAGGGCGUGAACCGUCCCCAUCAUCAUGGCCUGACGCAUACUCGGGGGGCUUAGCCCCACGCACGCCACCCACGAUCUCACCCACGACGCCGCAUUUGACGCGUGCCGUUCUGGGCGUGCGCGGUGGGAGCGGAGAGAUAUGCAGUGUGACGUAGGCCGCGCAUGCCCGUGCACUGUUUUGGGCCUGGCCCAACAGCGCUCGGCAUCGUGUAUGGCCCAGGCCCGGGGGCUCCUGUCGGUGUACUAGAGUAGGGGUACCCUAUUACCCCGAACUCGUGCACGGGCAGUUGCAGCGCCCCGUGGCAAGGCUUGCCGGGUGACCGCCAGGACCCUCCGUGGUUCCCUUGAAGACCAUUCAAGAACAAAGUACUCAAACCAAGGCCCCGGCAAAAGGAGCUUGCCGGGAAGGCCAACCAUGGCCCCGGCAAGAGGAGCUUGCCGGGAAGGCCAACCAAGGCCCCGGCAAGAGGACCUUGCCGGGAAGAGACAAGACCCCGGCAAGAGGAGCUUGCCGGGAAGGCCACUCAAGGCACACCAAGAAAGCUUGCCGCGACGCACCCUGCGUCCCGGCAAGAUCCGGCGAGCGACAAGUUUCCGAACGCGACAAGACGACGACCGUGACAAGGAGUUUGCCGCGGGAAACCCCCACUUCGUGCGUGCGCUCCAGCAUACCUGCUAACGUGUCGCUCUAGGGCUCUCCCAAGCACACGUGGCAGGAGGCCGUGCAGCUAAGGGUACGUGGUGGCAAGCAGAGAUGAAGAGAAGCCCAUCAUGGCAAACGGUGGCGCUCCUAACGGUCACCUUUUGCACUAUUUAGGAGACUCAGACAGGCAUUUAAUGCCCUUGUCCCCUGCCGUCAGAGUUAGGUAGGGCGCACUGUAUCCACAGUAAACGGUAGCUGCACCUACCGCAUCCUUUUCCAUUUUUACCCUUCUAGUCUACGUUGCCACCUGUGGGUAACCCCUUGAAAGUAUAAAAGGAGGCCCAAGCGCAACGAAGAAGGGGUUCCGAAGGUUCGGCCAGUUCGGCUCAUUCAACACCAGGAACACUCUCACGCUCAGUCUGGCAGCGUCCAUCGCUCCUGAGCAAGAAUCCAAUAUACACAAACAAGCAGCAGUAGGGUUUUACGCAUCCGUGCGGCCCGAAGCUGGGUAAAAUCGCCCGCGUGUACUGCCUCGAUCCGCUCUUUGUGCGCUCUCCGCCCCCCACCGAAUCGAAAGGGGCCCUGUCCCCAUAGGUGUUGGUGGAAUCAGCAUCGCCCCCGACAGGGAGGAAGGAGGCCUGCACCGCCAAAAUCCAGAGUUUGGGACGCUCCGGAGGACCGCACUGUCCUCACGAGCGACAACUGAUGGCUGAUCUGCAUCAGACGGCAGCACCAAGCAUUGCCACUAUCUCCGACGUCCACAACACAGACUGCGAACCAUGUGAUGUAGGAAAUCGCUGUUGUCGCCCGAUCGGAAGUUCAAAACUCCUCUGACGAUGAUAUCUGUCCACCAAUAAGGUCUGGGGCAGUGCUAGCCAGCAUCAUACUAGCCAGAUCCAUGGCGUCACCGGCCUUCCGCCGGAGCGGAGGACCACCAUGGUUGCAAAGUUGUUGCAUGCUGUUGACAGGGUUGGUAAUGUAGGGAAAAAACUGCCAUGUUAUUUUUCAACUUUUUGUUCUCAAAGAUGGACAAACAUGAAUGAUACCACGGUAGUAGCAGAGUCAUAGCCAGCCACGCAACGGCGGAGCUUNNNNNNNNNNNNNNNNNNNNNNNNNNNNNNNNNNNNNNNNNNNNNNNNNNNNNNNNNNNNNNNNNNNNNNNNNNNNNNNNNNNNNNNNNNNNNNNNNNNNNNNNNNNNNNNNNNNNNNNNNNNNNNNNNNNNNNNNNNNNNNNNNNNNNNNNNNNNNNNNNNNNNNNNNNNNNNNNNNNNNNNNNNNNNNNNNNNNNNNNNNNNNNNNNNNNNNNNNNNNNNNNNNNNNNNNNNNNNNNNNNNNNNNNNUUUUAUUACCCCUACGUAGAGUAGUACUAGAUGCAGCCUAGAACCAGAUGAUCCAUUUAUCAAUCAACAAUACUAGUCUACGGUGCUUGGAGACGAACCAAUCCGGCAUCCAGGCACGAGUUAGGCAGCGGCCUGAUUUCCCCUUUGACCGUGAGCGUGGGGUGGGGCAGCGGCGUCCGGCAGACUGGCAGCCGUGGCUUGCCGGCGUGGGGGUGACCUCUGGCCGCCGGCCAGCUAGCCGCUAGGGAUUCGCCUCGCUGGAUCAUCCGCUCCUUUCUCUGCUGCGGACAACAUCAGGCAAGGCAACGUCGAUGCUGCGCAGUCCUUAGUGAGCCGGUGAGCAGACUGCCCUCGCUGCCUCGCUGGAUCUCUCUCGAUCUCUCCCCUCUAGAAAUUGUGGAUAGUUCAAAACUUUUGAUUCUGCGGAUUUUUUCACAUUAGUUGAGCAAAAUUCUAAUUAGGUCACCUCGUCAUGGAUUUUGUCAAUUGGAUUUUGCACUGAAUAGAGAAUGUUCUUUACAGAGUGAGAGGGAGGCAGUGAUGCUUAAGGGGAAAACAACUGAUGCGUUCUUUAAAAGAAAUAGAGGUGAUUCAGCUGAAUGCAAAGCUAAUGAACCAAUAUCAAACGAAUCAAUACACGUUCAGCCUCCUCUGUUGUUGUUCGAAUUUGAGCAACACGAACCACAUCCUUCGAUGCCUCAACAGCAAGGCUUCGUAAUACUAUGGAAGAUUAUUUUCUAGCCAAUAGCUUGCUAGUAAAUAGAGAGGGUGAAAUCACGAAUAAAUACGAAUAUGAAGAUGUUGUUAUGGACUUUAAGGGUGCAAAAAAUGAAGAGCUGAUCUCUAAUGAACCCAAUGAUCCAUGGUUAAAUGGUAUUUUGCUAUAGCUAUGGAGUAGGUUAUAAAUAUAUAAUUAACACUAGAAAUGUAUUUUGUAAGCCAAUAUUGAGAAGAUCAAUAUAAUUAUCUAAUUUUCUCAAUAUUUUGUAAUAUCUAACUUGUUGUAUUCGUAUGAUUUUGUAUAUGGUUUUUCUUUUACAGCUUCGCCCCUCCAGAGAUUUCUUUGAAGCUCCGCCACUGCAGCCACAGUAGUGUUUCUGUGUUGUUAGGAGAUGGUUGGAAUUUUGUUACCAUGGCAUGGCCUCGGAGUGAAUUGCGAAAAACCACCAUAUUUGGGGCUUCAUCUGCGGAAAACCACCAGGUCACUAAUUUUUUGCAACAAUCAACGUGGAUUCGGUAAACAUUUUGCAAGUCGCACUGAUCAGGUGAUUUGGCUCAUUUGAUCAUUUUCUGACAAGUGGGACCAGAUUGUAAGGAGCUGACUUGGCAUAACAUUUACACACACACCCUUAGAUCUAAAAAGAAAAAGCAAUCAACCCCUCUUUUGCACAACUGCCAGAGAGAGGAGAGGCGGAAGCGUUCCCGGCGAGGCCGACCUCGUCGGCGCAGACGGCCGCACAGUGGAGGAGGUCCUUGCGGAGAGCUCCUUGACGGUGCCGGCGGGGUCGGGCCCAUGCGCCGCCGCGCGGUUGGAGUUAGGCGGUUGCUCGGCCAUGGCCUCGCGCUCAUGUGCUGCUGUCCACGCCACACACAGGCAGCGGAGGAGCUCACCGUCGUUGGUCGCUGCUUGCUCCGGUGAUGCGUCCGAGCUGCACGCCGCCGCGCAGCAGCUGCUGCUUGUGCUCGUGUUGUGCUUCGCUUCUUGCUUUGGUGUUCUGCGCUGCCCCGCUGCUUGCUCCGGGGCUGCGCGCCACCGGCCGGGGAAAGAGAGGAGGGAGGAAGGAGAAAGGGAGGCGUGGGUGCAUCNNNNNNNNNNNNNNNNNNNNNNNNNNNNNNNNNNNNNNNNNNNNNNNNNNNNNNNNNNNNNNNNNNNNNNNNNNNNNNNNNNNNNNNNNNNNNNNNNNNNNNNNNNNNNNNNNNNNNNNNNNNNNNNNNNNNNNNNNNNNNNNNNNNNNNNNNNNNNNNNNNNNNNNNNNNNNNNNNNNNNNNNNNNNNNNNNNNNNNNNNNNNNNNNNNNNNNNNNNNNNNNNNNNNNNNNNNNNNNNNNNNNNNNNNNNNNNNNNNNNNNNNNNNNNNNNNNNNNNNNNNNNNNNNNNNNNNNNNNNNNNNNNNNNNNNNNNNNNNNNNNNNNNNNNNNNNNNNNNNNNNNNNNNNNNNNNNNNNNNNNNNNNNNNNNNNNNNNNNNNNNNNNNNNNNNNNNNNNNNNNNNNNNNNNNNNNNNNNNNNNNNNNNNNNNNNNNNNNNNNNNNNNNNNNNNNNNNNNNNNNNNNNNNNNNNNNNNNNNNNNNNNNNNNNNNNNNNNNNNNNNNNNNNNNNNNNNNNNNNNNNNNNNNNNNNNNNNNNNNNNNNNNNNNNNNNNNNNNNNNNNGGUCGCCGGAGUGGCGCGGGGGUUGGGCAGCUCGGGGCCUCUCCCGAUCCAGACGGGAUCGAGGCAGGGGGCGGAGGAGGGCCUGAUUGUUUUUUGUUUUUACAAUUCAGGGGUGUGUCUGUCAAAACUUUGCCUAGUCAGCUCCUUACAAUCUGAUCCCACUUGUCAGAAAGUGAUCAAAUGAGCCAAAUCACCCGAUCAGUGUGAUUUGCAAAAUGUUUACUGAAUCCGCGGUGAUUUUUGCAAAAAAAUAGUGAUCUGAUGGUUUUCCGCAGAUGAAGCCCUAAAUGUGGUGGUUUUUCGCAAUUCACUCCAUGGCCUCGACAUCAACUUUCAUUUCCGGUCAGCUUUGCAGCCAUCUUAGAUGCUGAAAUUUAACUCAGUUUAGCUUUGAUUCACUUAGGGAAGGCACCGGACAAGUGCACGACACAGAACCAGUUCCUCCGCCCAGAUCAGCCUAAAUCCUUUGGAUGUUUAGAUCAUCCCUUCUAAGAGGUAUCAAAUCCAUUUGCCAAAAUUGGCCGUCAGCCCACAUAUUUCACCAGAAGUUGAACGUAUACCUACAGCUGUUCUGAUCUCAUAUUUGAUAAGAUUCGUAAAUAAAACAACAUCCACUUCAUUCUCUAAUGCCUCUCAUGCCUAGUCCCGCUACAAGCAUCGAAAGGUAAUCAUGGCGAGAUAAACUUCAAGUCAGCCAGGCGCCAGCUUGUCACAAUCUUUUAAGUUGGGCAUCCUUUGUCCCUCUUUAUAGGAAAAGUGAUGGACCAUGAUCUGACGCCUUAUAGACGGGAAAGUUUACAAUACAAUAGACGUUGUAUUGAUAGAGUGCUGGUGCACGUAUAUAUAAUUAUCAGAGGCGGAGGCAGUGGGCGGGGGAGGGGGCGAGCGGGGGCCAGCCCCUCAUGGAUCGGCCACCCCCAACAAGUUUCAGCGGGGACUAGUACUAGUUAUUAGGCUUAAUUACUCCGGCCAUUAGCAAGGAUAUGAGCUAAGUUUUAAGUGUCAAAGCCCAACAACGCAACAACGGCCAGGCUGCACGUACCUACCCAAUACACACCAUCCAUCCGCUGCACUAAUGCAUUGUGGGCUUGUGGCGACUUCCUAGACUACACAUAUUCCGCGCCGACGCUGUGCACGACGCACUAGGCGGCUAGGGUUAGCGCUGCAUCGAGCACUAAACAUCAUCGCCGCUGGGCAUCCGUGCUGUCGACGUUCCAUGUUUAGCAAAGCUGUUGGGCUGUCGCUCAUCAAUCCAGCGCAAUUCUAUGGGACGUCACCGCCACACUCAAUUCGUCUAACUUGAUCUGAGGUAGAGGUAUUAUUGUUUAUAGAUUUAUAAUAUUUCAGCGUCAUUUUUUAUCACACAAACCAAUCAAACAAUAGUUAGUAGUUAAUUCAUUUUGUUGGUUAUCAGACCAGUUAACAGAUUAUGUAUCUAUUUGUACUAGAAUUGCAUAGAUCAUAAAGAGGAACACCACCCACCAACCUACUUUUGAAGAUGCAAAUCCAAUCAUAGAGAUACAUGCCACAAAGCAACCUACUGGACAUAACAGGUAAAACUUCGGCACAUUCAAUGAUUGAUAGAUUAUUACAAUUGGUCAUCUCUCUCCCAGUCUCAAUUGCAAAUAUGGAGCCUUUUUUUAGUAAUCAAACUUAUCAAUACGCGCCUUUGAAAUAAAAUGGGUGACGGUUUUGUUCGAUAUUACAUGGUGGUAUACAUUGGGAAGGAAAUAGUUGCGAGGUCAAUGUUUAUGAGAUUAAUGAUUUGUUCGAUCGGCUGGGAUGAGGUCGUAGAUCAUUCAAACUAGUGAGUAGAAAUGUAGCUUUUUUAAUGUAAAAAACGUUCUGGUAUGUGUUUGAUAUUGCUACAAUAUUUAAGACUUGAAAUAUGUUUGUGACAUUGUUCAUGUGUGUUUCAAUGCCUUCUUCACCCCCCCUAUGCUUAAAUCCUGGCUCCGCCCCUGAUAAUUACAAUGGAAGGCCUCUACCUUAACUAUACAAGACUAGGAGGUGGGCCACAACUCCAAUAUANNNNNNNNNNNNNNNNNNNNNNNNNNNNNNNNNNNNNNNNNNNNNNNNNNNNNNNNNNNNNNNNNNNNNNNNNNNNNNNNNNNNNNNNNNNNNNNNNNNNNNNNNNNNNNNNNNNNNNNNNNNNNNNNNNNNNNNNNNNNNNNNNNNNNNNNNNNNNNNNNNNNNNNNNNNNNNNNNNNNNNNNNNNNNNNNNNNNNNNNNNNNNNNNNNNNNNNNNNNNNNNNNNNNNNNNNNNNNNNNNNNNNNNNNNNNNNNNNNNNNNNNNNNNNNNNNNNNNNNNNNNNNNNNNNNNNNNNNNNNUCCUCGAAGACAGAAGUAGGCAAUCCCUUAGUCAUCACAUCAGCAAAUUGUUGCGACGUCGGCACGUGAAGAACCCGAACACGGCCAAAGGCAACCCGCUCACACACGAAGUGAAUAUCGAGUUCAAUAUGCUUCGUACGUCGAUGGUGCACCGGGUUGGCGGAAAGGUAAACCGUGCUGACGUUAUCGCAGUAGACAAGAGUGGCCUUAUGAACGUCACGAAGCAACUCCUGGAGUAGAUGACGGAGCCAAGAGCACUCGGCCACGACAUUAGCCACGACACGAUACUCUGCCUCGGCACUGGAGCGGGAGACCAUGGGCUGCCGCUUCAAUGACCAAGAGAUCAACGAGGGCCCAAGGUAGAUGCAGUAGCCUGACGUGGAGCGUCGAGUAUCGGGGCAGCCAACCCAGUCGGCAUCCAAGUAGGCCACGAGGUCGGUGGAGGCGGAGACCGUCAGGGUGAGUCCCAAAGACAUGGUGCCACGUAUAUAACGGAAAAUACACUUCACCAAGGUCCAGUAGGAGUCAUGCGGAGCGUGCAUGUGGAGGCACACCUGCUGAAUAGCGUACUGCAGGUCGGAUCGAGUCAGCGUCAGGUACUGUAAACCACAACCAAUGGAGAGAUAAAACGCUCCAUCGGACAUGGGAGACCCCUCCAAAGCAGAGACAUUCGCCUUCGUGUCGACAGGGGUGGGCACCGGCUUGCAGUUAAGCAUACCGGCACGCUCCAGGAGCUCAUGGGCGUACUUCUUCUGAUGCAGAAAGAAGCCGUCAGUCCGGCGGACCACCUCGAUGCCGAGGAAGUAGUGCGUGCAGGGGGCCCCAAGUUCUUGAGGGCGAACUCAUCACGAAGACGAGCAGUCAACCGUUGAAGGAGAUCGGGGGCGGACGCCGUGAGGAUGAUGUCAUCGACGUAGAGCAGCAGAUAUGCAGUGUCAGCUCCCUGAUGAUACACGAAGAGUGAGGCAUUGGAGCGAGUGGACCGAAAUCCCAGAGACUGCAGGAAGGUUGUGAUACGCUGGUACUAGGCCCAAGGCGCUUGGUUCAACCCGUAAAGAGAACGGGAGAGCAAGCACACAAAGUCUGGGUGCUCGGCAUCGACGAAGCCAGUGGGCUGCUCGCAGUACACCUGCUCGGCGAGAUGGCCAUGCAAGAAGGCGUUGGAGACAUCCAACUAGUGCAUAGGCCAAGCGCGCGAGACCGCCAAUUGGAGCACGGCGCGGAUCGUGCCCGGUUUGACAACCGGGGUAAAAGUGUUGGUAAAAUCCACGCCCGCGCGCUGCCGAAAUCCACGAACCACCCACCGCGCCUUGUAGCGCUCGAGAGAACCAUCCGGACGAGUCUUGUGGUGAAACUGAAGGAAAUAUGCCCUAGAGGCAAUAAUAAAGUUGUUAUUUAUAUUUCCUUAUAUCAUGAUAAAUGUUUAUUAUUCAUGCUAGAAUUGUAUUAACCAGAAACUUAGUACAUGUGUGAAUACAUAGACAAACAUAGUGUCCCUAGUAUGCCUCUACUUGACUAGCUCGUUAAUCAAAGAUGGUUAAGUUUCCUAGCCAUGGACAUGUGUUGUCAUUUGAUGAACGGGAUCACACCAUUAGAGAAUGAUGUGAUGGACAAGACCCAUCCGUUAGCUUAGCACGAUGAUCGUUUAGUUUGUUGCUAUUGCUUUCUUCAUGACAUAUACAUGUUCCUAUGACUAUGAGAUUAUGCAACUCCCGAGUACCGGAGGAACACUUUGUGUGCUACCAAACGUCACAACGUAACUGGGUGAUUAUAAAGGUGCUCUACAUGUGUCUCCAAUGGUGCUUGUUGAGUUGGCAUAGAUCGAGAUUAGGAUUUGUCACUCCGAUUGUCGGAGGGGUAUCUCUGGGCCCUCUCGGUAAUGCACAUCACUAUAAGCCUUGCAAGCAUUGUGACUAAUGAGUUAGUUGCGGGAUGAUGCAUUACGAAACGAGUAAAGAGACUUGCCGGUAACGAGAUUGAACUAGGUAUGAGGAUACCGAUGAUCGAAUCUCGGGCAAGUAACAUACCGAUGACAAAGGGAACAACGUAUGUUGUUAUGCGGUUUGACCGAUAAAGAUCUUUGUAGAAUAUGUAGGAGCCAAUAUGAGCAUCCAGGUUCCGCUAUUGGUUAUUGACCGGAGACAUGUCUCGGUCAUGUCUACAUAGUUCUUGAACCCGUAGGGUCCGCACGCUUAACGUUCAGUGACGAUUGGUAUUAUGAGUUUAUGUGAUUUGAUGCACCGAAGGUUGUUCGGAGCCCCGGAUGAUAUCACGGACAUGACGAGGAGUCUCGAAAUGCUCGAGCCGUAAAGAUCGAUAUAUUGGAAGGCUAUAUUCGGACAUCGAAAAGGUUCUGAGUGAUCCGGGUAUUUUUCGGAGUACCGGGGGAGUUACGGGAAUACGGGAGUACAUAUGGGCCUUAGUGGGCUUUAAGGGAAAAAGAGGAGAAGCCACGAGGGCUGGCCGUGCCCCCCCCAUGGGCCUAGUCCGAAUUGGACUAGGGGAGGGGCUGCGCCCCCUCUUUUCUUCUCCUUCCUUUCCCCUCCUAGUAGGACUAGGAAAGGAGGAAUCCUACUGCUACUAGGAGGAGGAUUCCUCCCCCUUGGCGCGCCUAGAGAGGCCGUCCGGCCUCCCGUCCCUCCUUUACAUACAUGGGGAUAGGGCACCCUAGGACACCCAAGUUGAUCAGUUGAUCUUUUAGCCGUGUGCGGUGCCCCACUCCACCAUAAUCCACCUCAGUCAUACCGUAGCGGUGCUUAGGCGAAGCCCUGCGUCGGUAGCAUCAUCAUCACCGUCAUCAUGCCGUCGUGCUGAUGGAAAUCUCCCUCGAAGCACUGCUGGAUCGGAGUUCGUGGGACGUCACCGAGCUGAACGUGUGCUGAACUCGGAGGUGCCGUACGUUCGGUACUUGGAUCGGUCGGAUCGUGAAGACGUACGACUACAUCAACUGCAUUCUGAUAACGCUUCCGCUUAUGGUCUACGAGGGUACGUGGACGACACUCUCCCCUCUCAUUGCUAUGCAUCACCAUGAUCUUGUGUGUGCGUAAUAUUUUUUUUUUGAAAUUACCGCGUUUCCCAACAGUGGCAUCCGAGCCAGGUUUAUGCGUAGAUGUUAUAUGCACGAGUAGAACACAAAGGAGUUGUGGGUGUGGGUAUAUACAUAUUGCUUGCUGUCACUAGUUGUUUCUUGAUUCGACAGUAUUGUUGGAUGAAGAGGCCCAGACCGACAUUAUGCGUACGCUUACGCGAGACUGGUUCUACCGACGUGCUUCACACACAGGUGGCUAGUGGGUGUCUGUUUCUUUAGCUUUAGUUGAAUCGAAUUCAAUGAAUAGGGUUCUUUCUGAAGAUCAAAAAGCAAUCACUAUACCGCGUUGUGGUUUUUGAUGCGUUGGUAAGAACGGUUCUUGCUCAACCCAAUAGCCACGUAAAACUUGCAACAACAAAGUAGAGGACGUCUAACUUGUUUUUGUAGGGCAUGUUGUGAUGUGAUAUGGUCAAGACAUGAUGCUAAAUUUUAUUGUAUGAGAUGAUCAUGUUUUGUAACAUAGUUAUCGGCAACUGGCAAGAGCCAUAUGGUUGUCGCUUUAUUGUAUGAAAUGCAAUCGCCAUGUAAUUGCUUUACUUUAUCACUAAGCGGUAGCGAUAGUCGUAGAAGCAAUAGUUGGCGAGACAACAACGAUGCUACGAUGGAGAUCAAGGUGUCGCGCCGGUGACGAUGGUGAUCAUGACGGUGCUUUGGAGAUGGAGAUCAAAGGCACAAGAUGAUAAUGGCCAUAUCAUAUCACUUAUAUUGAUUGCAUGUGAUGUUUAUCCUUUAUGCAUCUUAUUUUGCUUAGAUCGACGGUAGCAUUAUAAAAUGAUCUCUCACUAAAUUUCAAGGUAUAAGUGUUCUCCCUGAGUAUCCACCGUUGCGAAAGUUCGUCGUGCCGAGACACCACGUGAUGAUCAGGUGUGAUAAGCUCUACGUUCACAUACAAUGGGUGCAAGCCAGUUUUGCACACGCGGAAUACUCGGGUUAAACUUGACGAGCUUAGCAUAUGCAAAUAUGGCCUCGGAACACCGGAGACCGAAAGGUCGAGCGUGAAUCAUAUAGUAGAUAUGAUCAACAUACUGAUGUUCGCCAUUGAAAACUACUCCAUCUCACGUGAUGAUCGGACGUGGUUUAGUUGAUAUGGAACACGUGAUCACUUAGAUGGUUAGAGGGGUGUCUGUCUAAGUGGGAGUUCUUAAGUAAUUUGAUUAAUUGAACUUUAAUUUAUCAUGAACUUAGUCCUGAUAGUAUUUGCAUAACUAUGUUGUAGAUCAAUAGCUCGCGAUGUAGCUCCCCGUUUAUUUUUUGAUAUGUUCCUAGAGAAAAACUAUGUUGAAAUAUGUUAGUAGCAAUGAUACAGAUUGGAUCCGUGAUCUGAGGAUUAUCCUCAUUGUUGCACAGAAAAAUUAUGUCCUUGAUGCACCGCUAGGUGACAGACCGAUUACAGGAGCAGAUGCAGACGUUAUGAACGUUUGGCGAGCUCGAUAUGAUGACUACUUGAUAGUUUAGUGCACCAUGCUUUACGGCUUAGAAUCGGGGCUUCAAAAAUGUUUUGAACGCCACGGAGCAUAUGAGAUGUUCCAAGAGUUGAAAUUAGUAUUUCAGACUCAUGCCCAUGUCGAAAGGUAUGAGACCUUUGACAAGCACUUUGCCUACAAGAUGGAAGAGAAUAGCUCAGUCAGUGAGCAUAUGCUCAGAAUGUCUGGGUACUACAAUCACCUGAAUCAAGUGGGAGUUAAUCUUCCAGAUAAGAUAGUGAUUGACAGAGUUCUCUAGUCACUAUCACCAAGUUACUGAAACUUCGUGAUGAACUAUAAUAUGCAAGGGAUAACAGAAAUGAUUACCAAGCUCUUCAUGAUGUUGAAAUCGAUGAAGGUAGAAAUCAAGAAAAGCACCAAGUGUUGAUGGUUGACAAGACCACUAGUUUCAAGAAAAGGGCAAAGGGAAGAAAGGGAACUUCAAGAAGAACGACAAGCAAGUUGUUGCUCAAGUGAAGAAGCCCAAGUCUAGACCUAAGCCUGAGACUAAGUGCUUCUACUACAAAGGGACUGGUCACUUGAAGCAAAACUGGCCCAAGUAUUUGGCGGAUAAGAAGGAUGGCAAAGUGAACAAAGGUAUAUUUGAUAUACAUGUUAUUGAUGUGUACUUUACUAGUGUUUAUAGCAACCCAUCAGUAUUUGAUACUAGUUCAGUUGCUGAGAUUAGUAACUCGAAACGGGAGUUGCAGAAUAAACAGAGACUAGUUAAGGGUGAAGUGACGAUGUGUGUUGGAAGUGGUUCCAAGAUUUAUAUGAUCAUCAUCGCACACUCCCUAUACUUUCGGGAUUAGUGUUGAAUCUAAAUAAAUGUUAUUUGGUGUUUGCGUUAAGCAUGAAUAUGAUUUGAUCAUGUUUAUUGCAAUAUGGUUAUUCAUUUAAAAUCAAAGAAUAAUUGUUGUUCUGUUUACAUGAAUAAAACCUUCAAUGGUCAUACACCCAAGGUGAAUGGUUUAUUGAAUCUCGAUUGUAGUGAUACACAUAUUCAUAAUAUUGGUGCCAAAAGAUGCAAAGUUAAUAAUGAUAGUGCAACUUAUGUGUGCCACUGCCAUUUAGGUCAUAUUGGUGUAAAGCGCAUGAAGAAAAUCCAUGCUGAUGGGCUUUCGGAAUCACUUGAUUAUGAAUCAUUUGAUGAUUGCGAACCAUACCUCAUGGGCAAGAUGACUAAGACUCCGUUCUCCGGAACAAUGGAGCAAGCAACAGACUUGUUGGAAAUAAUACAUACUGAUGUAUGCAGUCCGAUAAGUGUUGAGGCUCACGGCAAGUAUCGUUAUUUUCUGACCUUCAUAGAUGAUUUGAGUAAGAUAUGGGUAUAUUUUCUUGAUGAAACAUAAAUCUGAAACAUUUGGAAAGUUCAAAUAAUUUCAGAGUGAAGUGGAAAAUCAUCGUAACAAGAAAAUAAAGUUUCUACGAUCUGAUCAUGGAGGAGAAUAUUUGAGUUACGAGUUUGGUCUUCAUUUGAAACAAUGCGGAAUAGUUUCGCAACUCACGCCACCUGGAACACCAUAGCGUAAUGAUGUGUCCGAACAUCGUAAUCGUACUUUAUUAGAUAUGGUGCAAUCUAUGAUGUUUCUUACCGAUUUACCACUAUCGUUUUGGGGUUAUGCAUUAGAGAUAGCUGCAUUCACGUUAAAUAGGGCACCAUCUAAAUUCGUUGAGACGACGCCAUAUGAACUGUGCUUUGGCAAGAAACCAAAGUUGUAGUUUUUUAAAGUUUGGAGUUGCGAUGCUUAUGUGAAAAAGUUUCAUCCUGAUAAGCUCAAACCCAAAUCGAAAAAAUGUGUCUUCAUAUGAUACCCAAAGGAGACAGUUGGGUACACCUUCUAUCACAGAUCCGAAGGCAAGACAUUCGUUGCUAAGAAUGGAUCCUUUCUAGAGAAGGAGUUUCUCUCAAAAGAAGUGAGUGGGAGGAAAGUAGAACUUGAUGAGGUAACUGUACCUGCUCCCUUGUUGGAAAGUAGUUCAUCACAGAAAUCUGUUGAUACGUAUCCACCGUAUCUAUAAUUUUUGAUUGCUCCAUGCUAUAUUAUCUACUGUUUUGGACAUUAUUGGGAUUUAUUAUCCACUUUUAUAUUAUUUUUGGAACUAACCUAUUAACCGGAGGCCCAGCCCAGAAUUGCUGCUUUUUGCCUAUUUUAGGGUUUCGAAGAAAAGGAAUACCAAACGGACACUACUAGGGAAAACCUUAUACACAGAACUUUAGCAGUAGCUCGGGUCAAAGAAGCACGCUGGUGCUAAGUAGCAGUAGCACGCCUGUGCAAACCGCGUUGUUGAUAAAGUUUUAGCAGUAGCGCGUCUUGUUCUAAACACGUUACUACUAAAAUUCCCACGGCUUAGCCGAUAGGCUACGCAUAGUAGUAGCGACCUAUAUCGAACCGCGCUACCGCUACUUUCUUUGUAGAAGCGCGUUUUAAUCUAAACUCGCUACUACUAAAGGAUAUAAAAUUAAAUGGAAAGCACAUAGAAAGGUAAUUGAAAAUGAAAGAAAUAGAAUAAGGUGAAAGGAAAUAAAAUAGAAUGUGAAGAAAACUAAAUGAAAAAGGGGAAAAAAGAGAAAGGAGUAGCAGUAGCGUGUAUCCCAGAACGCGCUGUAGCUAACAUAGCAGUAGCGCGCUUUCUGGAACGCUCUACUGCUACUUCUGACUUAACCACGUGGUUCGUCCUUCCCUACGGCCACUUCCCCCAAAUCCAGCUCUUCACUCUCGCCGCCGCUGUCGCCUGUCGGCCACUGCACGCUCUCCGCACACCCUCUACGCCGCCCCGACCCCAGAUUCUACGCCGCCCCCGCCCCGACCUCAACACCGCCCCGGACGCCGCCCCGACCCUGACCUCGACGCCGCCAUUCGCCGCGUGCCCGAGCCCCGACCCCGACCUCGACGCCGCCUGCCCCUCCCUCAUCGCAGACACCCGAGGUGAGCACGCCUGCUCCUCCCUCUCCCCUAACUCUGCCUAGGGUUUCUUUAUAUUUUUGUUGCAUCAAAUUAGUUAGUGUUCAUGUAAGGGUGGAAACGAAUCGGAUGCAGAUGCGGCUCAAAUGAGUUAGGGUUCAUGUAAGGGUGGAAACGAAUCAAAUUUCUAAGAUGAAUCAUAAAAUGAGUAAAAUUUGACCACUUAUUUCACUUUAUAGUUGGAUAAUUGGAAUAUCAGCUACCACUUUCCACCCCUAGCUUCAUCAAAUUAGAUGGUAAUUAGGGCAUUAGUUCCUAAGUACUAAUUAGUUAGUAAGAACUAGGUACUAAUCAGGUACUAGUUUAUUUUUAUUUAUAGUAAGUUUAUUUUUAAUAAGAACUAGUUGAAUUAAUAGAACUAGUUAAUAAGAACUUGUUGCUAUUUUUUUAGUUAAAGCAAUUUUUCCCGCAUCAACGUGGACGAUGCCUAUCCCGCAUCCUCGUCGUCGAGUCAGCGGAGGACGACACCUGCUUGACCAGAUGGGCCAUGUCCGGGACUGGGCUUCGCCGGGGUGGUACUGGGAGGCGCUACCUAUCGGGGGGUGCAGGUUGGUGAGGAGCCAGCCUGUCAUUGACCCGAACCUUCUUUGGUGGCGGUCGCUGAUACGUCUCCAACGUAUCUAUAAUUUUUGAUUGCUCCAUGCUAUAUUAUCUACUAUUUUGAAUGUUUAUGGGCUUUAUUAUACAUUUUAUAUCAUUUUUGGGACUAACCUAUUAACCCAGAGCCCAUUGCCAGUUUCUGUUUUUACCCUGUUUUAGGGUUUCGAAGAAAAGGAAAAUCAAACGGAGUCCAAUUGACCUGAAACUUCACGGAACUCAUUUUUGGAAGGAAAGAAGCCCAGAAGACUUGGAGUGCACGUCGGGGGAUCUGCGAGGAGGCCACGAGGCAGGGGGCGCACCCUCCACCCUCGUAGCCCCCCUGACGUACUUCUUCCGCCUAUAUAUCUCCAUAUACCCUAAAAACAUCCGAGGGCACAAUAGAUCGGGAGUUCCGCCGCCAGAAGCCUCCGUAGCCACCGAAAGCCAAUCUAGACCCGUUCCGGCACCCUGCCGGAGGGGGCAAUCCCUCUCCGGUGGCAUCUUCAUCAUCCCGGUGCUCUCCAUGACGAGGAGGGAGUAGUUCUCCCUCGGGGCUGAGGGUAUGUACCAGUAGCUAUGUGUUUGAUCUCUCUCUCUCUCUCGUGUUCUUGAGAUGAUACGAUCUUGAUGUAUCGCGAGCUUUGCUAUCAUAUUUGGAUCCUAUGAUGUUUCUCCCUCCCUCUACUCUCUAGUAAUGAAUUGAGUUUCCCCUUUGAAGUUAUCUUAUCGGAUUGAGUCUUUAAAGAUUUGAGAACACUUGAUGUAUGUCUUGCCGUGGAUAUCUGUGGUGACAAUGGGAUAUCACGUGAUUCACUUGAUGUAUGUUUUGGUGAUCAACUUGCGGGUUCCGCCCAUGAACCUAUGCAUAGGGGUUGGCACACGUUUUCGUCGUGAUUCUCCGGUAGAACUUUGGGGCACUCUUUGAGGUCCUUUGUGUUGGUUGAAUAGAUGAAUCCGAGAUUGUGUGACGCAUAUCGUAUAAUCAUACCCACGGAUACUUGAGGUGACAUUGGAGUAUCUAGGUGACAUUAGGGUUUUGGUUGAUUUGUGUCUUAAGGUGUUAUUCUAGUAGGAACUCUAGGGCUGUUUGUGACACUUAUAGGAAUAGCCCAACGGAUUGAUUGGAAAGAAUAACUUUGAGGUGGUUUCGUACCUACCAUAAUCUCUUCGUUUGUUCUCCACUAUUAGUGACUUUGGAGUGACUCUUUGUUGCAUGUUGAGGGAUAGUUAUGUGAUCCAAUUAUGCUAUUAUUGUUGAGAGGACUUACACUAGUGAAAGUAUGAACCCUAGGCCUUGUUUCCUAGCAUUGCAAUAACGUUUACGCUCACUUUUAUCACUUGUUACCUUGCUGUUUUUAUAAUUUCAGAUUAAAAAUACCUUUAUCUACUAUCCAUAUACCACUUGUUUCACCAUCUCUUCGCCGAACUAGUGCACCUAUACAAUUUACCAUUGUAUUGGGUGUGUUGAGGACACAAGAGAGUCUUUGUUAUUUGGUUGCAGGGUUGCUUGAGAGAGACCAUCUUCAUCCUACGCCUCCUACGGAUUGAUAAACCUUAGGUCAUCCACUUGAGGGAAAUUUUCUACUGUCCUACAAACCUCUCCACUUGGAGGCCCAACAACGUCUACAAGAAGAAGGUUGUGUAGUAGACAUCAAGCUCUUUUCUGGCGCCGUUGCCGGGGAGGUGAGUGCUUGAAGGUAUAUCUUUAGAUCUUGCAAUCGAGUCUUUUAGUUUCUUGUUUUAUCACUAGUUUAGUUUAUAAAAAGAAAACUACAAAAAAAUGGAAUUAAGUUUGUCUCAUACGCUUCAUCUUUUUAAUAUCUUUCGUGAGUAUGAUGGAAAGGAAAAUUGUGAUCAAAUGCUAAAAGAAGAAUUACAUAAAAUGUUUGGCACUAAAUAUUUGAAUGAUGAUCAUGAUUGCAAUGUUGUUAGUAUGAAUUCCUUGAAUAUCCAUGAUGCUAAUGAUAUGCAAAGCCACAAGCUUGGGGAAGCUAUGUUUGAUGAAGAUGAUAUUUUUUGUCCCCCAAGUUUUGAUGAGCAAAUUUAUUAUGAUGAAAGCAUGCCUACUAUCUAUGAUGAUUAUUGUGAUGACACGUAUGCUUUAAAGAAUAAUAAUAACAAUGAAACUUGUCAUCUUGAUCUUAAUUUUCAAUCACAUGAUAGUUAUUUUGUUGAGUUCGCUCCCACUAUUAUUAAUGAGAAGAAUUUUGCUUGUGUAAAGAGUAAUAAAAUUUCUAUGCUUAUAGAUCAUGAAAAUAAUGCUUUAGGUGCUGGUUAUAUUGUUGAAUUCAUUCAUGAUGCUACUGAAAAUUAUUAUGAGGGAGGAACAUAUGCUUGUAGGAAUUGCAAUAAUAUCAAGUUUCCCCUCUAUAUGCUUAAAAUCUUGAAGUUAUGCUUGUUUUACCUUCCUAUGCAAGUUGAUUCUUGUUCUCAUAAGUUGUUUGCUCACAAAAUCCCUAUGCAUAGGAAGUGGGUUAGACUUAAAUGUGCUAGUCAUAUUCUUCAUGAUGCUCUCUCUAUAUUGCAAUUCUUAUCCUUUAUGUGAGCAUCAUUGAAAUCAUCAUGCCUAGCUAGAGGCGUUAAACGAUAGCGCUUGUUGGGAGGCAACCCAAUUUUAUUUUUGUUCCUUGCUUUUUGUUCCUGUUUAGUAAUAAAUAAUUCAUCUAGCCUCUGUUUAGAUGUGGUUUUAUGCUUUUAAUUAGUGUUUGUGCCAAGUAGAACCUUUGGGAAGACUCGGGGAAAGUCCUUGCGAUCAUGCUGUAAAAAACAGAAACUUUAGCGAUCACGAGAAUUGCUGCCAUUUUUAUUUGGAGAGUGAUAUUUAGUUAAUUAUUUUUUCAGAUGAUUAAUAUAUAAAUUACUCAGGUCCAGCAAUUUAUUUGAGAAUUUUAUGUGUUCCAGAAGUAUACGUUUGAUCCAGAUUACUACAGACUGUUCUGUUUUUGACAGAUUCUGUUUUUCAUGUGGUGUUUACUUAUUUUGAUGAAUCUAUGGCUAGUAAAAGAGUUUAUAAACCAUAGAGAAGUUGGAGUACAGUAGGUUUAACACCAAUAUAAAUAAAUAAUGAGUUCUUUACAGUACCUUGAAGUGGUGAUUUAUUUUCUUAUACUAACGGAGCUUACGAGUUUUCUGUUAAGUUUUGUGUUGUGAAGUUUCCAAGUUUUGGGUAAGGAUUCGACGGACUAUGGAAUAAGGAGUGGCAAGAGCAUAAGAUUGUGGAUGCCCAAGGAACCCAAGGAAAUAUUCAAGGAUAACCAAGAUCCAAGCUUGGGGAUGCCCCGGAAGGCAUCCCCUCUUUCGUCUUCGUUCAUCGGUAACUUUACUUGGAGCUAUAUUUUUAUGCACCACAUGAUAUGUGUUUUCUUGGAGCGUCAAUUUAUUUUGUUAGGAUUUUCUUGCUGUUAUUUAGAACAAUGUUUUGCAUCUUUUAUUUCAAUAAAAGUGGCAUUGAUAGCCUUUACUAUGCCUAUUUUACAAGUCUUCAUGUUGCUGUUUGAAAACAGAAAGUUUACUGCUGUUGCAAUAAUUCCCUAGAAAAUUCAGAAUGUGAUAAAAUGUUGAAACCUUUUUCAUAUUAAGAUCUGAUAAAUUUACUACAGUGGGAAUUUUAUUUCAUAAUUUUUGGAGCUAGGGAAGUAUGGAUGUUGCUGCAUUCUUUACAUACUGUCCUGUUUAGGAAGAUUGCUGUUAUGUUUGCAUUGUUUGCAUAUGUUUGCUUCUUUAAUGAUUCUAUUUGAGGAUAGGACUAUUAAAUAUGCAGAGGCAUUUAGUAUGCAAUGUUGAAUAAUAAUUUUAGUGAUUUUCUACAGUAGAGUAUGAUAAGGUUUUUGCAAUGGUUUAUACUAACUUAUCUCACGAGUCCUUGUUGAGUUUUGUGUGGAUGAAGCUUUUGAGAUUUAGGGAGACCGUGAUAUGAGAGGAAUUAAGGAGACACAAAAGCUCAAGCUUGGGGAUGCCCAAGGCACCCCAAGAUAAUAUUUCAAGAAGUAUCAAGCGUCUAAGCUUGGGGAUGCCCGGGUUGGCAUCCCACCUUUCUUCUUCAACAACUAUCGGUUAGUAUCGGUUGAUCCUAAGUUUUUGCUUCUUCACAUGAUGUUUGCUAUUCUUAGAUGUCAUUUUAUUUAGUUUUUCUUGCUGUUUAAUAAAAUAUCAAGAUCUGAAAUUAUUAAAUGUUAGAGAGUCUUCACAUAGUUUCAUAAUUAUUCGACUACUCAUUGAUCUUCACUUAUAUCUUUUGGAGUAGUUUGUCAUUUGCUCUAGUGCUUCACUUAUAUCUUUUUAGAGCACGGUGGUGGUUUUAUUUUGAAGAAAUAGAUGAAGUCUCAUGCUUCACUUAGAUUAUUUUGAGAGUCUUAAAUAGCAUGGUAAUUUGCUUAAAAUCCCAAUAUGCUUGGUAUGCAAGAUUAAUAAUAAUAAAAAAUUCUCUUAUGAGUGUGUUGAAUACUAAGAGAAGUUUGAUGCUUGAUGAUUGUUUUGAGAUAUGGAGGUAAUAAUAUCAAAGUCAUGCUAGUUGAGUAGUUGUGAAUUUGAGAAAUGCUUGUGUUGAAGUUUCCAAGUCCAGUAGCAUGCACGUAUGGUAAACGUUUUGUAACAAAUAUGAAACAUGAGGUGUUAUUUGAUUGUCUUCCUUAUGAGUGGCGGUCGGGGACGAGCGAUGGUCUUUUCCUACCAAUCUAUCCCCCUAGGAGCAUGCGCGUAGUGCCGAGGUUUUUGAUGACUUGUAGAUUUUUGCAAUAAGUAUGUGAGUUCUUUAUGACUAAUGUUGAGUCCAUGGAUUAUACGCACUCUCACCCUUCCAUCCUUGCUAGCCUCUUCGGUACCGUGCAUUGCCCUUUCUCACAUUGAGAGUUGGUGCAAACUUCGCCGGUGCAUCCGAACCCUGUGAUAUGAUACGCUCUUUCACACAUAAACCUCCUUAUAUCUUCCUCAAAACAGCCACCAUACCUACCUAUUAUGGCAUUUCCAUAGCCAUUCCGAGAUAUAUUUCCAUGCAACUUUCCAUCAUUCUGUUCAUCAUGACACAAUCAUCAUUGUCAUAUUGCUUUGCAUGAUCAUGUAGUUGACAUAGUAUUUGUGGCAAAGCCACCGUUCAUAAUUCUUUCAUACAUGUCACUCUUGGUUCAUUGCAUAUCCCGUACACCGCCGGAGGCAUUCAUAUAGAGUCAUCUUUGUUCUAGUAUCGAGUUGUAAUCAUCGAGUUGUAAAUAAAUAGAAGUGUGAUGAUCAUCAUUAUUAGAGCAUUGUCCCAAGUGAGGAAUAAAAAAAAGAGAAAGGCCAUAAAAAAGACAAGGCCCAAAAAAAAUAGAAAGGCCAUAAAAAAAGAGAAGGCCCAAAAAAAAGAAAAGAGAAAGGCCAUAAAAAAAGAGAAGGCCCAAAAAAAUGAGAGAAAAAGAGAGAAGGGACAAUGUUGCUAUCCUUUUACCAAACUUGUGCUUCAAAGUAGCACCAUGAUCUUCAUAGUAGAGAGUCUCUCAUGUUAUCACUUUCAUAUACUAGUGGGAAUUUUUCAUUAUAGAACUUGGCUUGUAUAUUCCAACAACGGGCCUCCUCAAGUGCCCUAGGUCUUCGUGAGCAAGCAAGUUGGAUGCACACCCACUAGUUUCUUUUGUUUAGCUUUCAUAAAUUUAUAGCUCUAGUGCAUCCGUUGCAUGGAAAUCCCUACUCCUUGCAUUAACAUCAAUCGAUGGGCAUCUCCAUAGCCCAUUGAUUAGCCUCGUUGAUGUGAGACUUUCUCCUUUUUGUCUUCUCCACAUAACCCCCAUCAUUAGAUUCUAUUCCACCCAUAGUGCUAUAUCCAUGGCUCACGCUCAUGUAUUGCGUGAAAGUUUAGUAGUUUGAAAUUAUUAAGGUAUGAAACAAUUGCUUGGCUUGUCAUCGGGGUUGUGCAUGAUGAGAGCAUUCUUGUGCGACGAAAAUGGAGCAUGACUAAACUAUAUGAUUUUGUAGGGAUGAACUUUCUUUGGCCAUGUUAUUUCGAGAGGACAUAAUUGCUUAGUUAGUAUGCUUGAAGUAUUAUCAUUUUUAUGUCAAUACGAACUUUUGUCUUGAAUCUUUCGGAUCUGAAUAUUCAUACCACAAUUAAGAAGAAUCACAUUGAAAUUAUGCCAAGUAGCACUCUGCAUCAAAAAUUCUGUUUUUAUCAUUUACCUACUCGAGGACGAGCAGGAAUUAAGCUUGGGGAUGCUGAUAUGUCUCCAACGUAUCUAUAAUUUUUGAUUGCUCCAUGCUAUAUUAUCUACUGUUUUGAAUGUUUAUGGGCUUUAUUAUACAUUUAAUAUCAUUUUUGGGACUAACCUAUUAACCCAGAGCCCAGUGCCAGUUUCUGUUAUUACCCUGUUUUAGGGUUUCGAAGAAAAGGAAAAUCAAACAGAGUCCAAUUGACCUGAAACUUCACGGAACUCAUUUUUGGAAGGAAAGAAGCCCAGAAGACUUGGAGUGCAUGUCGGGGGAUCUACGAGGAGGCCACGAGGCAGGGGGGCGUGCCCACCCCCCUGGGCGCGCCCUCCACCCUCGUGGGUCCCUCGUGGCCCCCCUGACGUACUUCUUCCGCCUAUAUAUCUCCAUAUACCCUAAAAACAUCCGAGGGCACAAUAUAUCGGGAGUUCCGCCGCCAGAAGCCUCCGUAGCCACUGAAAGCCAAUCUAGACCCGUUUCGGCACCCUGCCGGAGGGGGCAAUCCCUCUCCGGUGGCCAUCUUCAUCAUCCCGGUGCUCUCCAUGACGAGGAGGGAGUAGUUCUCCCUCGGGGCUGAGGGUAUGUACCAGUAGCUAUGUGUUUGAUCUCUCUCUCUCUCUCGUGUUCUUGAGAUGAUACGAUCUUGAUGUAUCGCGAGCUUUGCUAUUAUAUUUGGAUCCUAUGAUGUUUCUUCCCCCCUCUACUCUCUUGUAAUGAAUUGAGUUUCCCCUUUGAAGUUAUCUUAUCGGAUUGAGUCUUUAAAGAUUUGAGAACACUUGAUGUAUGUCUUGCCGUGGAUAUCUGUGGUGACAAUGGGAUAUCACGUGAUUCACUUGAUGUAUGUUUUGGUGAUCAACUUGCGGGUUCCGCCCAUGAACCUAUGAAUAGGGGUUGGCACACGUUUUCGUCGUGAUUCUCCGAUAGAACUUUGGGGCACUCUUUGAGGUUCUUUGUGUUGGUUGAAUAGAUGAAUCUUAGAUUGUGUGACACAUAUCGUAUAAUCAUACCCACGGAUACUUGAGGUGACAUUGGAGUAUCUAGGUGACAUUAGGGUUUUGGUUGAUUUGUGUCUUAAGGUGUUAUUCUAGUAGGAACUCUAGGGCUGUUUGUGACACUUAUAGGAAUAGCCCAAUGGAUUGAUUGGAAAGAAUAGCUUUGAGGUGCUUUCGUACCCUACCAUAAUCCCUUCGUUUGUUCUCCGCUAUUAGUGACUUUGAAGUGACUCUUUGUUGCAUGUUGAGGGAUAGUUAUGUGAUCCAGUUAUGCUAUUAUUGUUGAGAGGACUUACACUAGUGAAAGUAUGAACCCUAGGCCUUGUUUCCUAGCAUUGCAAUACCGUUUACGCUCACUUUUAUCACUUGUUACCUUGUUGUUUUUAUAAUUUCAGAUUACAAAUACCUUUAUCUACUAUCCAUAUACCACUUGUUUCACCAUCUCUUCGCCGAACUAGUGCACCUAUACAAUUUACCAUUGUAUUGGGUGUGUUGGGGACACAAGAGACUCUUUGUUAUUUGGUUGCAGGGUUGCUUGAGAGAGACCAUCUUCAUCCUACGCCUCCUACGGAUUGAUAAACCUUAGGUCAUCCACUUGAGGGAAAUUUGCUACUGUCCUACAAACCUCUACACUUGGAGGCCCAACAACGUCUAUAAGAAGAAGGUUGUGUAGUAGACAUCAGUCGCGUGGGCCAGUGACGGUCCAGAGGCUUGAGGACCCCGCGGAGGUGGUGCGUCACCGUGUUAGUGAGGAGGACGCGCACGUCCGUCGCUACUUGUUUGCGUUGGAGCACAGGUUCUCCAAUACCUGGCAGGUUCUCCAGGGAUCUCACUGGAGCUAUGAUCCCGUGAUGGUUCCUUCUCUGUGGGUGUCCACCGCCCGCGCCGAUAUCCGUCGCGUGCUAGGGUUUUAGUUGUAUUAGUGAUGUUAUAUGUAUGACACUAUUCGGGAUGUAUUAGUGAUAAUAUUCGAUGAUGUAUGGAUGCAUGAGAUGAUUUACUUUUGCUUAUUGAAUGCAUGCUAAUUUGAGUCCUAUAAGAUAUUUUUAAAUGUAUAUCUUGUGUUGCUCAAAUAGGAUAUGUGCUUGCCCAAGUGGCCGGUCAUGUUUGCAGGUUACACCUCCGAGUGGCCUAUGUUUUGCCGGAGUGUUGAUUCAUUUCCGUUUCAGCAAAUUUCACGCGCUCGAUAUGUCCUAUUUUAGCAAAGGUCAUGCCGGAUUUUUCCGUGAAUUUUGGCAUGACUUGUGCCAGAAGAUGUGGGAAAUAUCGAGUGCCCCGGAUUUGUGUGUUGAGUAUCCUGCUAGUUGUCUUCGAUCGAUUUUCAAUUAAUGUUUUAACUAUGAACAUAGGAAAUGUUUGACGACGAAAAGGAUUUCGGUAUUUGCAAAUACUGCGAAGACGAGCGCGGCCUGUGCGACAGAAUCUUCCUAGAUGAUGAUAGGCACUUCAGCAUCAAGCUGGACGAGAACUUCGAAGUGGAGACAGUAAGUCACAACGACAAGUCUUUUUUCGUAAUUAAGCAUGACAUUUGCUUCAUUUGCUUGAACUUAUAAUUUAAGCAUGACAUUAAGCAUGACAAGUCUUUUUUUACUAUUCUACUAGCGUAUCCCCUGCCAUGCAAGAGUUUUUGUAUUGGAUAAGAUAGGUUUUAGUCGUACUAUGGAGGAAAAGAAAGUUUACUUGAAGACCGAGCAUGGUUAUAUUUUCCAUGCAAAAUUAUACAAUUCAGACGACUACACCUAUUUUGGAUGCAAAACAUGGCGAGCACUAUGCAAGACUUAUGCAUUUGAGCCUGAUAUGGUUAUCACCUUUCAUAUUCGUCCGGAAGAUGAUAUUGAAGGUAAUACCGACAUCUGGGUCGAUGUGCAGACGCCUCCAGUUAUACCAUUAUGUAAGUUUCUCAACCAUAUUUAUGUCUUUGAUAUUGUUUAUUCAAAAAUAGUUGACAACUAAUUUGUAUUGCCAGCUUAUUUCGGUGCAAGCAAACAUGUCCAGCGCUUGGUAGACAGGACCUACUACUGUCCCGAGGCUGAACUAAACUGCGAGGAGCUAAGUCAUUAUGUUUCAUGGCUUGAGGAUCUUGAUACUGUCAAUACAAAUUUUCUUCCUGCAUUUAGAAAUGUUAGUACUGAAAACGUGCGACCAAUAGUGUUCGUAAUGAACUACGGUCACAUCUAUUUAGGAAGGAUGGUAAGAUUUUUACUAUUUGUCCUCAGUGCAUCUUUUCCAUACAUUAUUUUUGAAGCUAAACUUCAUUGCUAAGUAUGUUACCAUACGAUGUUCUUCAACAGGGACUCCCGAUGAAUGUUGUGCCUUAUGUGAUCGAGACUAAAGGUACCAUGAGUAUUAUUAGCUUACGGCCAAGAUAUCUGAGAGAUUACUUUAGUGCAUUCAGGAUUAGCGACGGAUGCUUAAUAGUGCAAGACUGGACCAAAUGUGUGAUGGAGAAGCGCAGAGAAGUACUAGGGGGCAGCAAACAGAUGCGCUACCCACGAUUAGGAGACAUGUUCAUCUGCAUGAUCCAACUUGAUCAAGGAUGAGAGCUACACAUGUUUUAUGUUAUUUUACCUAAGAUAGAGCAGCAGGAGUGAUUAGCUAGCUAGAAAUGAGUUUGAGGAUGAUGAUGUGCUACACUAUUACUAUGAUGAUAAAAUAGCUAGUGUUGGUGGUAAUGACUAUGAUGAUUAUUAUUAGCCUGUUUUAGUGGUGAUUAAAUAAAUACUGUUGGUGGUAAUGACUAUGAUGAUGAUUAAAUAGCUUGUGCUGGCGCAUUAGAUUCAAGUGGAGGCAACAUGUGGUGCACAUCUAAAGUACUACUAGUCCAAACUGAUCAAGUUUGGAUUAGUAGUAUACUUUUGACAUGCACCACAUAUUGCCUCCACUUGAACCUAAUCCACCUUCAUUUGACACACUGUUAUGGACAUAAUGAUGUAAACCUCAUAACUCGUAUUGUACCAAUAUUUGUACGAUGGCGCAUAAAUACACUAAAAAUAAAAAAAAUAAAAAAGAAUACUAGUAGCGAUGGAGAGAAAAAACGCCGCCAGUAGUUACAUUAGCAGUAGCGUGGGAGUGAACAAACACUGCAGCUAUUUGUCCUAGCAGUAGCGCGUGCGGGCACGCGUUACUGCUAAGCAAUACCUGUAGCACCUUAUUAGUAGCACGCCUACCCACGCUACUAGUGAGCCCAAAACCAGCGCUACUGCUAGGGUUUUCCCUAGUAGUGGGAGUCCAAACGGAAUGAAACCUUCGGGAACGUGAUUUUCUCAACAAACAAGACCCGGGAGACUUGGACCCUACGUCAAGAAAGAAAAGAGGAGGCCACGAGGUAGGGGGCGCGUCUACCUCCACCAGGCGCGCCCUCCACCCUCGUGGGCCCCCUGUUGCUCCACCGACGUACUCCUUCCUCCUAUAUAUACCUACGUACCCCCAAACGAUCAGAUACGGAGCCAAAAUCCUAAUUCCACUGCCGUAACUUUCUGUAUCCACGAGAUCCCAUCUUGGGGCCUGUUCUAGAGCUCCGCCAGAGGGGGCAUCGAUCACGGAGGGCUUCUACAUCAACACCAUAGCCUCUCCGAUGAAGUGUGAGUAGUUUACCUCAGACCUACGGGUCCAUAGUAGUAGCUAGAUGGCUUCUUCUCUCUUUUUGGAUCUCAAUACAAUGUUCUCCCCCUCUCUUGUGGAGAACUAUUCGAUGUAAUCUUCUUUUUGCGGUGUGUUUGGUGAGACCGAUGAAUUGUGGGUUUAUGAUCAAGUCUAUCUAUGAAUAAUAUUUGAAUCUUCUCUGAAUUCUUUUAUGUAUGAUUGGUUAUCUUUGCAAGUCUCUUCGAAUUAUCAGUUUGGUUUGGCCUACUAGAUUGAUCUUUCUUGCAAUGGGAGAAGUGGUUAGCUUUGGGUUCAAUUUUGCGGUGUCCUUUCCCAGUGACAGUAGGGGCAGCAAGGCACGUAUUGUAUUGUUGCCAUCGAGGAUAACAAGAUGGGGUUUUCUUCAUAUUGGAUGAGUCUAUGCCUCUACAUCAUGUCAUCUUGCUUAAGGCGUUACUCUAUUUUUAACUUAAUACUCUAGAUGCAUGCUAGAUAGUGGUCGAUGAGUGGAGUAAUAGUCGUAGAUGCAGGCAGGAGUUGGUCUACUUGUCUCAGACGUGAUGCCUAUAUACAUGAUCAUACCUAGAUAUUCUCAUAACUAUGCUCAAUUCUAUCAAUUGCUCAACAGUAAUUUGUUCACCCACCGUAGAAUACUUAUGCUCUUGAGAGAAGCCACUAGUGAAACCUAUGGCCCCCGGGUCUAUCUUUACAUAUUAAUCUCCUACUACUUAGUUAUUUCCUUUGCUAUUUACUUUGCCUUUAUUUUACUUUGCAUCUUUAUCAUAAAAAUACCAAAAAUAUUAUUUUAUCAUAUCUAUCAGAUCUCACUCUCGUAAGUGGCCUUGUAGGGAUUGACAACCCCUAUUUGCGUUGGUUGCGAGGAUUUAUUUGUUUUGUGCAGGUACGAGGGACUCGCGCGUAGCCUCCUGAUACGUCUCCAAUGUAUCUACUUUUCCAAACACUUUUGCCCUUGUUUUGGACUCCAACUUGUAUGAUUUGAAUGGAACUAACCCGGACUGACGCUGUUUUCAGCAGAAUUGCCAUGAUGUUGUUUUAUGUGCAGAAAACAAAAGUUCUCGGAAUGACCUGAAACUCCACGGGAUAUCUUAGAAUAAAUAAUAAAUUAUCCUCGCCAAAGAUGAAGACCAGGGGGCCCACACCCUUCUCACGAGGGUGGGGGGCGCCCCCCCUAGGGAGCACCCCCUACCUCGUGGGCCCCCUAGAGACCCCUCGACUCCAACUCCAACUCUAUAUAACUGCUUUUGGGGAGAAAAAAAUAGGAGAGAAGAAAUCAUCGCGUUUUAUGAUACGGAGCCGCCGCCAAGCCCUAAAACCUCUCGGGAGGGCUGAUCUGGAGUCCGUUCGGGGUUCCGGAGAGGGGGAUUCGUCGCCUUCGUCAUCAUCAACCAUCCUCCAUCACCAAUUUCAUGAUGCUCACCGCCGUGCGUGAGUAAUUCCAUCGUAGGAUUGCUGGACGGUGAUGGGUUGGAUAAGAUUCACCAUGUAAUCGAGUUAGUUUUGUUAGGGUUUGAUCCCUAGUAUCCACUAUGUUCUGAGAUUGAUGUUGCUAUGACUUUGCUAUGCUUAAUGCUUGUCACUAGGGCCCGAGUGCCAUGAUUUCAGAUCUGGACCUAUUAUGUUUUCAUCAAUAUAUGAGAGUUCUAGAUCCUAUCUUGCAAGUCUAUAGUCACCUAUUAUGUGUUAUGAUCCAUUAACCCCGAAGUGACAAUAAUCGGGAUACUUACCGGUGAUAACCGUAGUUUGAGGAGUUCAUGUAUUCACUAUGUGCUAAUGCUUUGUUCCGGUUCUCUAUUAAAAGGAGGCCUUAAUAUUCCUUAUUUUCCAUUAGGACCCCGCUGCCACGGGAGGGUAGGACAAAAGAUGUCAUGCAAGUUCUUUUCCAUAAGCACGUAUGACUAUAUUCGGAAUACAUGCCUACAUUACAUUGACGAAUUGGAGCUAGUUCUGUGUCACCCUAUGUUAUGACUGUUACAUGAUGAACUGCAUCCGGCAUAAUUAUCCAUCAUUGAUCCGAUGCCUACGAGCUUUCCAUAUACUGGUUUACGCUUAUUUACUUUCCCGUUGCUAUUGUUACAAUCACAACAAAACACCAAAAACAUUACUUUGCUUUCAUUACUCUUUUGUUACUGUUACCAUCACUAUCAUAUUACUUUGCUACUAAACACUUUGUUGCAAAUACUAAGUUUCCAGGUGUGGUUGAAUUGACAACUCAGCUGCUAAUACUUGAGAAUAUUCUUUGGCUCCCCAUGUGUCGAAUCAAUAAAUUUGGGUUGAAUAAUCUACCCUCGAAAGCUGUUGCGAUCCCCUAUACUUGUGGGCUAUCAAGACUAAUUUCUGGCGCCGUUGCCGGGGAGCAUAGCUCUAUUCUUUGAGUCACUUGGGAUUUAUAUCUGCUGGACACUAUGAAGAACUUGAGAGAUCCAAAAACCAAGAUCUAUCCCUCAACUACGAGGGGAGGUAAGUAACUGCCAUCUAGCUCUGCACUUGAUUCACCUUCUGUUAUGAGUAAUCUUGCGACACCUACACCUGCUUCUGCUAUUCGUUCUGAUAUGUCGCAUGUUAUUGAUGAUGCUACUUCUGCUAUGCAUGAUACUUAUGAUCAAACUACCUCUAUGCCUGAUACUACUAUGCCACUUAGUGAUUUUCUAGAGGAACGACUUGCUAGGGCUAGAGAGAUUGAAAAUAUUGAAUCUGAUUAUGAAGAUGAAAGUGAUGAUGAAGAAUCACUUGUUAUUCCUAAGGGUUAUUUAUUUGAUCAAGAUGCUUCUUUAGCUAUUUUAGCCUGGAAAGAUAGAUAUGAACUCAAAAGGUUAUUAGCUAAAUGGAAUAAGCAAUCUCCAAAUGCUAGGAUGAGACCUGACCCUGCUUUUGCUACUUCACCUAUAUGUGUUGCUGAUAAGGAUUAUGAAUUCUCUAUUGAUCCUGAUAUAAUUACUUUGGUUGAAUCUGAUCCUUUUCAUGGCUAUGAAUCUGAAACUGUUGUAGCACAUCUUAAUAAAUUAAAUAAUAUAUCCACCCUGUUCACUAAUGAUGAGAGAUCUCGCUACUUUUAUAUCCUUAAAAUAUUUCCGUUCUCAUUAAAGGGUGAUGCUAAGAUAUGGUUCAAUUCUCUUGAUCCUGGUUGUGUGCGUAGUCCCCAGGAUAUGAUUUAUUACUUCUCUGCUAAAUAUUUCCCUGCUCAUAAGAAACAAGCUGCUUUAAAGGAAAUAUACAACUUUGUGCAAAUUAAAUAAGAGAGUCUCCCACAAGCUUGGGGGAGGCUUCUCAAGUUACUUAAUGCUUUGCCUGAUCCUCCUCUUAAGAAAAAUGAAAUACUUGAUAUCUUUUAUAAUGGACUAACCGAUGCUUCCAAAGAUUACCUGGAUAGUUGUGCUGGUUCUCUUUUGAGGGAAAGAACACCAGAUGAAGCUGAAAUCUUAUUGAAUAAUAUGUUGACAAAUGAAAAUAAUUGGGCACCUCCUGAGCUAGCUCUUGCUCCAAUUAAUGAUCCUAUUCCUAAACCAACUUCGAAGAAGAGAGGUAUUCUAUUUCUCAGUCCUGAAGAUAUGCAAGAGGCAAAGAAAUCUAUGAAAGAAAAAUGUAUUAAAGCUGAAGAUGUUAAGAAUUUACCUCCUAUUGAAGAAAUACAUGGUCUUAAUUUACCACCUGUUGAAGAAACAUAUGAUCUUAAUCCUUUAUUUAUUGAAGAACCUCCAGACCUCGAUAACCCGACACAGGUAGUAAAGGUAAAUUCUCUCUAUAGAUAUGAUAAAGCUCAAAUCCCUCCUACUAAAAUUGCUAGUCAAUGCUUGGAUGAGUUUGAUAAUUUUAUGUUUAAGCAAGAAGACUUCAAUGCUUAUUUUGGUAGACAAUUAAAACAAGAUGCUGAUAUGAUUAAAUACUUAGGUGAUUAUAUGGCUAAUAUUAGAGGUGAACUUAAACUUGUUAGCAAACAUGCUUCUAUGGUUACCACUCAAGUAGAACAAGUACUUAAAGCUCAAAAAGAAUUGCUCAAUGAGAUGAAUAGUAAGAAAAAUGAUUAUGCUGUUAAAGUGUCUACUAGAACUGGUAGAAUGACUCAGGAACCUUUGUAUCCUGAAGGCCACCCUAAGAGAGUUGAGCAAGAUUCUUAGAGAAAUAAUAUUGAUGCACCCAGUUCUUCUAAAAAGAAGAAAAAGAAAAAUGAUAGAACAGUGCAAACUUCUAGUGAACCUAUUGCUGAACCACCUAAUAAUCCAAAUGAUAUCUCUAUGUGUGAUGUUGAAACACAAUCUGGUAAUGAACAUGAACCUAAUAAAAAUGUUAAUGAUGAUGUUCAUAAUGAUGCUCAACCUAGUAAUGAUAAUGAUGUAGAAAUUGAACCUGCUGUUGAUCUUGAUAACCCACAAUCAAAGAAUCAAUGUUAUGAUAAGAAAGACUUCGUUGCUAGGAAACAUGGUAAAGAAAGAGAACCUUGGGUUCAGAAACCCAUGCCUUUUCCUCCCAAACCAUCAUAGAAAAAGGAUGAUGAGGAUUUUGAGCGCUUUGAUGAAAUGAUUAGACCUAUGUUUUUGCGUAUGCGAUUAACUGAUAUACUCAAAACAAAUCCUUAUGCCAAGUACAUGAAAGAUAUUAUUACAAAUAAAAGAAAGAUACCGGAAGCUGAAAUUUCCUCCAUGCUUGCUAAUUAUACUUUUAAGGGUGGAAUACCAAAGAAACUUGGGGAUUGAUACGUCUCCGUCGUAUCUACUUUUCCAAACACUUUUGCCCUUGUUUUGGACUCUAACUUGUAUGAUUUGAAUGGAACUAACCCGGACUGACGCUGUUUCCAGCAGAAUUGCAAUGGUGUUGUUUUAUGUGCAGAAAAAAUAUAUUCUCGGAAUGACCUGAAACUCCACGGAACAUCUUAGAAAAAAUAAUAAAAAAUCCUCGCCAAAGAUGAAGACCAGGGGGCCCACACCCUGUCCAUGAGGGUGGGGGGCGCGCCCCCCUCUAGGGCGCGCCCCCUACCUUGUGGGCCCCCCGGAUGCCCUCCGACGCCAACUCCAACUCUAUAUAUUUGCUUUCGGAGAGAAAAAAAUCAGAGAGAAGAAAUCAUCACGUUUUACGAUACGAAGCCACCGCCAAGCCCUAAAACCUCUCGGGAGGGCUGAUCUGGAGUCCGUUCGGGGCUUCGGAGAGGGGGAUUCGUCGCUGUCGUCAUCAUCAACCAUCCUCCAUCACCAAUUUCAUGAUGCUCACCACCGUGCGUGAGUAAUUUCAUCAUAGGCUUGCUGGACGGUGAUGGGUUGUAUGAGAUUUAUCAUGUAAUCGAGUUAGUUUUGUUAGGGUUUGAUCCCUAGUAUCCAUUAUGUUCUGAGAUUGAUGUUGCUAUGACUUUGCUAUGCUUAAUGCUUGUCACUAGGGCCUGAGUGCCAUGAUUUCAGAUCUGAACCUAUUAUGUUUUCAUGAAUAUAUGUGAGUUCUUGAUCCUAUCUUGCAAGUCUAUAGUCACCUACUAUGUGUUAUGAUCCGGCAACCCCGAAGUAACAAUAAUCGGGACCACUCCCCGUGAUGACCAUAGUUUGAGUAGUUCAUGUAUUCACUAUGUGCUAAUGCUUUGUUCCGGUUCUCUAUUAAAAGGAGGCCUUAAUAUCCCUUAGUUUCCAAUAGGACCCCGCUGCCAUGGGAGGGUAGGACAAAAGAUGUCAUGCAAGUUCUUUUCCAUAAGCACGUAUGACUAUAUACGGAAUACAUGCCUACAUUAAAUUGAUGAAUUGGAGCUAGUUCUGUGUCACCCUAUGUUAUGACUGUUACAUGAUGAACCGCAUCCGACAUAAUUAUCCAUCACUGAUCCGGUGCCUACGAGUUUUCCAUAUACUGGUUCUCGCUUAUUUACUUUCCCGCUGCUACUGUUACAAUCACUACAAAAUACUAAAAACAUUACUUUUGUUGUCUUUACUUUUGUUGCCGCUACCAUCACUAUCAUAUUACUUUGCUACUAAACACUUUGCUACAGAUACUAAGUUUCCAGGUGUGGUUGAAUUGACAACUCAACUGCUAAUACUUGAGAAUAUUCUUUGGCUCCCCUUGUGUCGAAUCAAUAAAUUUGGGUUGAAUACUCUACCCUCGAAAGCUGUUGCGAUCCCCUAUACUUGUGGGUUAUCAAGACAAAUUUCUGGCGCCGUUGCCGGGGAGCAUAGAUCUAUUCUUUGAGUCACUUGGGAUUUAUAUCUGCUGGACACUAUGAAGAACUUGAAAGACGCUAAGACAACAAUUUAUCCCUCAACUACGAGGGGAGGUAAGGAACUGCCAUCUAGCUUUGCACUUGAUUCACCUUCUGUUAUGAGUAAGCUAGCGACACCUAAACCUGCUUCUGCUAUUCGUUUCGAUAUGUCGCAUGUUAUUGAUGAUGCCACUUCUGCUAUGCAUGAUACUUAUGAUGAAACUGCUUCUAUGCAUGAUACUACUGUGCCCCUUAGUGAAUUUCUUGAUGAACAAAUUGCUAGGGCUAGAGAAAAAGAAACUAUUGAAUCUGAAUACGAUGAUGAAAAUAUGCCUGUUAUUCCCGAGGGUUAUCUUUUUGAUAUGGAAUCUUCUGCUGCUAUUUUAUCUUGCAGGGAUAGAUAUGAGCUUAAGAGGUUAUUAGUUAAAUGGAACAAAGAAUCACUUAGAGAUAAAAUGAAACCCGGUCCUGCUUUUGCUACUUCACCUAUUUGUGUUCAUGAUAAGGAUUAUGAAUUCUCUAUUGAUCCUGAUAUAAUUACUUUGGUUGAAUCUGAUCUGUUUUAUGGCUAUGAAUCUGAAACUGUUGUGGCACAUCUUACUAAGUUAAAUGAUAUAGCUGCCCUGUUCACUAAUGAUGGGAGAUCGCGUUACUUCUAUAUACUCAAAAUAUUUCCUUUCUCAUUAAAGGGUGAUGCUAAGAUAUGGUUUAACUCUCUUGAUCCUGGUUGUGUGCGUAGUCCCCAAGAUAUGAUUUAUUACUUCUCUACUAAAUAUUUCCCUGCUCAUAAGAAACAAGCUGCUUUGAGGGAAAUAUACAACUUUGUGCAAAUUAAAGAAGAGAGUCUCCCACAAGCUUGGGGGAGGCUUCUCAAGUUACUUAAUGCUUUGCCUGAUCAUCCUCUUAAGAAACCCGAAAUACUUGAUAUCUUUUAUAAUGGACUAACCGAUGCUUCCAGAGAUUACCUGGAUAGUUGUGCCGAUUCUCUUUUCAGGGAAAGAAUACUGGAUGAAGGUGAAAUUCUAUUGAAUAAUAUGUUGACAAAUGAAAAUAAUUGGGCACCUCCUGAGCCAGCUCCUGCUCCAAUUACUGAGCCUAUUCCUAAACCAACUCCGAAGAAGAGAGGUGUUCUAUUCCUGAGUCCCGAAGAUAUGCAAGAGGCAAAGAAAUCUAUGAAAGAAAAAGGUAUUAAAGCUGAAGAUGUUAAGAAUUUACCUCCUAUUGAAGAAAUACAUGGUCUUAAUCUACCGCCUGUGAAAGAAACUUAUGAUCUCAAUUCUUUAUUUAUUGAAGAACCUUCAGACCCCGAUAUCCCGACACAGGUAGUAAAGGUAAAUUCUCUCUAUAGAUUUGAUGAAGGUGAUAUCCCUCACUAUAAGUCUGCUAGGCAAUGCUUUGAUGAGUUUGAUAAAUUUAUUGUCAAACAAGAAAAUUUCAAUGCCUAUUUUUGUAUACAAUUAAAACAAAAUUCUGAUAUGAUUAAAUACUUGGGUGAUUAUAUGGCUAAUAUUAAAGGUGAACUUAAACUUGUUAGCAAACAUGCUUCUAUGGUUACCACGCAAGUAGAACAAGUGCUUAAAGCUCAAAAAGAAGAGCUUGAUGAAAUGAAUAGUAAGAAAAAUGAUUAUGCUGUUAGAGUGGCUACUAGAACUAGUAGAAUGACUCAGGAACCUUUGUAUCCUGAAGGCCACCCUAAGAGAAUCGAGCAAGAUUCUUAGAGAAAUAAUAUUGAUGUUCCUAGUUCUUCUAAAAAGAAGAAAAAGAAAAAUGAUAGAACUGUGCAAACUUCUAGUGAACCUAUUGCUGAACCACCUGAUAAUCCAAAUGAUAUAUCUAUGUCUGAAGCUGAAACACAAUCUGGUAAUGAACAUGAACCUAGUGAAAAUAUUAAUGAUGAUGUUCAUGAUGAUGCUCAACCUAGUAAUGACAAUGAUGUAGAAAUUGAACCUGCUGUUGAUCUUGAUAACCCACAAUCAAAGAAUCAACGUUAUGAUAAAAGAGACUUUGUUGCUAGGAAACAUGGUAAAGAAAGGGAACCUUGGGUUCAGAAACCCAUGCCUUUUCCUCCAAAACCAUCCAAGAAAAAGGAUGAUGAGGAUUUUGAGCGCUUUGCUGAAAUGAUUAGGCCUAUCUUUUUGCGUAUGCGAUUAACUGAUGUGCUCAAAACAAAUCCUUAUGCUAAAUAUAUGAAGGAUAUCAUUACUAAUAAAAGAAAGAUACCGGAAGAUGAAAUUUCCACCAUGCUUGCUAAUUAUACUUUUAAGGGUGGAAUACCAAAGAAACAUGGAGACCCCAGAGUACCUACUAUACCUUGCUCCAUUAAAAGAAAUUAUAUUAAAACUGCUUUAUGUGAUCUUGGAGCCGGUGUUAGUGUUAUGCCUCUCUCUUUAUAUCGUAGACUUGACUUGAAUAAGUUGACACCUACUGAAAUAUCUUUGCAAAUGGCUGAUAAAUCAACUGUUAUACCUGCCGGUAUCUGUAAGGAUGUGCCUGUUGUGGUUGCAAACGUUACUAUUUUAACGGACUUUGUUAUUCUUGAUAUUCCCGAGGAUGAUAGUAUGUCUAUUAUUCUUGGAAGACCUUUUCUUAAUACUGCAGGGGUUGUUAUUGAUUGCAACAAAGGCAAUGUCACUUUUCAUGUUAAUGGUAAUGAGCAUACGGUACAGUUUCCGAGGAAACAACCUCAAGUUCAUAGUAUCAACUCCAUUGGAAAAAUUCCAUCGAUUAUAAUUGGAGGUUUUGAAUUUCCUCUUCCUACUGUCAAAAAGAAAUAUGAUAUACUUAUUAUUGGGAAUGUGCAUAUCCCCGUUGAGGUAACUUAGUGUUAUUCGAAAUUUCUCCGGUUUCAUGAUUAUCGGAAUGAGUUUGUUAACAAGACUUGAUCAACCUUGUUAGUGGAUUCUUUUUGAUGAGCAUGAGAUGGAUGAAACUAGAAGCACCACCUUCUGUACCCUCUCUAUAUUUUUUGUUAAUUAGUAGAAAUAAAUUAAAAAUAGUAUUUUUCUGUCUGUUUCCUGACUUAUCCGUGCAAUAUAAAAAUAUCCCGAAAAUAAAAGUCCUCAGAAUGACAUGCCAAUUUAAUAUGAUUUUUUCGGGAAUAUUUGAGGAUUUACUGUACAAAAAUUACCGCGGGAGGAGCUGCCACCUGGCCACGAGGGUGGUGGGCGCGCCCCUUUCCUCGUGGGCCCACGGUGACCCUCCUCCACUUAUCCCAGCACCCAUCUUCUUCCUCCGUCUCACACAAACCCGAAAAACCAACUCAAGCACGAGUUCCAACUACUUUUGCUGUGAUUUUCGAUCUCCUUGCUCAAAGCACCUCUCGCAAAACUGCUUGGGGAGAUUGUUCCAUGGUAUGUGACUCCUCCAUUGGUCCAAUUAGUUUUUCUUCUAGUGCUUUAUUCUUUGCAAAUUUGUGCUGCAUAGGUGACCAUGUUCUUGAGCUUGCAUGUCAAAUUUAUAUGGUUCCAAGUAGUUCUAAUGCUUGAUUUAGGCUCUAGGCACUUGUAGGAGUAGUUGCUAUCAGUUUUAUUGAAGUUGGUUCACUUUUGUUUGAAGUUACUAAAAAUUUCAGAUUAUUUCAGAAAAAUAAUGAGGAGACUUUUGAGGGGUUCAUUGAGCCGAAGCUCAAAGGAUAAACAAAAUGAAGAAGCUCAGAGGCCCAAAUAUAAUUUGCCUCGUACUGCGGAGAUCCGGCUGUGUGAAUGGCCUUCUGAUAAUUUCUUGAGAGAGGCCGGGAUUUAUGAGGAUUUCUAUUCAUUGAUUAAGAAUGCUGGCCUCACCGACUUCGUCCGCGACCAACGUCCACAGUAUCUCUUACUCACAAAUACUUUUGUGCAAAACUUCUACUUUUUCCCUAAAGAGUCACCUCCUUCAGUAGAGUUUCAUUUAUAUGACGUUGUGAAGAAAAUGCCAUUGUCUGAAUUUUGCGCAGUCUGCAACAUACCUCCUGAUGGUAUCUUAGAGGAACCACCUCGUAAAGAGUUGGAACCAUUUAUUAACCUUAUCUCUAUGGGAGAAACCGGGAAGGUUUCUGAUGCAAGAAUCACUAGCAUACAUUUUCCUGUGUUACGCUAUUUUGCUUUAUUUGCUAGUCAAUGCUUGAUUAGUCGUGGGAACUGUGGGAACCUUAGUGUUCCUGAUAUUAUUAUUCUGUUCCAUGGUUUAUACGGCGACAACAUUGUCAGUAUGGGCGGAAUUAUUGCUAGGCGGUUGAGUCUGAACCGUACUAAACGCCCCAUCUUUGGAGGCAUUUAUGCUUCUCGCCUUGCUGCACACUUUAACAUAGCUAUUAAGCAUUAUGAGAAAGAAGAAAAAUUGCUACCUAAUGCUUAUCUAGACUACAAGAGCAUGAUAGCUCAUGAUUUUCUUGUUAAGGACAUGAAUGGAGAGCUCAAAUAUAAGUUAUACUUUGAUAAACAUUAUCUUGAAACUAUUAUGUUGCCUGCUCCUUCUUUGUUUAAUUUUGUAGGACCCUACCUCAUUACGUGGGCUGCCGUCCAAGCUUACAAGAAUCCUGCACCAGCCCCAGAACAGGAACCACAAGAUGAGCCUCCAUGACAAUCUGUUUAUUCUUGGGAUCCAGAGAUGACUGUCAGCCAGUGGCAGUCAGAGUCUUCUUCUUCAUCACAGUAUGAUCCCAACUAUUCUUCGUCGCAGUACGACCCCAGCAACACCUAUGGGUAUCCACCAGGCUAUCCCUGACAAUAGACCAACUUAGGCCAAAAGCCUAAGCUUGGGGGAGUAUGUAUUUCUCACCGACAUUACAUUUAUGUUCACACACACUCAUUGCUAGAUGUCAGUGCUCAUACUCUUUCACUGUAAUAUCCAUGCUAGUUUAUUUUCUUUUUCCUGCUUUCUUCUUGUGUGUUUGUUAAACCUUAAGAAAAACAAAAAAAUAGUAGUAGUUUAUUUUUCUGCUGUAGUAGUAAUAAUUAAAAAGAAAACCCAAAAAUAUUUCCCGUUCUUCUUUUGCUUGUUGGGAGCUUUCCCAUGUAAAUAGUUUUAUUUCUUUUCUUUUCUUUGGGGGUUAGUAGGAGAAGACAAUAAUUAAAUUGUUGAAGUGGCUCUUAUAUGCAUUAUUGUUGAUUUAACCAAGAGCCCAUAUUGCCUUGUCUUCUCCUGUUUAUUGAAUGCUUGCAGAUUCCAGCUUAGUCCAAUGCACGUGCACCCUUAUUAUUAUUCACACCGUUCGGUCGUGCAAGUGAAAGACAAUUAUGAUGAUAUAUGAUGGACUGACUGCGAUGAGAAAAGCUGGCAUGAACUCGACCUCUUUUGUUUUUGUAAAUAUGAUGAGCCCACUCGUUCUUGAUUCAGCUUAUUAUGAAUAAACAUGUUUGCAAUGACAAUUAGAGAUCGUAGUUGCUUGUGCCAUGUUUGAUUAGCUAUGAGUUAUAAUGGUUUACCUUGUGUGCCAACAUACUAUUGAGAUGAUUAUGAUGUGGUAUGAUGGGGUGGUAUCCUCCUUUGAAUGAUUUAAGUGACUUGACUUGGCACAUGUUCACGCAUGUAGUUGAAAAAAAUCAACAUAGCCUUCACGAUAUUUAUGUUCAUGGUGGAUUAUAUCCUACUCAUGCUUGCAUCCAAUGUUUAUUAAUUUUAAUGCAUGUACAUGGCUGUUGUCGCUCUCUAGUUGGUCGCUUCCCAGUCUUUUGCUAGCCUUCACUUGUACUAAGCGGGAAUACUGCUUGUGCAUCCAAUCCCUUAAACCCCAAAGUUAUUCCAGAUGAGUCCACCAUACCUUCCUAUAUGCGGCAUCUACCUGCCGUUCCAAGUAAAUUUGUAUGUGCCAAACUCUAAACCUUCAAAUAAACAUUCUGUUUUGUAUGCUCGAAUAGCUCAUGUAUCAACCAAGGCCGUCCUUAUCUUCCGUGUUAGGCGGGUUAUUCUCAAGAGGAGUGGACUCCGCUCCUCACUCACGAGAAAAUGGCUGGUCACCGGGAUGCCCAAUCCCAUGCUUUAUGCAAACUAAAUCAAAAUUAAUUGCAAACAAAACUCCCCCUGGGACCUGAUGUAUGUUGGAGACACUCGUUGUUUCGAGCAAGUCAUGGAUUGAUGCUUGUUGGUGGAGGGGGAGUAUAAACUUUACCAUUCUGUUUGGGAAACGCCUAUAAUGUGUUUAUCAUGGAAGAUAUCGCCAUCUCUUAGUUGCUAUGUUGACAAUGAAAGUAUACCGCUCAAAAUACAAUAUAUCACUAUUGCAAAACCGAGCUCUGGCACAUCUAAAAAUCCCUACUUCCCUCUACGAAGGCCUAUCCAUUUACUUUUAUGUUGAGUCAUCGCCCUCUUAUUAAAAAGCACUAGCUGGAGAGCACAGCUGUCAUUUGCAUUCAUCACUAUUAAUUUAUAUUGGGUGUGACUAUGAUUGGAUCUCUUUUACCAUGAAUUACAAUGUCUAGUCAGUCCUUCAUCUUUAAAGGUGCUCUGCAUUUAUGUUUUGCGGUCUCAGAAUGGGCUAGCGAGAUACCAUCUUGUUAUAUCAUAUUAUGAUCGUUUUGAGAAAGUGUUGUCAUCCGAGAUUUAUUAUUAUGACUUGCUAGUUGAUUAUGCCAUUCAUAUAAGUAAUUAUGAGACCUGAGAAUUAUUGCAAAUGUGGUUAGUUAUGAUCUAUGCUGAAAACUUGAAUACUGGCUUGACAUAGUUACAACAACAAGAGCAAACAGAGUUUGUAAAAGUUUUUCUUUCUUUCUUUCAGUUUGUCAACUGAAUUGCUUGAGGACAAGCAAGGGUUAAAGCUUGGGGGAGUUGAUACGUCUCCGUCGUAUCUACUUUUCCAAACACUUUUGCCCUUGUUUUGGACUCUAACUUGUAUGAUUUGAAUGGAACUAACCCGGACUGACACUGUUUUCAGCAGAAUUGCCAUGGUGUUGUUUUAUGUGCAGAAAACAAAUAUUCCCGGAAUGACCUGAAACUCCACGGAACAUCUUAGAAAAAAUAAUAAAAAAUCCUCGCCAAAGAUGAAGACCAGGGGGCCCACACCCUGUCCACGAGGGUGGGGGGCGCGCCCCCUACCUCAUGGGCCCCCCGGAUGCCCUCCGACGCCAACUCCAACUCUAUAUAUUUGCUUUCGGAGAGAAAAAAAUCAGAGAGAAGAAAUCAUCGCGUUUUAUGAUACGGAGCCGCCGCCAAGCCCUAAAACCUCUCGGGAGGGCUGAUCUAGAGUCCGUUUGGGUCUCAGGAGAGGGGGAUUCGUCGCUGUCGUCAUCAUUAACCAUCCUCCACCACCAAUUUCAUGAUGCUCACCGCCGUGCGUGAGUAAUUCCAUCGUAGGCUUGCUGGACGGUGAUGGAUUGGAUGAGAUUUAUCAUGUAAUCGAGUUAGUUUUGUUAGGGUUUGAUCCCUAGUAUCCAUUAUGUUCUUAGAUUGAUGUUGCUAUGACUUUGCUAUGCUUAAUGCUUGUCACUAGGGCCCGAGUGCCAUGAUUUCAGAUCUGAACCUAUUAUGUUUUCAUGAAUAUAUGUGAGUUCUUGAUCCUAUCUUGCAAGUCUAUAGUCACCUACUAUGUGUUAUGAUCCGGCAACCCCGAAGUGACAAUAAUCGGGACCACUCCCGGUGAUGGCCAUAGUUUGAGGAGUUCAUGUAUUCACUAUGUGCUAAUGCUUUGUUCCAAUUCUCUAUUAAAAGGAGGCCUUAAUAUCCCUUAGUUUCCAAUAGGACCCCGCUGCCAUGGGAGGGUAGGACAAAAGAUGUCAUGCAAGUUCUUUUCCAUAAGCACGUAUGACUAUAUACGAAAUACAUGCCUACAUUACAUUGAUGAAUUGGAGCUAGUUCCGUGUCACCCUAUGUUAUGACUGUUACAUGAUGAACCGCAUCCGGCAUAAUUAUCCAUCACUGAUCCGGUGCCUACGAGUUUUCCAUAUACUGGUUCUCGCUCAUUUACUUUCCCGUUGCUACUGUUACAAUCACUACAAAAUACCAAAAACAUUACUUUUGCUAUCUUUACUUUUGUUGCCGCUACCACCACUAUCAUAUUACUUUGCUACUAAACACUUUGCUGCAGAUACUAAGUUUCCAGGUGUGGUUGAAUUGACAACUCAGCUGCUAAUACUUGAGAAUAUUCUUUGGCUCCCUUCGUGUCGAAUCAAUAAAUUUGGGUUGAAUACUCUACCCUCGAAAGCUGUUGCGAUCCCCUAUACUUGUGGGUUAUCAGGGAUCCCAGAGUACCUACUAUACCAUGCUCCAUUAAAAGAAACUAUGUUAAAACUGCUUUAUAUGAUCUUGGAGCCGGUAUUAGUGCUAUGCCUCUCUCUUUAUAUCGUAGACUUGAUUUGAAUAAGUUGACACCUACUAAAAUAUCUUUGCAAAUGGCUGAUAAAUCAACUGCUAUACCUGUUGAUAUUUGUGAGGAUGUGCCUGUUGUGGUUGCAAACGUUACUAUUUUAACAGACUUUGUUAUUCUUGAUAUUCCUGAGGACGAUAGUAUGUCUAUUAUUCUUGGAAGACCUUUUCUUAAUACUGCAGGGGCUGUUAUUGAUUGCAACAAAGGCAAUGUCACUUUUCAUGUUAAUGGUAAUGAGCAUACGACACACUUUCCGAGAAAACAACCUCAAGUUCAUAGUAUCAAUUCUAUCAGAAAAAUUCCAUCGAUUAUAUUUGGAGGUUUUGAAUUUCCUCUUCCUACUGUCAGGAAGAAAUAUGAUAUACUUAUUAUUGGGGAUGUGCAUAUCCCUGUUGAGGUAACCUAGUGUUAUUCGAAAUUUCUCCGGUUUCAUGUUAAUCGGAAUGGGUUUGUUAACAAGACUUGAUCAACCUUGUUAGUGGAUUCCUUUUGACGAGCAUGAGAUGGUUGAAACUAGAAGCACAACUCUGUGUACCCCUUCUAUACUUUCUGUUAUUUAGUUGAAAUAAAGUAAAAAUAAAUAAUUUUCUGUCUGUUAUCUGAUUAUCCGUGCAAUAUAAAAAUACCUCGAAAAUAAAAGUUCUCCAAAUGCCCUGAAAAUUAAAUAUGAUUUUUUAUAGAAUAUUUGAGGAUUUAUGGAACAAAGAACACACCAGGGGGGCCAACCACCUUGCCAUGGGGGUGGAGGGCGCGCCCACCCCCUAGGGCCCGCCCCCUGCCUCGUGGGCCCACGGUGGCCCUCCUCCACUUAUUCUUUCAGCCACACACUUCAUCUUCCUCCCCCAAACACGAAAAACCAACUCAAACCCGAGGCCAAGCUCGUUUUGCUGCCAUUUUCGAUAUCCUUGCUCAAAGCACCUCUCACAAAACUGCUUGGGGAGAUUAUUCCUUGGUAUGUGACUCCUCCAUUGGUCCAAUUAGUUUUUGUUCUAGGGCUUUAUUCAUUGCAAAUUUGUGUUGCUUAGGUGACCCUUUUCUUGAGCUUGCAUGUCAAAUUUAUAUGGUCAAAAGUAGUUUUGAUGCAUGAUAUAGGCCCUAGGCACUUGUAGGAGUAGUUGCUAUCAAUAUUAUUGAGUUUGGUUUUCUUUUAUUUUUAAGUUACUAAAAAUUUCAGAAUUUUUCAGAAAAUGAUGAGGAGAUUAUUGAGGGGCUCAUCGAGCCAAAGCUCGAAGGAAAAGACGCCGAAUCCUAAGUAUAAUUUGCCGCGCACCGCAGAGGUUCGGGCGUGUAAAUGGCCUUCUGAGGAUUUCUUGAGAGAAGCCGGGAUUUAUGAAGAUUUUCAUGAGUUGGCUCAUAAUGCAGGCCUCACCGCUUUCCUCCACGACCAAUGCGAUCAGUAUCUCUUGCUCACAAAUACCUUUGUGCAAACCUUUCAUUUUCAUUCUAGGAACUCACCAACUACGGUGGAGUUUCAUUUAUAUGAUGAGCAUAAGGAGAUGUCACUUUAUGAUUUCUGUCGGAUUUGUUUAGUCCCUUUUGGGGGCAAGACAGAAGAACCACAUCAUGAUGAUGCGGAGGGAUUUAUUAAUACUAUCACUGUAGGGGAAACUAGGAAGGUUUCCGAUGCACGAAUCACUAGCAUACAUUUUCCUGUCUUACGUUACUUUGCAUUAUUUGCUAGUCGUUGCUUAAUUGGUCGUGGAAGCUCUAGAAACCUUAGUAUCUCUGAUAUUAUUAUUUUGCUCCAAGGUUUAUACAGUGAUAACACUUUUAGUAUGGGCGGCAUUAUUGCUAGACGGUUAAGUAUGAACCGUACUAAGGGUCCCAUCUUUGGAGGCGUCUAUGCCACACGCCUAGAUGCACAUUUUAACAUACCUAUUAGGCAUGCUGAGAAGGAAGAAAAAGUGCUGCCUCGUGUUUAUUUAGAUUAUAAAAGUAUGGUGGCACAUGAUUUUAUUGUUAAGAAUAGGGCAGGAGAGCUUAAAUAUCAAUUUUUCUUUAUUAAACAUCAUCCUGAGACUAUUACCUUGCCUGCUCCUGCUUUCUUUGAUUUGACUGUAGGCAAGUACCUUGUUCCGUUGACGGAUAUCCAUGCUUACCGGAACCCUGCACCAGCCGAGGAGCCAGAACUGGAACCACAAUUUGAUCCUUCACGACAGUCUAACUAUCAGUGGGAUCCGGAGAUGAUUGCCAGUCAGUGGCAAUCGGAGCCUUCUUCUUCCUCAUCACAGUACGACCCCACCAACUAUUAUUAUGGAUAUCCGCCAGGCCAGCCAUGGCCAUAGACCAACUUAGGCCAAAAGCCUAAGCUUGGGGGAGUACAUAUUUCUCACCGACAUUACAUUUAUGUUCACACACACCCAUUGCUAGAUGUCAGUGCUAAUACUCUUUCAUUGUAUCAUCCAUGCUAGUUUAUUUUCUUUUAUGCUUUCUUCUUGUGUGAUUAAUAAACCUUAAGAAAAACCAAAAAAAAUUAGUUGUAGCUUUUAAUUAAUUUACUUUCCAUGCUUGUAGUAGUAAUUAAAAAAGAAAACCCAAAAAUAUUUCCUGUUCUUCUUUUGCUUGUUGGGAGCUUUUCCGUGUAAAUAGUUUUAUUUCUUUUCUUUUCUUUGGGGGUCAGUAGGAGAAGACCAUGAUUAAAUUGUUGCAGUGGCUCUUACAUGCAUUAUUGUUUAUCUGACAAAAGAGCCCAUAUUUCCUUGUCUUCUCCUGUUUAUUGAAUGCUCGUAGAUUCCUGCUUAGUCCAAUGCACGUGCACUCUUAUUAUUAUUCACAUCAUUCGGUCGUGCAAGUGAAAGGCAAUUAUGAUGAUAUAUGAUGGAAUGACUGAGAUGAGAAAAGCUGGUACAAACUCGGCCUCUUUUGUUUUUGUAAAUAUGAUGAGUUCAUCGUUCUUGAUUCAGCUCGUUAUGAAUAAACAUGUUUGCAAUGACAAUUGGAGAUCAUAGUUGCUUAUGCCAUGCUUGAUUAGCUAUGAGUUAUAAUGGUUUACCUUGCGUGCCAACAUGCUAUUAAAAUGGUUAUGAUGUGGCAUGAUAGGGUGGUAUCCUCCUCUGAAUGACUUAAGUGACUUGACUUGGCACAUGUUCACACAUGUAGUUGAAACAAAUCAACAUAGCCUUCACGAUAUUUAUGUUCAUGGUGGAUUAUAUCCUACUCAUGCUUGCAUCCAAUGUUUAUUAAUUUUAAUGCAUGCACAUGGCUGCUGUCGCUCUCUAGUUGGUCGCUUCCCAGUCUUUUGCUAGCCUUCACCUGUACUAAGCAGGAAUACUGCUUGUGCAUCCAAACUCCUUAAACCCCAAAGUUAUUCCACAUGAGUCCACUAUACCUUCCUAUAUGCCGUAUUUACCUGCCGUUCCAAGUAAAUUUGUAUGUGCCAAACUCUAAACCUUCAAGUAAUCAUCCUGUUUUGUAUGCUCGAAUAGCUCAUGUAUCAACUAGGGCUGUCUGUAUCUUCCAUGUUAGGCGGGUUAUUCUCAAGAGGAGUGGACUCCGCUCCUCACUCACGAGAUAAAGGGCUGGUCACCGGGAUGCCCAGUCCCAUGCUUUAUGCAAACUAAAUCAAAAUAAUUGCAAACGAAACUCCCCCUGGGACCUAAUGUAUGUUGGAGGCACUCGUUGUUUCGAGCAAGCCAUGGAUUGAUGUUUGUUGGUGGAGGGGGAGUAUAAACUUUACCAUUUUGUUUGGGAACCACCUAUAAUGUGUGUAGCAUGGAAGAUAUCGCCAUCUCUUGGUUGUUAUGUUGACAAUGAAAGUAUACCGCUCAAAAUAUUAUUCACCUCUAUUCUAAAACCGAGCUCUGGCACCUCUACAAAUCCCUGCUUCCCUCUGUGAAGGGCCUAUCUAUUUACUUUUAUGUUGAGUCAUCACCCUCUUAUUAAAAAGCACUAGCUGGAGAGCGCAGCUGUCAUUUGCAUUCAUUGUUGUUAGUUUACAUUGGGUGUGACUAUGAUUGGAUCUCUUUUACCAUGAAUUACAAUGUCUAGUCAGUCCUUGAUCUUUAAAGGUGCUUUGCAUUUAUGUUUUGCGGUCUCAGAAAGGGCUAGCGAGAUACCAUCUUGUUAUAUCAUAUUAUGAUUGUUUUGAGAAAGUGUUGUCAUCCGAGAUUUAUUAUUAUGGCUCGCUAGUUGAUUAUGCUAUUGAUAUGAGUAAACAUGAGACCUGAGAAUUAUUGCAAAUAUGGUUAGUUAUAAUCUUUGCUGAAAACUUGAAUGCUAGCUUGACAUAUUUACAACAACAAGAGCAAACAGAGUUUGUAAAAUUUUCUCUUUAUUUCUUUCAGUUUGUCAAUUGAAUUGCUUGAGGACAAGCAAGGGUUUAAGCUUGGGGGAGUCGAUAUGUCUCCAAUGUAUCUACUUUUCCAAACACUUUUGCCCUUGUUUUGGACUCUAACUUGUAUGAUUCGAAUGGAACUAACCCAGACUGACGCUGUUUUCAGCAGAAUUGCCAUGAUAUUGUUUUAUGUGCAGAAAACAAAAAUUCUCGGAAUGACCUGAAACUCCACGAGAUAUCUUACAAUAAAUAAUAAAAAAUCCUCAGCAAAGAUGAAGACCAUGGGGCCCACACCCUUCUCACGAGGGUGGGGGGCGCCCCCCCUAGGGCGCGCCCCCUACCUCGUGGGCCCCCUGGAGACCCACCGACUCCAACUCCAACUCUAUAUAACUACUUUUGGGGAGAAAAAAAUAGGAGAGAAGAAAUCAUCGUGUUUUACGAUACGGAGCCGCCGCCAAGCCCUAAAACCUCUCGGGAGGGCUGAUCUAGAGUCCGUUCGGGGCUCCGGAGAGGGGGAUUCGUCGCCGUCGUCAUCAUCAACCAUCCUCCAUCACCAAUUUCAUGAUGCUCACCACCGCGCGUGAGUAAUUCCAUCGUAGGCUUGCUGGACGGUGAUGGGUUGGAUGAGAUUCACCAUGUAAUCGAGUUAGUUUUGUUAGGGUUUGAUCCCUAGUAUCCAUGUUCUGAGAUUGAUGUUGCUAUGACUUUGCUAUGCUUAAUGCUUGUCACUAGGGCCCGAGUGCCAUGAUUUCAGAUCUGAACCUAUUAUGUUUUCAUCAAUAUAUGAGAGUUCUAGAUCCUAUCUUGCAAGUCUAUAGUCACCUAUUAUGUGUUAUGAUCCGUUAACCCCGAAGUGACAAUAAUCGGGAUACUUACCGGUGAUAACCGUAGUUUGAGGAGUUCAUGUAUUCACUAUGUGCUAAUGCUUUGUUCCGGUUCUCUAUUAAAAGGAGGCCUUAAUAUCCCUUAAUUUCCAUUAGGACCCCGCUGCCAUGGGAGGGUAGGACAAAAGAUGUCAUGCAAGUUCUUUUCCAUAAGCACGUAUGACUAUAUUCGGAAUACAUGCCUACAUUACAUUAAUGAAUUGGAGCUAGUUCUGUGUCACCCUAUGUUAUGACUGUUACAUGAUGAACCGCAUCCGGCAUAAUUAUCCAUCAUUGAUCCAAUGCCUACGAGCUUUCCAUAUACUGGUUUACGCUUAUUUACUUUCCCAUUGCUAUUGUUACAAUCACUACAAAACACCAAAAGCAUUACUUUGCUUUCAUUACUCUUUUUUACCGUGACCAUCACUAUCAUAUUAGUUUGCUACUAAACAGUUUGCUGCAGAUACUAAGUUUCCAGGUGUGGUUGAAUUGACAACUCAGCUGCUAAUACUUGAGAAUAUUCUCUGGCUCCCCUUGUGUCGAAUCAAUAAAUUUGGGUUGAAUACUCUACCCUCGAAAGCUGUUGCGAUCCCCUAUACUUGUGGGUUAUCACCUCGUACUGGAUUGAUACCUUGGUUCUCAAAAAAUGAGGGAUAUACUUAUGCUACUUUGCUGCAUCAUCCCUUCCUCUUCGGGGAAAACCAACGCAGUGCUCAAGAGGUAGCAUCUGUUCCUGUGACUCCUACACCAAUUAGUGAGGAAGCUAAUGAUGAUGAUCAUGUAACUUCAGAUCAAGUUACUACCGAACCUCGUAGGUCAAUCAGAGUGAGAUCCACACUAGAGUAGUACAGUAAUCCUGUUCUGGAUGUCAUGUUACUUGAUCAUGACAAACCUACAAAAUAUGAGGAAGCGAUGAUGAGCCCAGAUUCCGCGAAAUGGCUUGAGGCCAUGAAAUGUGAGAUGGGGUCCAUGUAUGAGAACAAAGUAUGGACUUUGAUUGACUUUCCCGAUAAUCGGUGAGUCAUUAAGAAUAAAUGGAUCUUCAAGAGGAAGAUGGAUGCUGAUAGUAGUGUUACUUUCUACAAAGCUCGAAUUGUCGCAAAAUGUUUUCGACAAGUUCAAGGUGUUGACUACGAUGAGAUUUUCUCGCUCGUAUCGAUGCUUAAAAGUCUGUCCGAAUCAUGUUAGCAGUUGCCGCAUUUUAUGAAAUCUGGCAAAUGGAUGUCAAAACUGUAUUCCUUUAUGGAUUUCUUAAAAGAAUAGUUGUAUAUAAUGCAACCAGAAGGUUUUGUCGAUCCUAAAGGUGCUAACAAAGUGAGCAAGCUCCAGCGAUCCAUCUAUGGGCUGGUGCAAGCAUCUCGGAGUUGGAAUAUAUGCUUUGAUAAAGUGAUCAAAGCAUAUGGUUUUAUACAGACUUGCGGUGAAGCCUGUAUUUACAAAAAAGUGAGUGGGAGCACUACAACAUUUCUGAUAAGUAUAUGUGAAUGACAUAUUUUUGCUCGGAAAUAAUGUAGAAUUUUAUGGAAAGCAUAAAGGAGUGUUUGAAAAGAGUUUUUUCAAAGAAAUACCUCAGUGAAGCUACUUACAUAUUGAGCAUCAAGAUCUAUAGAGAUAGAUCAAGACGCUUGAUAUAUUUUCAAUGAGUACAUACCUUGACAAGAUUUUGAAGUAGUUCAAAAUAGAACAAUCAAAGAAUGAGUUCUUGCUUGUGUUGCAAGAUGUGAAAUUGAGUAAAGACUCAAAACCCGACCACGGCAGAAAAUAGAAGGAGAAUGAAAAGUCAUUCCCUAUGCCUCAGUCAUAGGUUCUAUAAAAUAUGCUAUGCUGUGUACCAGACCUAUUGUGUACCUCACCAUAAGAUUGGCAAGAGGGUACAAUAGUGAUCCAGGAGUGGACCACUGGACAGCGGUAAAAAAUAUCCUUUGGAAUAAGGAAAUGUUUCUCGGUUAUGGAGGUGACAAAGAGUUCGUCAUAAAGAGUUACGUCGAUGCAAGCUUUGACACCGAUCUGGAUGACUCUAAGUCUCGAUCUAGAUACAUACUAAAAGUGCGAGCAAUUAGCUAGAGUAGCUCCGUGCAAAGCAUUGUAGACAUAGAAAAUUUGCAAAAUACAUACGACUUUGAAUGUGGCAGGCCUGUUGACUAAAUUUCUCUCACAAGCAAAACAUGAUCACUCUUUGGGUGUUAAUCACAUAGCGAUGUGAACUAGAUUAUUGACUCUAAUAAACCCUUUCGGUGUUAGUCACAUGGAGAUGUGAACUAAUCACAUAAAGAUGUGAACUAUUGGUGUUAAAUCACAUGACGAUGUGAACUAGAUUAUUCACUCUAGUGCAAGUGGGAGACUGAAGGAAAUAUUCCCUAGAGGCAAUAAUAAAGUUGUUAUUUAUAUUUCCUUAUAUCAUGAUAAAUGUUUAUUAUUCAUGCUAGAAUUGUAUUAACCGGAAACUUAGUACAUGUGUGAAUACAUAGACAAACAAAGUGUCCCUAGUAUGCCUCUACUUGACUAGCUCAUUAAUCAAAGAUGGUUAAGUUUCCUAGCCAUGGACAUGUGUUAUCAUUUGAUGAACGGGAUCACAUCAUUAGAGAAUGAUGUGAUGGACAAGACCCAUCCGUUAGCUUAGCACGAUGAUCGUUUAGUUUGUUGCUAUUGCUUUCUUCAUGACUUAUACAUGUUCCUAUGACUAUGAGAUUAUGCAACUCCCGAGUACCGAAGGAACACUUUGUGUGCUACCAAACGUCACAACGUAACUGGGUGAUUAUAAAGGUGCUCUACAGGUGUCUCCGAUGGCGCUUGUUGAGUUGGCAUAGAUCGAGAUUAGGAUUUGUCACUCCGAUUGUCGGAGAGGUAUCUCUGGGCCCUCUCGGUAAUGCACAUCACUAUAAGCUUGCAAGCAUUGUGACUAAUGAGUUAGUUACAGGAUGAUGCAUUGCGGAAUAAGUAAAGAGACUUGCCGGUAACGAGAUUUAACUAGGUAUGAGGAUAACGACGAUCGAAUCUCGGGCAAGUAACAUACUGAUGACAAAGGGAACUACAUAUGUUGUUAUGUGGUUUGACCGAUAAAGAUCUUCGUAGAAUAUGUAGGAGCCAAUAUGAGCAUCCAGGUUCUGUUAUUGGUUAUUGACCGGAGACAUGUCUCGGCCAUGUCUACAUAGUUCUCGAACCCGUAGGGUCCGCACGCUUAACUCAGUGACGAUUGGUAUUAUGAGUUUAUGUGAUUUGAUGUACCAAAGGUUGUUCGGAGUCCCGGAUGAGAUCAUGAACAUAACGAGGAGUCUUGAAAUGCUCGAGCUGUAAAUAUCAGUAUAUUGGAAGGCUAUAUUAGGACAUUGGAAAGGUUCCGAGUGAUCUGGGUAUUUUUUGAAGUACCGAGGGAGUUACGGGAAUACGGGAGUACAUAUGGGCCUUAGUGGGCUUUAAGGCAAAAAGAGGAGAAGCCACAAGGGCUGGCCGCACCCCCCAUGGGCCUAGUUCGAAUUGGACUAGGGGAGGGGUUGCGCCCCCUCUUUCCUUCUCCUCCCCUUCUCCUUCCUUUCCCCUCCUAGUAGGACUAGGAAAGGAGGAAUCUUACUCCUACUAGGAGGAGGAUUCCUCCCCCUUGGCGCGCCUAGAGAGGCCGGCCAGCCUCCCCACCCUCCUUUAUAUACAUGGGGAUGGGGGCACCCUAGGACACACAAGUUGAUCAGUUGAUCUUUUAGCCGUGUGCGAUGCCCCCCUCCACCAUAAUCCACAUCGGUCAUACCGUAGCGGUGCUUAGGCAAAGCCAUGCGUCGGUAGCAUCAUCAUCACCAUCAUCAUGCUGUCGUGCUGACGGAACUCUCCCUCGAAGCUCUGCUGGAUCAAAGUUCGUGGGACGUCACCGAGCUGAACAUGUGUUGAACUCGGAGGUGCCGUACGUUCAGUACUUGGAUUGGUCGAAUCGUGAAGACCUACGACUACAUCAACCACGUUCUCAUAACGCUUCCGCUUACGGUCUACGAGGGUACGUGGAUGACACUCUCCCCUCUCGUUGCUAUGCAUCACCAUGAUCUUGCGUGUGCGUAAGAUUUUUUUUGAAAUUACUGCGUUCCCCAACAGAAACACCCACUUGCCAGUGAUGAUACUGGCAUGAGGGGUCGCAGAACAAGCUGCCACGUGCGGUUGCGCUGUAGGGUGUCAAACUCCUCCUGCAUCGCAGCUAGCCAAUGGGGAUCACGAAGGGCAGCACGAGCGGAGGUAGGGACGGGUGAUGGCAUCGACGUCGAGGCGGCGCACACAUACUCGUCGGAGGAGCAGCGCGUGCUCGGCCGAAGCACUCUUGCUCGGGCACGGGUAGUCACGCCAAGAAGCGGGGCAGCCGGGCCGGCGAUAGCGGCGGGGGCCGCGGCGGCGGCAGGGGCCGCGACCACGACAUGGGCGGCGGCAGCGACAGGGGCCACAACCACGACAGGGGCGCCGGUGGUGGCAGGGUUACCCAUGGCGGCGACAGGGGCCGCGGUGCCAGCUAAGCCAGUGGUUGAGGGACGACGGGCGAGGAGGAUAUCGAGCCCGUCGCCGAGGUGGCGGGCGGAGUACCCACCGGCUCAACCUCGUAGGAGGGAGAUGGGUAUCCGGGGGCCUGGUCAGACUCGAGACCUCUGGGAAGGGAGUCAAAAAUAUGGGCGGUGGCGGUAGAAGACGCCAUGCCGAGGGGGGAGGGCUCUAGGGGCGCCGCCACGCAUCGCUCUUGGAAGGGGGUGCGGGGGCCAGCGCCGAAGGGGCCGAAGCCGGAGAAACCCGAAAAAAGGGAACACCGUCUCGACAAAAUACACGUGCCUCGAGGUGUACACACGAUGAGUGACAGGAUCAUAGCACCGGUAACCUUUGGUGUUAGGAGGGUAGCCAAGGAAGACGCAUGGGAUGGAACGUGGUGCGAGCUUGUGUGGUGUGAUGGACGCGGUGCCGAGAUAAUAGAGACACCCAAAGAUGCGGAGACCAUCAUAGGACAUUGGUGUACCAAAGAGAAGGUGGUGAGGGGCGUAGUUCCACCGAGGACGACACGGAUGAAUGUUAACUAAGAGAGUGGCGGUGGCGAGAGCAUCGGGCCAAAGCCGAGCGGGCAUGUUAGAGUGAAAGAGUAACGUGCGAACGUAGUCAUUAAGAGUGCGGAGAAUGCGCUCGGCACGGCUGUUCUGCUGUGAAGUGUAGGGGCAAGUCAGACGGAAGGUGGUUCCGUGAGAGGCGAGAAGUGUGUGAAGAGCAACGUUGUCAAACUCUUUUCCAUUAUCAGUUUGGAGGGCGAGUAUGGGGCGACCGAACUGGGUGCUGACAUAGGAAUAAAAGGUGGCGAGUGUGGCUAAAGCAUCGGAUUUACAACGAAGAGGAAAAGUCCACACAUAAUGAGAAUAAUCAUCUGAAAUCACCAAGUAGUAUGGAUAGCCCGUGUUACUCGCAACGGGAGACGUCCAAACAUCACUAUGAAGCAAUUGAAACAGAAAAGUGGAAACUGAAGUAGACGCACUAAAGGGAAGACGAACGUGCUUGCCCAAGUGUCAAGCCUCACAAGUAUGCUCGUCGAGCUUAUUACAUGAGAAAGAAAAACUCCUUAGAAUCUAACGCAAAAUGGCAGGGUUGUGGUGACCCAAGCGAGCAUGCCAAAGGUCAACGCUGGUGGCGAGGGCGACGGGUGCGGAAGUGCAGGUGCUGGCAUGCACGGGAUAAAGCUCAUCAGGGCUAUCACAUCGGCGAAGGACCAUCCGGAUACGGGCGUCCUUCACAGAAAAACCAACACCGUCAAAUUUAACAGUAAGGGGGUUCUCAUAAGUAAGACGACGAACAGAAACUAAACUAGUGACUAAGGCAGGUGAGACAAGAACAUUAGACAUAGUGAUAGGUGUGGAACUAGAAGGAAAACUAGUGCUACCUACAUGGGUGAUUGGUAAAGAAGAACCGUUGCCAAUUGUGAUACGAGUGGGUGUGUUAACUGGAGUGGAAGAGGAGAGGUUACCGGGAUGAGCUAUCAUGUGCGUAGUAGCACCCGAGUCCAUGUACCAGUCGCCUCCACCGCCAUAGUUACUCGGCGACGGCGCCCAGUGUAGGGCGGCCAGGAGGGCGGGGUCCCAUGGUGCACAUACCGGCGUCGACGGUUGGCCUCCAUAGGGUGGCGCCUGAGGGGGCACGCCAUAGCCACCGAGGGAUGGCGGAGCGAGCGGAGCACCGUAGGGCUGGUAGGGGACGCCGAGGAACGCCUGGUGACCAGUGGGGCGGGGAACAAGAAGAUCCGGUGCGGGGGCCCGCGGGACGGGCAUGUGAUAGGCAUGGACAACGCCCGUCCACGGGUUCUUCCCGGCAGCCCACGGCGGGGGCGGCUACUGGUAGCGGGGCGCCUGCUGCUGCUACGGCUGCUGCUGACGGCGGCCCCUGCCUCCCCACCGGUUGCGCCAUCCCCCGGCACCUUGCGGCUGCUGGGGAGGCACGGGGGGCGCGAGCGGUGCGAGCUGACGAGGCGCGGCGGGAGGAGCAGGGCCACAGUGGGUGGUGCCAGCGGCGAGGGCGGUGUGCUGAACCCGCUACUUCAACUUCGUCAUCCGGCGCUCCUCAAGUUUGAGGUACGCGACGACGCGUUGAAAAGUGGGCUGUGGCAGCAGGGUGAGGUUGGACGCCGCAUUGCCGAAGUCCUUGUUAAGACCGGCGGUGAGGGUGCUCAGCAUGAGGUCAUCAGAGACCUUGGCGCCGAUGUCGCAAAGCUCGUCGGCGAGCAUCUUGAGCCUCAUGCAGUACUUGUCGAUGGUGGAGUUGUCCUGGUGACAGCUGGAGAACUCCUGCUGCAAGAAAACAAGGCGUUGAAGUUUGUUGUCGGUGAAGAGCGCGUUGAUCUUAGCCCACACGUCGUAGGCGUCAUCGUCCUCACGACCACCGUGUGGAAGAUGUCCUUCGAGACCGUCUGGUAGAACCAAUGGAUGACCGUGGCCUUGAUGGCGGACCACUCCGGGUCGCCGCGCAUGUAUGCGCUAUCCACGAAACCGUCGAUGUGCUCGGUGAGAUAGUACUCAGGGAAGAUAAGGUUGAAUUAGGUCUUCCAUGUGUAGUAUGACGUGCUGGAGCUGUCGAGACGGAUAGGGACCCAGGCCUCAAUGUUGAGGUCACGGAUGGUGGCGACGGAGGGCUUGGGGCCGCCGGACGGGUUCGACGAGCGGGUGGUGGAGGAACCGGGCGAAGACAUGGCGACGGGACGGAGGCAGUGGUGAGAGGCGGCGGCAGUGUAGGGUUAGGGUUGGCGGCGAGGGUGCGAUGGGCAGCGGCCGGGAGGGGAGGCGGCUGCGGGGGGCGGCAGCGCGGGUAGGACGGCGCGGGCCAGGAGGGGAGGCGAUGCGGAAGAGAGUUGCGCGGCGGCGGCGAUCGGCGCGGGCAGGGGGCGGAAGCGGGCGGCACAAGGGGCGGCGGCGCGGUGGAAGAGAGGGAAGGGCGUGGCGACGGUGGCGGGGGUGGCGGCGGCACGCGCAACGGGGAGGCGCGGCGGCGGCGGCAAAUCCUAGGGUCAGACCGACCAAGAUGAUAUCAUGUAGACGGAAAAGUUUGCAAUACAAUAGACGUUGUAUUGAUGGGGUGCUGGUGCACAUAUAUAUAAUUACAAGAAAAGGCUUCUACCUCAACUAUACAAGACUAAAAGGUGGGCCACAACUUCAAUAUACAUGCAACACAAAAUACAGCUCAACACGCCUCAAUCACAGAAAGCUUGAUCUUUCUGUACUUGCCUUUAUAUAAAGACCACAUCUUGUGAAUUGCACUGAACUAUACAACCUGCAUUGCUUUAGCCACCCCUGCAUGUACCCUCAUGUAUGCCCUCUCUCUCUCCCUCCUCAAAGUUAUAAAACACUCCUAGCUUUGGCCUAAAAUUUUCUGAUGAAAUUCAGGUGCAGAACAUCUCUCCCAAGUGAACAAAAACUUAAUAAUCCCUCCCAAUCCCAGCACCACGUUCGGUGAAGCAAGCUAACCAAUCCUUCUCAACACCCAGUUCAGUACAUGGAACAAUAGCAAAGAAGAUGAAUAUUGGCAUACAACAGGAGAGGGCGGAUACCAACAGAUCACCACUACACAGAUCAGCACAAACAUGUUCCAGGAUCGCAUCGCACAAUACACACAUGAAACUUGUUUUUUUAGUAUGGUGUGAUCCUUUUGGCAAAAAUAUUUCGGCAAUUCCAAAAGUACAUGGGAAUUCAAAUAUUUUUCAAUAUUUUAAAAUAUUUAAUUAAAAUUAUGUGAAUAUUUUAAACCUUUGUCCGAAAUGCAAACCAAAAUAAGUGAAAUUCAUUGAAUUUCGGUAAUUAUGGUUGGUGCUGAAUUUUUUUCUGAAACUGAAAUUGAAAACCACCUUGUUCAUCAUUUGCUGCAGUAAUGAGAGUCUCUUGCGGUAUCUUGCCAUGGUUGGUAGGGUUAGUGACAUAGCAUAAGCAUAAGCUAUCAUACUGAGUAUGCUGUAUCUGAACCAGGGAAGAUACCGUAGAGUCAGCUGUGAAAAAAAAGAGGGCAUUAGUGACUCACGGUCGUAUUUUUUUGCUUUGUAUUUAAAAAGCAAAUAUUUGAUUUAAAAUUUCUGUUUCCAUUGAUCAUAGGCUAAGUUCUCCUUUUGCCCCCUUCCAAUACGAGAACCCUGUUGGAAAUUCGUUUCGCAGUUUCGCAAAAGUCUACCAGUCCCUUCAGGCUGUUGGCAGGGAUGUCAAUUUAGUAAAUAAUUUCCAUGUUGUUCCUCAAUAGUUUUCCUUCGUCUUGAACCAGGCGCGCUCGGCCGCCCGGAGCCGCUGGAGCGCAGGAUCGAACAUCCGGUGGAGGCGGUCAAAGUUGCUGCACACCCGUGCGCAGGCGCUGCGGGAGCGGACGCCCCGCGCGGGAGCCACUGUAGAAACUUUGCGUUGUAUUAAAAAGAAAUAAGAAAUCUCAUGCUUUAUAUUGAUAUAUAUGUUUUGAACUUUUUUAUAUCCAUUGGUCAUAUGCUCAAGUUAGGGCAUCUACAACGGCGACCCGCAAAAUUUCUCUCGCAUCCGUCUGCGGAUAGGGCGACCAGUCCAGAGACAUGGAUGCGGGAGCCGGCCAUCUAACGCUGCCCGCAUACAUUUGAACAAAUUUUUGAACUAACCGAACAAAAAUCAUGCAAACAUGGCGGAUUUCAUAUAAAUCCAACACAGUUUAGUUAAGCUAGGAUAAAUUUUACAUAAAACCAGGCAAUAUUCCGUCCGGUGAACUAAAAACCUUAAAACAAAAACCCUAAGCUACUCUAUACUUGACGAUGACCUCGUAGGCCAUGCCGGGCAGGCCAACGGCUCCUCCUCUGUCAUCGUAGCCCGAUCUGGCGUUGGAGUCGUCGCUAGACUUCGGGCGGCGGAGGGUGGCGGCGUCGCCGCAGGGCUUCUCGGCUGCCGCAUGACAUUCGCGGAUGAUCCUCGCCACUUCCUCCUCCGCCGUGUGCNNNNNNNNNNNNNNNNNNNNNNNNNNNNNNNNNNNNNNNNNNNNNNNNNNNNNNNNNNNNNNNNNNNNNNNNNNNNNNNNNNNNNNNNNNNNNNNNNNNNNNNNNNNNNNNNNNNNNNNNNNNNNNNNNNNNNNNNNNNNNNNNNNNNNNNNNNNNNNNNNNNNNNNNNNNNNNNNNNNNNNNNNNNNNNNNNNNNNNNNNNNNNNNNNNNNNNNNNNNNNNNNNNNNNNNNNNNNNNNNNNNNNNNNNNNNNNNNNNNNNNNNNNNNNNNNNNNNNNNNNNNNNNNNNNNNNNNNNNNNNNNNNNNNNNNNNNNNNNNNNNNNNNNNNNNNNNNNNNNNNNNNNNNNNNNNNNNNNNNNNNNNNNNNNNNNNNNNNNNNNNNNNNNNNNNNNNNNNNNNNNNNNNNNNNNNNNNNNNNNNNNNNNNNNNNAGGAGGCAGCGGUGGCGGUGGCAAUCUAGUAGAGAGAUCACUCCUCACCGUACUUGGCCAUCUCCCUGCCAAAUCUUCUCUCAUGCAUGUUGGCGGACAAUCUUCGAUUAUGCUCCGUUAUGCAUCAUCGAUGCUUAUAGUCUAAUUCCUCGCUAAUUUUUUCAAAGGAAGAGGAAGAACAAUUGAUGUUCUUUUUGGAGUAGUGAAUGCCUCAUUUUAUUUGUUAAAGAUCAACAGUCUCAUUUUUAUCUCACUGCUACAUUCAGAUGGAAUGACGGCAACUGCUGCUGGUGAUGAUGACUGUGCCUCAGGGUCUGCUAAAAGGUAGAGAAAGAACCAGUUCAGGGGCAUCCGCCGUUGCCCUUGGGGUAAGAGCAUCUCCAGCCGUUCGGGCCCCCAGACACUUGAAAUAUCAUCGCCUGGGGGCGAACCGGCGAUAAUCUCGGUGUGGGGCCAAUCGAGUUCCCAGCCACCGCCCCAGGUUGGCCCCAGACGCGGUCUUUUGAAACAUGAAAUCGGCCAAAACACUACACAAUUUCUUCCAAACUAGGCGAUUUCAUUGAUAUUUUACAAAAAAACUUAAGAACACAAAUGAAAACACAAACUAAAAACGACUACGCCUAGCCAUCGCCGCGGCCCGCCUUCUACAUACCUAGGAGCCUGUAGAACCGGCUGUAGUCGCCACCAUCGUUGUUGACGUCGUGCUGGGUGCUGCCGCGUCCCUGCUGCACCCCUGACCAGCGUCGCCGAUGCGCGGGGGGUUGGAUGGCCCGGGCACAUCCUCAUCGUCGCUGUCGAGGACGACCACGACGCCCUUCUCGCGUCCGCAGCGUCGAGCUUUGAUUUCCUUGAAAGCCUGGCGCUGGCGCUCCAUCUGCUCGCGAAUGUAGUCCUCCUUUGCCCACUUGAGGCUGGUCUCGUCGUCGGCCAUGUCCUGGUGCUCCUUCUUCACGGGGAGCAAAACCGGCUCGGUCUUCGCCGUACGAGGCAGUAGGAACGAGGAGAGGGGUGGCCGCCCUCGUUGGUGACGAGGGCACCGCCGCGGGUACGACGCCCAAGUGGCGUAUCCUGCGGCUCUGGCUUGACGGGGCGAAGCGCCGGCGAGCCGGAGGACAGAGACCCGGAGCCUGACGACGAAGAUGUUGUCGUCUCCAUUCACUGCGGUGUCUAGAAGUUGCUGCGACAGCGAGAAAAGGAGGGGGCACAGGGUACUCCAGGCGCGGCGUGUUGUCGGCCUCGAUGUGCUCGAGGAUGGCUUCAAGGGUGCGGUCGGGGAUGCCCCUCCAUAGGCGCCGUCCCUCGGAGUUGUGGGGGCCACGGGGCUCGAUGUUGUUGGUGGCAGAGACCCCCUCCUCGUGGCACCGCUCGAAGUACGUCAUCCGCAGCGCAUUGCUGUCGGGGGCAAACCUCGGCUGGUUCCGCCGCGGAUCCGGCAGCGAAGAACCGAUGCGUGCAAUUUCGGCACGCCGGGCAGCUCCGGUGGGCGCGGGCGGCACCGGGACCCCACCGGCGCUGAGCCUUCAGGUGCCCGGCACCCGCAUGUCCGGGGGCGCCGGGUACUCCGGCUUGUAGAGGAGGCGUGCCACAUCCUCGCGCAGAUGGCGGCGGCCGAAGCCGUUAGCCGCUGCGCCGUCGUCUGGGAAGCGCUCGGCCAUUGCCUUCAGCUAGGGAGAGAGUGGGAGGGAGAGGCGUCGGCGGUGAGAGGUAGAGAGAAGGCGUCGGUGGCGAGAGCUUUGUGCGUUCACCGGCGAGGGAGGACGGCUUUUAUAGCCGCGGAUGGGCGGUGGGAGUGCUGCCGCCGUGUGCCGCGUGACCGGAGCGGGCGGGACACGGGUCGCCACGCCUUCACUACGCCGCCCGUGAGGCAUCAAUGGAAGGCUGACCGGCGCAACAGCCUUGGCAUUGUUUCUAGCGGGAAUUGAGGCGAUGAGGAUGACGAAGGCGGCGAGUCGCUGACUCAGCGGACCCACUCCUUUUCGCGCCAAAAACGUUUCUCCCGGCGUCCCCGGGCGUCCCUAGCGUGCUGGGUUUGGACUGAGUCCGCUGGCAUCAAAAUCGACCCUAACCGGCGAAAACUGAGUUUCUGAGGGCGCGACUGGGCUGAAAUUUCUGCGCCGGCGACGAAAAAGGACUUCGGGAGGGAGGGAGGGGGGAGGCGGGGGGCACAGCUGGAGAUGCUGUAAAUGGGCUGCUGAAAUAAGAGAUCCUCGCAAGGGUGUCCGUGUCUGGCUUGGCACUUACAACUCUGCCGAGGAAGCUGCCAAAACCUAUGAUGUUGAAGCCCAUAGAAUUCGUGGCAAGAAGGCAAAUGUUAAUUUCCGAGAAGAAGCUCCUAUGUCUCCUCAGCAACGCUGCGCUGAGCCUACCUCUGUGAAGGUGGCCAAGUUCAACACCGAACAGAAGUCGGUGCUCACUGAUCAACACCAUGGGCAACGCAGAUGUGUAUUCCUGCCCUGCUGUCGACUACACCUUAAAUCAGCAAUUUGUGCAGCCUCAGAACAUGUCGUUUGUGCCUACAGUGAAUGCAGUUGAGGCCCCUUUCAUGAAUUUUUCCUCUAAUCAGGGGAGCAACUCCUUUAGUUGCUCAGACUUCAGCUGGGAGAAUGAUAUCAAGACCCCUGACAUAACAUCUGUGCUUGCAUCCAUUCCCACCUCGAUAGAGGUCAAUGAAUCUGCAUUUCUGCAGAACAAUGACAUUAAUUGAACGGUACCUCCUAUGAUGGGUAAUGCUAGUAUUGACCUUGCCGACUUGGAACCAUACAUGAAGUUCCUGAUGGACGAUGGUUCAGACAAGUCAAUGGACAACAUUCUAAGCUGUCUUGUGCCCCAGGACGUUGUUGGCAACAUGGGCCUUUGGACCUUCCAUGACAUGCCCUUGUCUGCUGGUUUCGACUGAGGGAAUCGAGGUUGCUGGGUGCCUGUAUAUAUAAACAAAAGGUAGGCAUAUGCAUUGUGGAAAUAAACUCAAUUGUUAUGCACUUCAAUUUCCAUUUCAUUGAUCAUUAUCCUUUAUCUUGUUUCAGGAAUAAGUAUUCUGGGCAUCAACAAGUGCUUGUCUCUGGUGCCUCUAGAGUCGAGCAGUAGCGAUGUCAGUCUAUGGUUAUGUCUAGCUUAAAAGGUCAGGAGACUAAGGUCUUUCGCAAUAGACCUCUGUCUUGUACCCGCAGACUAUAUAUCUAUCUAUAAGACUAGUAUGUGAUGGGAACUGCUUAUUUUGUAUUCCUGUUUCUACCUUAUUGUAAUUGCUACAAGUGGCUGUAAACCUUUUAAAUUUGAAGCCAGUGUUUGGUAUGUUGUGCUUAAUUUUUCUAAUACGCUAGUUCUUCAUUUGCUGCAAUACUGGAACUCUUUUGGAGUAUCUUGCCAUGGUUGUUAGGGUAAGUGACAUGGCAUAAACAUAAGGUAUCAUACUGGGCCAACAUUCUCCUUCAAAGUUUAUCAAAGUAUAGCUUUACUUGUAGUAGCAGUGUUCUAGCACAAGUUGCAGAUACUGGCUUGGGAAAACAACUUGUGGCUCAAGUAGUAUUGGACUAGUCUACUCUUGCAACUCUUGAGGUAGCUACAUUUCCAUUGUCACACCUGCCUCAAAUGUGCAUGGCUUGGGGGGCAUGUCUUGUUGCCCUGUACUGCAUAACAAAAUCCUGUUUUUGUUAGGUGAAAUCAUAACCGCUCUUGGAUUUUGAAGUAGAGAGUAGACUGUAGAGAAUUCCGUUGAAAAGGGAGAGUGGACUGUAGAGACUCUUGCUUUGUACAAAUGAGAAUUGCAUGCUUGAUGCUGCGAUAUCUGAUUUGAAAUUUUUUCUGCUUCCAUUGGUCAUUAUGCGCACGUUCUUGUUUUGACCCUGUUCAGUAGGAGAACCCAAUUGGAAAUUUGUUUCACAGAAAGCCUACUGUUGCAAAGCUCUUGCACAAUGUUGACCAGGAUGGUAAUGUAGUAAAAUGAUGCUGUGGUAUUUUUCAAUUUCGUUUUCCUAAAGUUGGGAAAACCGAAAGGAUAAGGCCCUGCUUUUGCACUGCACGGAAGGGAGUAGCUGAUGCCAAAAUCUGGAUGUGUGAAUCAAAUGAUCUGGUGUGUAAGUUUUGUAAGACUCGGACGAAGCCUUGGAUAAGUGCACGGCAGCGAGGCGGUUCCUCCACCCAAAUCAGCUAAAAAGCUUUGGAAGUCCAGAAAUCGGCUCGCAGCCCAGAGAAUGCACCAGAAACUUCAAUGUUCAUGACACCAGUUCUGAUAUCAUAUUUGAUAAGAUUCAGAAAUGAAGCAGCAUCCGCUGAAUUCUCUGAUGCCUCCCAUGCCUAGUCCUGCUACAAGCAUCUAAAGGUGAUGGUGGCCAAAUAAACCUCAAGUCAUCUAGCGUUUCAGAAAUGUCAAGUCAAGCAUCCCUUCCUACUCUUUAUAGGAAGAUGUAAUGGACCAUUCGACAGUACCUGAUCUGGUGCAACAAUCACACACAACUUGAAUGCUUGAUCAUGUUGUACUCGACAGAUGAAGACCACAUCAUUUUGAUUGUGACGUGUACUGAAGCAUACAACCCCCGCAUUGCUUGACAAAUGAAAUGUUGGGUCGAUUCCCAUCCUCUCGCUCAACCCCCAUUGGAGUUAAUCCCUCCUAGCACCCUAUUCGGUAGAGCAAGCUAAAAAUCCCUCCCAAGACCGAGUUCUAUACAUGAAACACUAUAAAACAUACCAAUGAAGAAGACUGUUGGCACGCAACAUGAGAAGCAAGGUAACAACAAAGCACAAUGAACAAAUUUCCAGGAUCCCAUCGUGACAUGCCAAAACAAGUUUCAUGCAAUUGAUUAAUUCACAUGACUGCUAUUUCCACAAGAAAAUUAAUCUACUCCCUCCGAUCCAUAUUAAUUGAUGUUGUUUUAGUACAACCUUUGGUACAAAGUUAUACUAAACCAGCGUCAAUUAAUUUGGAUAGGAGGGAGUAGUAUUAUUUAUGUUCGGCCACAAGAAGGCUGGAAGAAGAAUUACUUCAACAUCUUGCUCGUAGCAGCUCCGUUCUCACCUUCUGUUUCUCUAGAUAGUCUUCAAUUAUCCUUCAUCCGAUUGCAUACAUGCGGAAGGUUUAGUAGUAAUCAAUGCAGUGAUUGUGGUCAUCGCUAGAUGGUCUACGGAUCUGGAUGUAAUUUUUAUUAUUUCUAGUGUUCAUUGUAUUGCCGUGAUAGAGGAUGAAUAGAUCGAAAGUUUUCUCACAAAAAAACAAAAUUAAUAGUUAAAAAUGAGUUCAAGACUACACACCUACAACCAUGCAUUUCAACAUCUUAAGAUAGGCACGCCAAGAAAAGUUCACGGUGUAGAAGGGAGCCAUGAGAAAUGCAUUUGCUUGGUGUAGUAAUCUUCAUAAACCAUAUGCUUUUUUACUUUCUUUGAAAAAGGGCAUUUUAUUCAUCCAUAAUGAAGCAUCAAGGGGAUACAAAACACCAUGAGUACACAUCCGGCCUCUGCAUAGUUAGGACGCACACAAAUGAUUACACCAGCAAAUAGCAAAGCCAUAGAAGACCAAUGGUAUGCCUAGGUGGAUGAAAAAGAAGAGCAACAUUAAUCCUCGUCGAGCAGGUGCAGCCACCAAAAAUAUGGUACAAACGUGAUAUCCAUGCAAGCUGUAAAUCAUGCACACACCAAGCAAAUAGCCAGUGUUGGAGCUAGUUGUUGCAUGUGCGAGAGAAGACGCAACCACCGAAAUCUCACCUUGGAGACAAUUCGGUAAUCCCAUGCUUCCAUCGUCUUGUCAAUGGUAAAUCUAGGUACCUAGACAACAUAACACGAGUUGUCACUGUCCCUCUAAGGCCUCGAUUACCACCAGAAAAAAAUGCCACACACCAUCUUGGUAGCGCGAUGUCUCAGCGAAGGAUAUCCGCUACUUGCUGCCACGCUCUGCCUCGAUUGGCUUAGCCACCCAAAACAGGGCACCGACAAGACAUGGAAGCAUCCAUCGCAACACAAAUCUGCAAUCAUUCACACCCCCUAACCAAUGCUACUCCAAGACGAUGCUCCCAGGAGAGAGAAACAACACCAAUGAUGUCAUCGUCCAAUCCAAUAUCACCCAGACCUAGGGUUUCCCUCGGAGCAGCCGAUAAGUAGGCAGAAACGGCAUCAACGACCGCUUCAACAAGGUAACGACACACAAAGGCGUCGCGAUUGUCGGCCCAAAAAAAUUCGAGCACAGAUUUCCCCUCCCAUCUUGCCGCAGCCGAACAAUCUGUCCCACGGCACGUCGGUCGAGACAGAACCACGCCUCCACAACAUGUAGCGACCGAGCCAUAAGCCAUGGUCUAGCCGGGAGCCACCGAGCCCAGCUUCCGCGAGCCCAAGUCUGUGGACACACAAAUUUCCUCUCGCAUCCGUCCACAGACAAGGGGGACCAGUCUGCGGACACGGGUGCGGAAGGCGGCUAUUCAACGCUGCCCACAUACAUUUCAACCCGCAUUUGAACUAACCAGACGAAAUUCAUGCCAACUGAAUGAUAUUCAUCAAAGUUCGGAUAGAAAAUAACACAAAUCAAUACAUAGCAUGCAGCUAGUACAACAAUGUCUCAAAUUCGACUAGAUUAAGCGGAUGUCCAACAAGUUUAUCAUCAACAGAUCAUGCCCUUCCACACAUACUCCCUCUUCAGCUUCAUCCAAUAGUGUGUGUACGUAAAUGGCCUUUCCUCUGUCCUGUGGUACAUCACGGUAGCGCGUGCAGGCUACAUAAUGUGUAGACCAACAUUGAGUGAACGAGUCAAUUAACAACUUGACCAAGAAGCAAAAAACUUACAAUCUCAUUCUCUGGCGCAUGCAAUGGCCACCUUGCCUCCAGUUGAUGAACCAUGUUACAAAACUUGGUGAUGCUGGUUUGGAUAGCGUAUCAGCGAUACGUUAAUGACCUCACAUUGCAUUCUUGAAUGAUGUACAUGUCAUGGGGUGCAAUGUGCUUUCGUAUGUGAAAUGAUUCAUGCACUUGCUGUCAGAAGGUCCCCAUUCUACUCCUGCUUACAAAAUCCACGGAUAUGGCCAAUUACGCAUCACACAACAACUCAUCCUUCAUGGUAGAGUAGCACGCCAUCCUUCGUACUCUGGAAAACGACAUAGCGUUCCAAAAUAAGCUCAAUGGCAUUUGACCGAACACCUGUCGAGCAUGGUGUCUGCCAUGGAGGUCAUCUACAGGGGGCAAGUACCUAGGUACAAAUGGCUCCAGAGUGGACGUCACCGUCGUAGAGGUGAGCGGGCGCAUCAGUGUUGGUUGUGGACCUCCAGCAAUGCCUCUGUGGCGGCCGGAGACGGCGGAGGUGGAGGUUGCGGAUGCAAAGCAAGGGAGAGAAGGGGCGGAGUGGAAGAAAAUGAGACCAGGAGGGGGUAUUGGGUGGGUUGGGCGGUGUCGGAGUCCUACGUAUCUAUUGUCUGGACUCCCGCAGCCCCCUUUGUCUCCAAUUUGUGGGAGAACACAUGUCCGGACCACUCGGCAGCUGGUACAAGCCCAUGUUGGAUGGCUUCCGCGGUCCGGACGUAUGCGGGUGGUUUGAGGGUGAGAUGCCCUAACAGUGUUAUAGCACGAUCGAGUUGCACAUACUUGGUUAGGAUAACAACUUGUUCUCAAGUGGCAUUGUACUAGUUUGCUCUUUUGUCCAAAUACAUUUUGUGUUCAAGUGGAAAGUAGAGAAUAGCAAUCGCCGGUCCUUCAGUUGCACCGAAUUCUUGAGUUAGCUACAUUUCCAUUGUCACACCUGCCUCGAAUGUACAUGGCUUAGGGACUUUGUCUGGUUGCUCUAUAUUGCAUAACAAAUUCCUUUUUUUGUUAGGUGCAAUCUUUUCCACUCUUGGGUUUUGAAGUAGGGAGUAGACUGUAGACUUAUGUAAAAAAGGGAGAGUGGACUGUAGAGACUCGUGCUGUAUACAAAUGAGAAUUGCAUGCUUGAUAUUGAGAUAUCCAAUUGGAACAUUUUCUGUUUCCAAUGGUCAUUACGCUCACGUUCUUCUUUUGACCCUGUUCCGUAGAAGAACCCAAUUGGAAAUUUGUUUCACAGUUUGAAUGAAAGUCUAGAGGUUCAAAGCUCUUGCACGGUGUUGACCCGGAUGGUAAUGUACUUCAAAAAAUCAUGUUAUUGUUCAAUUUUGUUUUCCUAAAGUUGCAAAAGCUGGAAGGAAUAUGCUCUACUUUUGCAUUGCAGGAGAGGGAAUAGCUGUACCAAGGCCGAAGACUAGGCAUGGGAAUCAAAUGACCCGACGUCUAAGCUUUGUGAAACUAAGGGAAAGUCAAGGAUAAGUUCUCGGCAGCGAGUCAGUUCCUCUCGCAAAGUCAUCCCGAGUGCUUUAGAUAUCGAGAUCAUUGCUUCCGAUGGGUAUCCAACACAUUUGCCAAAAUCAGCACGCAGCACAGAGAUUUUGCUAGAAACUUCAUCAAUUCCUCCAGCAGUCAUGAUCUCAGAUUUGAUAUGAUUCAGAAGUAAAACAACAUCCACUGCAUUCUCCGAUGCCUCCCAUGCCUUAGCCCUGCUACAAGCAUGGAAUGGUAAUGGCUGCGAAAUAAACCUCAAGUAAGCUAGCGUUUUGGAACUGUUAAGUCAAGCAUCCCUUCCCACUCUUUAUAGGAAGAGUACUGGACCAUUUGACAAUACCUUGUCUGGUGCCACAAUCACACACAACUUUAAUGCUUGAUCAUGUUGUACUCGACUCAUGAAAACCACAUCAUGUUGAUUGUGACUNNNNNNNNNNNNNNNNNNNNNNNNNNNNNNNNNNNNNNNNNNNNNNNNNNNNNNNNNNNNNNNNNNNNNNNNNNNNNNNNNNNNNNNNNNNNNNNNNNNNNNNNNNNNNNNNNNNNNNNNNNNNNNNNNNNNNNNNNNNNNNNNNNNNNNNNNNNNNNNNNNNNNNNNNNNNNNNNNNNNNNNNNNNNNNNNNNNNNNNNNNNNNNNNNNNNNNNNNNNNNNNNNNNNNNNNNNNNNNNNNNNNNNNNNNNNNNNNNNNNNNNNNNNNNNNNNNNNNNNNNNNNNNNNNNNNNNNNNNNNNNNNNNNNCCCAUUACCCUAUUCGGUAGAGUAAGCUAAAAAUCCCUCCCAACACUGAGUUCUACUCCCUCCGUUCCAAAAUAUAUGACACAACUUUGUACUAACUUAGUACAAAGUUGGGUCAUCUAUUUUGGAACGGAGGGAGUAUAUAUGAAACACUACAAAACAUACCAACGAAGAAGACUGAUGGCACGAGAAGCAAAGUAACAACAAAGCACCAUGAGUAAAUUUCCAGGAUCCCACCGUGACUUGGCAAAAGAAGUUUGAUGCAAUUGAUUAAUUCACAUAGCUGCUAUUUUCACAACAAAAUUAACAAAAAUUCUAGACUACUCUCUCCAGUCCAUAUUAAUUGACGCUGCUUUAGUACAACUUUAGUAUAGAGCUAUACUAGAGCAGCGUCAACUAAGUUGGAUCGGAGGGAAUACCCAAACCUCUAUUCCAGGCAAGUUUUUUGCCAUGAGAUUCAACCACUUGGAUGAAAGUGAUUGAUGGUGAAGUGUGGAUGGGACACGUGCUAUUAUUUUGGUAUGGGGCGAGGUAGAAUUGGUUGGUGGAUUCACUUAUUUCGUUCAAAUUUUUUGAACUCCUGUGAUGGCUCGUUUGGUUCGUUUAGCGUUUUUGGUUGCAUGUGCGGUAGGCUCGCGUGGUUGUUUUUCUUAGGACAAAAUUACUGUUCUGACCCUUAAGGCAAACUAAAUCCCGAUUUGACCUCGUUCCAAAAAAAAUUUCGUUUCUGACCUUUUUCGGUGACGCCAAGGUCCUUGGCGUCUGGGUUACGAAGCAGACGCCACGGUCCCUGGCGUCUGGCCCCUGGCCCGCACUGCCCGCCUACCCGUUGACCUGCUGACGUGGCAAAGGGGCCAGACGCCAGGGUCCCUGGCGUCUGGCCCCGGUAAGUGGAUAACCGCGCGGGCCAGCCCACCCAUCCCCAUCUUUCUCCUGGCGGCGCACGACGAACAGAGGGCUCUGUUCUUCGCCCCUUCUCUCCCUCCCACCACCACCCCCCUUGAUCUACUCCAUCAACCCCUCAAACUCACAGAUCGGACCCCCCCAAGCUUCUUUGAGGUAUUCUCCCCCAUUCCCUCCAAUUUUUUUUGUUUUCCCCUCUUUGGUUGGAUGCAUUAUUCAACACUAGGUGAUGUUAGAUGAGUAGNNNNNNNNNNNNNNNNNNNNNNNNNNNNNNNNNNNNNNNNNNNNNNNNNNNNNNNNNNNNNNNNNNNNNNNNNNNNNNNNNNNNNNNNNNNNNNNNNNNNNNNNNNNNNNNNNNNNNNNNNNNNNNNNNNNNNNNNNNNNNNNNNNNNNNNNNNNNNNNNNNNNNNNNNNNNNNNNNNNNNNNNNNNNNNNNNNNNNNNNNNNNNNNNNNNNNNNNNNNNNNNNNNNNNNNNNNNNNNNNNNNNNNNNNNNNNNNNNNNNNNNNNNNNNNNNNNNNNNNNNNNNNNNNNNNNNNNNNNNNNNNNNNNNNNNNNNNNNNNNNNNNNNNNNNNNNNNNNNNNNNNNNNNNNNNNNNNNNNNNNNNNNNNNNNNNNNNNNNNNNNNNNNNNNNNNNNNNNNNNNNNNNNNNNNNNNNNNNNNNNNNNNNNNNNNNNNNNNNNNNNNNNNNNNNNNNNNNNNNNNNNNNNNNNNNNNNNNNNNNNNNNNNNNNNNNNNNNNNNNNNNNNNNNNNNNNNNNNNNNNNNNNNNNNNNNNNNNNNNNNNNNNNNNNNNNNNNNNNNNNNNNNNNNNNNNNNNNNNNNNNNNNNNNNNNNNNNNNNNNNNNNNNNNNNNNNNNNNNNNNNNNNNNNNNNNNNNNNNNNNNNNNNNNNNNNNNNNNNNNNNNNNNGAUAAGGAGCAUCGUGCUCGUGCCAUUGAAAAUGGACAGGUAAGAAGCAAGACUGGGUCAAUUUUCGUUGUUUCUCAUUUGUGUUCUUGUAUUGAUUAUUAAAACAUCACUUUAUUUGCAGGUUGUAGUUGCUAUGCGCAUGAGGGGUCAUUCCGCUGAUGACUUUGAUUACGACCCGCGGUAUGAGCCUUACAUUCGGAGAUUGGGUCUUCUCCCAUUCGUGUUGCAGUUUAAGCGACGCGCUCCGCCGGUGAACCACGCGGCGCUGACCGCACUUGUGGAUCGUUGGAGGCCGGAGACUCACUCCUUCCACCUUCCAUGUGGGGAGAUGACGAUGACCCUACAGGACAUGGCUAUGAUAAGCGGCCUUCCUAUCAAUGGACAAGCUGUUACCGGUCGUGUCAGCGUGGGUAAUUGGCGAGAACGGACUGCCGAUUUAAUUGGCGUUCAGCCCGAGGGCCCUCGGGAAGGCAAGGCCAAUACAGCGAAAGUGAGGCAUUCUUGGCUAAAACUGGUCAGCGGAAACACCAACCCGUGCCCUCAGGAUGCCAAUGACGUGGUUGUGCAGCAGUACGCGCGGGCCUAUCUUUGGUAUGUACUAACCAAGGUAGUCUUCUCAGAUGCAAUCGGGAACUCAGCCCUCUGGAUGUUCUUGGAGCCACUUAAUAACUGGGAUACCCAGUAUAGCUGGGGUUCGGCCGCACUAGCAUACUUGUAUCGUCAGGUAAGAGAUAUUUGCAACCAAUUAUUUUGCAUUUGUCAUGCGCCUCCAUAUCUAACAUGUUUGUUUGAUUGCAGCUUGACUUGGCGUGUCGGAGGAAGGGAGGUACAUCCUCAUUGUCUGGGUUUGUUUGGAGCCUAUCCGUGUGGAUGUGGGAGCGGAUCCCGGUUGGACGGCCCGAUUUGAAGAACCCCCUCACGGCAAACCCACGGGGUAAUCAUGACGGGUUGCAUGAUGAUGAUCCAUAUCGGCGCCCUACGCUUGCUUACUAUUGGGAACAAGUGACAGUGUACACAGGAAGCUCGCAUGUGCGAUACAAGUGCUAUAUGAACGAGCUGGACACCUUGACUGCUGAGCAGGUUAUGAGAAGUUCGAUGAGAUAAAAUUUAGUCAAGAAUGAAACUUAUGUAUGUAGCUAACAAUGUAUCUCUUUGUUUUGCAGGUACAUUGGUUGCCUUAUGUGGAAGAUCGUGACUUUGAUCUUAAUGAGAUGUGCACGCGUGAUAGCCAUCUUUGGCGGGCGAGGUGCCCAAUGAUAUGCUUCUUCGCAGUCGAGUGGCACUUUGUAGACCGUGUGGCAAGACAAUUUGGAAAAAGACAAGGUAUUCCAAUUGAGGAGAGCAAGGAGGAAAUGCUAUCUCUGCAUCGGUAAGCAAGCAUGCCUUGAGUAUGUAGUAGAGCAUUGAAUAAGUCAAUGUUUGCUAAUGCUUUGUCCCGUGCAUCAUUUGUAGGUUCGAUCGAAGGAACAAUCAGGAUAUAUCGGAUUGGGCAAACAAACACCGUGCGUGGAUAGAAAUUUGGAAUCAAAGAGACACGUUAGUGCAAUCAGAGAAUAGACCUCACAAUCAGUCAGCAUAUCAGAAGUAUCAAGUGUGGUAUGCGGAUCGUUACCGGUUAAAGCUGAAGCCAGGUUGGACUCACGAGGAGUGGUCGGAGUUGGUGUCUGAAGACCCGGAGACUGCAGAAGGUUAUCAUACCUUCAACACGGCUGUGAGAGACACCAGAGGGGCUCAUGUUGACUACGCACCGAUGCAUGACGAAAUGGUAGUCUGUUUGACCUAUUCUAACAUACUUGCAUCAUGUUGUCUUCUUUCAAAUACAUAAGUUUGGUGUGUUCAUGAAUUGCAGGGCAGAGAGUUGCUUCUGUGCGUCAACGAUGCCAAUGUUGCACUGAGUCAGCCAGCUGGUGGUGCAUUAUCUGAGAGGACUCUUAGGAGCACGAUGGAGGUUAGUCGCAAUAUAUUAUAAAAGUUUUUUUCGCGGAUUAGUUAUUUGGAUCUCAUAUCAUAGCAUCUUUUGUGUUGUCGCAGAAGUUCAAGAAGCGGUUCCAUAAGAUGGCAGCUAUGCUUUCUUGCCAUGGUGCUAAGUCCAGUGACGUGUAUGCACCAGGUAGCCGCGCUGCCAGAGCUAAUAAACGGCGUUAUGUCCAGAACGAAGAGGACAUAGAGGAGGAGGUCAAUGAAGAGGAGCCAGCACAUCAAGAGGAGCCAACACAUCAUGAUGAGCAUGAGUAUGAUGCAACACAUCAAGAGGAUCAUGAGUAUGAUGUUGAUGCUCCACAACCAUCACAGGUUACACAACCGACACAAGGCAAUGCCCGCUCUAGAAAAGGCAAAGCCAUAGCUAAGACACCGGGCAAGAAAGGUAGAAAGAAGACAUGGAACACUUAAUUCCAUAGUCCGGAGUAUCCUCAUCAAUUUAUGCCUGCGGGAAUGCAAAGAUAUAAGUCCAACAUUGAUGCAGAGGCGGAGGAGGCUAGCGAAGAGGAGGAGCAUGAGGCUAGCGAAGAGGAGGAGCAUACACUUGCAGAUAUCGUGAAGAGAGGAAGGAAGAAGUGAGCUUGUUGUAGUUUGUUUCAAUGAGCUUGUUCUAGUUUGUUUCGACGAACCUGGUGUAGUCUCUUUCCAUGAACUUGUUGUCGUUUCUUUCCAUGAACUUGUUGCCGUUCGAAUUAAGUUGUACCGGAUUCGUGAAGUUGCUAUGAAUGUUUGACAUGAAUGAAUGAUGUGAUUUAUGGUAAUUGUUGUUUCCUGUGAUUUAGUCAUUUAAAUGAAUGUUUAUAUGAAUGUCUGACAUGAAUGAUGAAAUCUGUAUUUAGUCAUUUAUAUGCACAGGGAGCCAGACGCCAGGAUCCUUGGCGUCUGGCUGUAUGUCAGGGGACCAGACGCCAGGGUCCUUGGCGUCUGGAUGUAUGUUAGGGGACCAAACGCCAGGGUCCUUGGCGUCUGGCAGUCUAUUGACACCAGAAACAGGGUAAAGCAGGGGAGCCAGACGCCAGGGUCCUUGGCGUCUGGUCCUGGUGCAGACAAUACUUGCUUUUUCACUUGUAGUUUUGUCUUUUCACUUGUAGUUUCGAAUAACAUACAUACAUAAGCAUUGCAUAGUCUUUUCAUAACACUAUAGUUGACAAAUGACAAACAUAGUUCAAAUUACAACUUAGUUCAUGACCACGAUGGUCUACGAUACAAUGCAAAUUACAAACAUAGUUCAAAUUACACAAAUAGUCUCGAAUGACAUAAGUAGUUCAUGACCACGAUGGUUGAAACGACAUGAACAUCACAUAUAACUCGGUUUCCUGUAGCAAUGCAAGUCAACAACCCUUUUCCAUUUCCAUUCUUCCAGCAUUUCUUGAAUCUUGUCAUCAUCAGUUAUGUCAACCAAUUUACAAACUUAGUUGACAAAUGACAAAUGACAAAUGACAAACAUAGUUCAAAUUACAAACUUAGUUCAUGACCACGAUCCAUGUCCUUUUGCGCUAUGUACACAUCCAAGUCACCAACAUCAUUGCCAUGAAACCCUUCCUCUUGCUCUUCGUCGUCAUCAUAAGCAUCUUCAUCCUCUUGAAUUACUCCGUCACUAGCAAUCACCUCAACUUCAUUUGCUUGGCUAGUUGGUGGUUGGCUAGAAGCAUUGGGGGCAUACAACUCAACCUCAUUUGCUUGGCUAGUUGGUGGUUGGCUAGAAGCAUUGGGGGCAUACAACUCAACCUCAUUUGCUUGGCUAGUUGGUGGUUGGCUAGAAGCAUUGGGGGCAUACAACUCAACCUCAUUUGCUUUGAUAGUUGGUACACGGGGACAUGGUGGGGGAUAAACAUUGGGGGCAUCAACCACAACCCUAUGCUCAACAAGUGGCACCAUUGUCCUCUCGCUCAUGUCAUCCAUUGGGGAAGAGACAUGCCGGUUCAAAUCAAAGGUAAACCGAGGAGAUUCAGUGGUGGCAAACAAUUCAAGUGACUUGUCUUCCGAUUGGGAUACUUUUUCCUUGUAUACAUCCCAAUGCAAAUCCGAGGUGAUAGGCAUACUUUUCAAGCGAGAUUUGGCUCCAACUCCAACAUCAUACCUUCCUAUUAACUUAACAUCAACAUUGGUGUCCAUCCACUUCAAGACUUGUCUCACUUUUGCAACAACAUCCUCAUAGCUAGGGCUUCUAUCAAAAACCAAUGGUUCCUCACCCGUGUCGGCAUUGUUACUCAAGAAUGCCUCCUUGUCAAUGUAAUGAACAUUAACAAGUCUCUCCAUCUAAAAAUUACAUGAAUGCAUUUAAGACCUCAAUGAGAAUUGGUGUUUAUCCAAAUACAUCUUAUUAUAUCCAAAUCAUAUCAACACUAAAUUAUUGGCGAUGUCCACAAAAGUAUCACUAAUCACUAAUUAACACACUAAGCAAAGUUAACCCUAAUCACUAACUAACCCUAACCCCCAAUCUUUCUACUCAACAAACAUAUAUUCCUACUACACACCAUGCAUAGCACUAUAUUAUCAAAGUUAACCAAGCCAUUCACACUAACAUAAGGGGGAGAAAACAUGAACUAGGGUUCCACCAACAUGUAUAAAAUGCAACCAAAAGGACAAGACUUAACAAAAAAUAAUUGGAUGAUUUGGGAGAGAUUAACAAGAGCAACAAAGUGAUGGAAAGAUCCACCUAAGGGAUGUACCUUUUGGAGAGGAUUUGAGGGGGAGCUUGAGGGGUGAGAGAGAGUGGGGAGGCAGCAGCUCUUCUUCAAGCUCGGGCUGGAUUGGGGAAAGUGUGUGGGGUGGGACCCACACACUCUCCCGGUGGGGUUAUCCACUUACCGGGGCCAGACGCCAGGGACCCUGGCGUCUGGCCCCUUUGCCACGUCAGCAGGUCAACGGGCAGGCGGGCAGUGCGGGCCAGGGGCCAGACGCCAGGGACCGUGGCGUCUGCUUCGUAACCCAGACGCCAGGGACCUUGGCGUCACCGAAAAAGGUCAGAAACGAAUUUUUUUUUGAAACGAGGUCAAAUCGGGAUUUAGUUUGCCUUAAGGGUCAGAACAGUAAUUUUUUUUUUUUUACAUGCUUCCUUCCAUUUCUAUUGACUGUUGGGUUUCGUGUCGCUGUCUGGGUAUGUUGCUGUCGGCAGAUUCUGUUGAGCCGCUGUUGGUCCAUUUGUACUGUCGCUUUCUGUUUCCUAUUGGGUUCUGUGUGUGGUGUUGCUGAUUGGUUCCUGUCGCUUUCGUAUGCGGUGCCGACGUCCUUUAUCAAAAAGCGGUGGAGAAUAGAAAGCGACGUUACAGGCAGACUAACCUGCGGCAGGAUUGGAUUGGACAACGUCGAAUAGAAAAUAAGGAAAGCGAUGGAAGAACUGAAGCAACAGCGGCCCGCCUAGAUCGGUCGACAGCGACAGAAGCAAAUCUGGACAUGUCGCUUCGUCUAGAUGGCGCUGGGUGCUUCGCGAGCCUGCCAUUCCUUUUGACCGGUGCUGUCUCCCUCAUUUCCUUAUGUGCUUUUCUCAGUCUUCUCUGAGGCUAUAAAUAGGUUGCUUUGCUUCCUUCGGUAGUACCUGCAGUUUCCAGCCGCAACCCGUCUCCUCUCCACGUCACCGAGGUGGCUGAGAGUGUGCGUGGGACUAUGGGAGGCGCGCGCAGCUGAUGAUGGGAGGCCUCGCUGCAGUUCGUUGGCGGCGAGCUUUGAAGACAGAUGCCAGGAAAGAGUAGGACGGGGCGCCGCUGGCUGCGUCACCUCGCGACCACCUCGCGGAAGGUAGCCAUCCUGGGCGCGGGUGCCGCGGUCACUUCAGUGGGUGCCUCCUGCCUCGGCAGCCGGUGCUCCACUGCUCGCAAAUCGAAAUAUCCAUGCCGCUUGCCGUGGUUGUUGCCUCACAUGGUUCCUCAUCGAAUCUACACCAGCCGUCGGGGAGAGACCGAAAGAGAGGGCGGCAGCAGGCGUCGGCGGUGUUGUCCUGCAUGUUGCUCAAUAUCCGCACCUUCCACACUGAAUCCACCCAGAUCGACGCAGCACAUACUAGCCCGGUGGUGACCACCACCACGAUGCGUCAAGCUGUUCCCAAAUGGGGUCACCGGUGUUGCCACUGCUCAACUGCUCCGGUCGAUACUAUCCGGAGCCACCAUGUGGAGUCAUAGAAGAGGAGGUGCCGUCCUAUGAACAGGGGUUAACGUUUGUCGUGGCCCGCGGCACGGUUCCUCUUUUAUAGACGCGGGGUGCGGCGCCCGGCAGAACGAGGUGGCUGCAGGUGAUGGGGGAUCGGGGAGUGUGGGUCUGGGGCCAUUUUUCCAUGUCGAUAUUGAACCUGAAUACCUGAUCCAGAUGGGUGGUGGUGCAAGGCGGGCGCGCUCAUUGUUAAGAGCUACAAGGACGUGCUGGUGUUGUCGCCGGAGAGGCAGGCUCCAGGUGAGGAGCUGCAGCAGGAGCUGGUCACGGCGGAGAGUCACCGGACAGGCGGGCUCCAGGUGAGGAGCUGCAGCGGGAGCUGGCCACGGCGGAGAGCUGCGUGCUGGCCGUGAGUGGGCACACCAAGCUGUCGGCCAACAACUGCAGCCUUCCCGAGUCUAACUGCCGGCUGCCGUAACUCAACCCUAUUAACAUGUUUCAGGCGGUGGUGCCUCGCCGACGACAACUGCAAGCUACGUGCUGAUCAUCAUCAGCAACACAGGCCGAUUGACCUUUGUUUGGACUACUGCUGGAGUUGUCGUGCGAGUUCGUAUGAGGUUUGGGUGAGACCUUUUCUCUCUCUCUGGCUUUCUUUUUUUCUCUUUUGACAGGCACUCUUUUGUAUAUUCUAUUGAGCGGAUGUCAAGGCUAUUGACGGCACGCAUACAAAAAAAAGGAAAAAUCAGCUACAUUAAACUCUCGAAAGUUUUGUCAAUACCUAACAUGUUGUACGCAUGCAAGCAGAAAAAAAUUGGCUAGACCAAACAGUAAGAGAACAAAAUGGCCACCAAUUCCUAUGCAACUAGACACAUGAUCUACUACUCACAUGCAUGUGGUCACAUCAAGCCUAAAACCCAUGCAUGUGGUCACAUCAAGCCUAAAACCCAUGCAGUGCAUGCAUCAAGUAAUCCCAUAUGGCCAGAAAGAGAUAGAGAUACAAAUCGCUAGGUGCAUGCAACAACCGUACCACACAUUCCUAAGAUUACAGAUGAUGGCUCUACAAUUCUCUCAAAAAAAUAGACCACACAAGACAAAAGAAACCAUAAGAAGAGUAUUACUAUAGCAUGAAGCAUCCUUUUUAAUGCUAGCUGCUUAUAUUUUCAGCAAGACAAAUUUAACCCCUUAAAAAAGCAAGAUAAAUUUAAUUGAGGCUCCUUGUAGUUACAUUAUUUAUUGUGUGUUGUACUUGGUCUAUUUAGAAAUAUUUUGUAGACCCAUCGUACUGUUAGAGCCUGGUUGGAGGAAGGAAUGGACCGGAAUAUAUUUCUGUGUAUGGAAAAUAAUUCAGAGUGAGAGGCUUUUGAAUCUUUAUUUGAGUAGCUCAUGUAUUUUGGCAACUAGAAUAAUACCUGUAUUAGAGUUUUAAUGGCUAAAACGAUAUGAGAAAUAUUAAACUCUGUUUUUUGUCUCAGGUGAUCGGAUGACAAGCUACAUCACAUAUCUUCAAAUGAUGGCAAUUAUGUGAAUGCUUCAAUAAAUAACUUCAUUUACUUAUAGUCCCUCUGUCCCAUAAUAUAAGAGCGUUUUUAACACUACAUGAGUACAUAUCAAUCAAUGUAGUCUUUCACUAGAUGUAAUACACAGAUGGUUCUUUGCAUAGUUCAUGCACUUCUUCGUUCCCUGCUCUUGAGUUCUUGGUUGCUUAAUCAUACUAUCCUGUUCACAUCAAUGUUAACAUAUGAGGUGUUUUGGUCUCUAAGGUCAUCAGAGAUAAGAAAAGUCACACAACUAUAUGACAUGCCUGAAUAAAUACUGGACCAACAGAUCUAGCUCAUGUUGCAAAAAGCCACUUUAUUAGAAUUGGGAUUUGAGAGCAGCGUACACAUUCAUCUCUAGGCAAGAAGUUAAUUUCUUUCAACUUAAACUGUUUAUAAAUUAUAAGUUUAUAAUUACAUUAACCAAAUGGAGAAGGCAGAACUGCAAGUUGUAUUGAUUUAAAUAAAAAAAUCCAAGGAAAACUUGUUUCAUAAAUCAUUGAUAAGUAAUAUUUAUGCAUUAUAUUUGGGGGAUUCAAUGUGUGAACAGUUAACCAAUAAAAAAAUCAAUCAAAAGGAUGCGAACAAACAAAGCUGUCUAUCAAAUAUUGGAAAAAGAGAAUAAAAAUUCGAUAUUUUCAUUGUAGACACAUUUAAUGAGUAGCAUAAAAUAUGGUCAUGGUAUUAUCCGGUGAUUAUCUUUGGUUGGUAUUCUUUGAGUAUUUGGAUGCAACUAAGAGUGUAACCUUUUGCAACAACUAAACUUUCACAUGUUUAUGUAAAUUUCAAUUUCAGCGACAUUUAGGCAUGUUUAUUUUCAUACAAAAACUAGCACAUGAUUAGUUCAUGAUCAUGGAGGAAAUGUACAAUGGAAAAACCUCUACAAGAAUGAAUAUCAGAAACAUGUUGAUGUGGGUAAAGCAAAAAUUUCUUGUGCUGUGAUGAUCUUAUCGGUCUCCUCUCAUAUUCAUGUGAAAUAUAACAUGCAUUUGGUCGACUAACCAUCUCUCUCACCACAACCAGUUACUUCGGGAUCCAGGACAAACACUUUCAUGGUACAAAUGAAACAUCAACUACUAUAUAUUUCUCCCCAAAGACAGAUAUAAGCUAUAAAUGAUUGUAACAUGUUCGAUCUAUAGCAUGGUGGUUCUUAUUAUGAGAGUAGCAACAUAUGCUUCCUACUUUGUAAAAUACAUCGAUUUAUGUGAUGAAUAAAUCUAUGUUUUCCAAUUCGGUUCUGCGUUGCUUGCCAGAUUAUAACCCCCACGUUGCACACAUACAACCUUCAUCUUAAAUCCAAAUUAGUAAAAAAAAGUAACCUAGUUAUUAUCAUGCAACACAUUUUCGUCAUGAUGCAUCAAUAGGGCGCGGCGUGCCGCCGCGCGGGCAUGGCUAGUACUAUUAUUUAUGUUCGGCCACAAGAAGGCUGGGAGAAGAAUUACUUCAACAUCUCACUCGUAGCAGCUUCAUCCUCACCGUCUGUUUUUCUAGAUAUAUUCUUCAACUAUCCUUGUUCUGGCUGCACAGAUGCGGAAGGUUUAAUAGUAAUCAAUGCAUGUGAAAAAAAUAAAAAAAUAGUUAUAAAAUGAGUCCAAGACUACACACCUACAACCAUGCAUACCUACAUCUUAAGAUAGGCACACUAAGAAAAGUUCACUGCAUAGAAAGGAGCCAUGAGAAAUGCAUUUGCUUGGUGCAGUAAUUUUCGUAAACCAUAUUCUUUUUUACUUUGUUUGAAAGAGGGCAUUUUAUUCACUCAUAAGAAGCAUCAAGGGGAUACAAAACUCCAUGAGUACAUACCCGGCCUUUGCAUAGUUCGUAUGCACAGAACCAUUAUCGACACACAUGCAACGCGAACCUGCAAUCAUCCACUGCCCCCCUCCUAACCGAUGCAGCUCCAAGACGAUGCUUCCAAGAGAGAGAAACAAGUACUAAUGAUGUCAUUGUCUGAUCCGAUACCACAAGGACCUAGGGUUUCCCUCGGAGCAGCCGACAGGUAGGCAUCAACGGCAACGAUAAUAGCUUCAACAAGUUAACGACAUGCAAAGCGUCGGCAUCGUCAGCCUAGAAAAAUUUGAGCACGGCUUUCGCCUCCCAUCUCGCCGCAGCCGAACAAUCUGACACGCGGCAUGUCGGCCUAGACAGAACCACACCUCCACAACAUGUAGGGACCGAGCCACUAGCCAUGGACUAGCCAGGAGCCACCGAGCCCAGCCGCCGCGAGCCCAAGUGGGAAAACAGUGAAUCAAAGUAUACCUUUACUUGUGACAGUGUUGUAGCACAAAUUGCAGAUACUUGCUUGGGAAAGCAGCUUGUUGCUCAAGUGGCAAUGUACUAGUUUGCUCUUUUGUCCAAAUACAUCUUUUGUUCAAGUGGAAAGUAGAGAAUAGCAAUCGUCGGCCCUUCAGUUGCACCGAACUCUUGAGGUAGCUACAUUUCCAUUGUCACACCUGCCUCAAAUGUACAUGGCUUAGGGACUUUGUCUGGUUGCUCUAUAUUGCAUAACAAAAUCCUUUUUUGUUAGGUGCAAUCUUGACAGCUCUUGGGUUUUGAGGUAGGGAGUAGACUGUAGAGUUAUGUAAAAAAUGGAGAGUGGACUGUAGAGACUCAUGUUUUGUACAAAUGAGAAUUGCAUGCUUGAUAUUGAGAUAUUAAAUUGAACUUUUUCUGUAUCCAUUGGUCAUUAUGGCUGCGUUCGUGUUUUGACCUUGUUCAAUAGGAGAACCGAAUUGGAAAUUUGUUUCACAGGUCAACAAAAAGUCUAGAGUCGCAGAGCUCUUGUACGAUCAAUGUUGACUGAGAUGGUUAUGUAGUAACAGAUAAUCAUGUUACUGUUCAAUCCCUUUUUUUUUCUGAAGUUGGAAAAAACUGAAGGAACAGACUCUGCUUUUGCAUUGCAAAACACAAAAUAGCUGUACACAGGCUGAAGGCUUUCGUGUGAAUCAAAUGACCCGGCCUCUAUGUUUUGUGAGACUCGGACACGCUGGACAAGUGGACCACAGCGAAUUGGUUCCUCCAUCCAAAUCAUAGCCUUUGAUAGGUAUGCAACACAUUUGCCAAAACCGGCUCGCCAUUCACAGAUUUCAGCAGAAACUUCAGUGCCUGUUAUAGCAGUUCUGAUGUCAGAUUUCAUAAGGUUCAGAAACAAAGCAACAUCCAGUGCAUUCUCCGAUGCCUCCCAUUCCUAGUCCUUCUACAGUCAUUGAAAGGUAAUGGUAGUGAAAUAAACCUCAAGUCAGCUAGCUUUUCGGAAAUGUUAAGUCAAGCACCACCCACCCUCCUCUUUAUAGGGAGAGCAAUGGACCAUUGGACAGUACCUGAUAUGGAGUCACAAUCACAAAGAACUUGAAUGCUUGAGAUCAUGUUGUACUCACCUGAUGAGAAAACAUCUGGUUUGAUUUUGAUUUGUAUUAAACUGUACAACCCUGGCAUUGCUUGACGAUGUCAUUGUUGGAUUGUUCGGAACAAUUCCGCACAGAGAAUGGGUCGAUCCCUCAAUACCCAUUGGGGUUAAUCCCUCCCAGUACACUAUUCGGUAUAGCAAGGUGAAAAUCUCUUCCAGCACCGAGUUUUGUACAUGAAAAACAACAAAUAAUCAUACCAAAGAAGAAGACUAUUGACAUUACAACACUAGAAGCCAGGUAACAAUAGAGCACCAUGAACAUUUUCCAGAAUCGCAUCGCGCCAUGCCAAAGACAAGUUUCAUGCAAAUGAUUAAAUCACACGAUUGCCAUUUCUACCAGAAAAUUAAAUAUUUAAUGUAAACCAUAUUAUUAUAUGUUUGGCCGCAUAAAGGCUCGAAGAAGCAAUAUUACUUCAAUAUCUCACUGGUAGCAGCUUCGUCCUCGCCUUUGUUUUCUCUAGAUACUCCUCAAUUCUCCUUCUAGGUACAGAUAUACAAUACAAAUGGGGAAGGUUUAGUACACUACCGGAAACUGGCCCUACCCCGACGGCCAAAUCAAUGCCGACGGCGGCCGUCGGCCUACUUUGCGCUAUGCCGACAGCCACGUCUUGGCCGUCGGCGUACCUUGGCCGUCGGGCUACCACGAGCUAAGCCGACGGCACCCGUCGGCAUACAUAUGUCGUCGGCCCAGCUGCUAACAUGGCGACAGCAGCCGUCGGCAUAACCAGGUCGUCGGCAUACCCGUGGGCCUGGCGACCCCGCCCGUGACCAGCGGCUAACGUCGUCAAAUCUAUGCCGACGGCCUGGACGGCCGGCCGUCGGCAUAUAUCGUCAUGCCACGUCAUAGAUCCGCGGCGCACCGUCCAUGAGCUAAGCCGACGGCUGCCGUCGGCAUACAUGCCACGUCAGCGAUCCGCGGCACGCCGCCCGCCGCCUAAAACCUGGCCGUCUCUAUGCCGACGGCAUAGGUAGACUUUUUUUUUCAUAUGUAUUUUUUUAAGCUUUUUUAUGUAUUAUUAUAUAAACUAACAUGUAGCAUGUUAAAUAUAAACACACAUAUGAAUAUAUAUGUAGUUUGUAUUUUUUUCAUAUAUUAUGAAUAUAUAUAUAUAUAUAUAUAUAUAUAUGGUUUGUAUUUUUUCGAGCACGUUAAUAAUGUGCGGUCAUGUUCUUUUGAAUAUAGAUCAUUAUAUUUUAUUAAAAUCAAAAACAGCGAUGCCGACAAAAGUUUUGUGGCGGUUGCAAACGCCCGACACCCGUCUCCAGAGUGUGACCCCCCUCACGUCCGCGGUGUGCCCCCCUCAUGGACGGCACCGGCACCUGGAGGGGGGAAACAGACGCGUCGGGUCUACACGGUGGAUGUAGCUGUGGGUUUGGCCCGGAUGUUGCUGCCGGGUGUCCCUACGGGUGACCUGACACAACCAGGUGCAGAGGUCCACUGGUCAAAGCCCGUCCGUGGGAAGUUAAAAGGCUAGAUCUCGUGGUCAACCGCUCCACGGUUAGGCGGGACGGGGGCCCUGGGGGNNNNNNNNNNNNNNNNNNNNNNNNNNNNNNNNNNNNNNNNNNNNNNNNNNNNNNNNNNNNNNNNNNNNNNNNNNNNNNNNNNNNNNNNNNNNNNNNNNNNNNNNNNNNNNNNNNNNNNNNNNNNNNNNNNNNNNNNNNNNNNNNNNNNNNNNNNNNNNNNNNNNNNNNNNNNNNNNNNNNNNNNNNNNNNNNNNNNNNNNNNNNNNNNNNNNNNNNNNNNNNNNNNNNNNNNNNNNNNNNNNNNNNNNNNNNNNNNNNNNNNNNNNNNNNNNNNNNNNNNNNNNNNNNNNNNNNNNNNNNNNNNNNNNNNNNNNNNNNNNNNNNNNNNNNNNNNNNNNNNNNNNNNNNNNNNNNNNNNNNNNNNNNNNNNNNNNNNNNNNNNNNNNNNNNNNNNNNNNNNNNNNNNNNNNNNNNNNNNNNNNNNNNNNNNNNNNNNNNNNNNNNNNNNNNNNNNNNNNNNCGUCGGGUCUACACGGAGGGGAUCUUGCUGUGGGUCUGGCCCGGAUGUUGCUCCAAAGUGUUCCUAUGGGCUGACCUAACACAACCGGGUGGAGAGGUCCACUGGUCAAAUCCCGUCCGUGCAAAGUCAAAGGGCUAGAUCCCGUGGUCAAACGCUACAGGGUUAGGCGGGUCGGGGGCCCUGGGGGGGGGGGUAGCAAUGCCACCGGAGCAUCGCACCGGGCCCUCAUACAUGCGGGGUGGUGUGGUGGCAUGUCCGAAGAGGCGGCACGCGUCUCCGGGGCGUGCCCCCCCCCCCUAACGGACGACGAUGACACGGUAGUAGCCAUUCUGCGGUAACGAUGCGGCGUGAAUAUUAUUAAAUACUCGGAGCGCGAUAAAAUCAUGAGUUUUUUUUGCACGACGUGUGCACAUGUGCUAUAGGAACGAUAAUAUUUUUUUUCAUAAAUUUUGGUGAUGGAGAAGUAUCCGAAAAAUCCCCUCUACGCGGAUUGCCCUUCGCGCGUCUACGGCUGUGGCCGGCGGCCUCCGGGGGCUAGCAUGCCGCCAAAUCUUGCGUAGGCAGCCUCUCAUGUAUUUGGAAGUGUUGUGGUGGUUGCAAACGCCCGGCACGCGUGUCCGGGUGUGCCCCCCCUCACGGACGGCGCCGCCGCCAUCACCUGGAGGGGGAAAACGGACGCAUCGGGUCUACACGGAGGGGAUGUAGCUGUCGGUUUGGCCCGGAUGUUGCUCCCAGGUGUCCCUCUGAGCUGACCUAACACAACCGGGUGGAGAGGUCCACUGGUCAAAUCCCGUCCGUGCAAAGUCAAAGGGCUAGAUCCCGUGGUCAAACGCUACAGGGUUAGGCGGGUCGGGGGCCCUGGGGGGGUAACAAUGCCACCGGAGCGUCGCACCGGGCCCUCAUACAUGCGGGGUGGUGUGGUGGCUUGUCCGAAGAGGCGGCACGCAUCUCCGGGGCGUGGCCCCCCUUAACGGAUGACGAUGACACGGUAGUAGACGGAUCAGGCACUCGCAUAGUUACCGGAUCAGGCACUCGGUAACGGUACCCCUCAGUCAGUUGCUCUCCUAUGUAUCACCUUUCACGAGACCAUAGAAAAAAAUAUACGUGAUAUUUUAGAAAAUUGUUGUACAAUAUAAAAAAGAUCAUGUCAUUAAAAAUAAUGUUUCAAAUCAUUAAAGAAAAUGUAUGGUACAUUUUAAAUAAUGUUCUGCAUGUAAAAAAUAUGUAUAAGAAAACAUUAAAAUAUUUAUAAAAAAUAAGAAAACAUUAUAAAAUUUAUACAAAAUAAGAAAAGUAAAAAUAAAAAUAAGCCGUCGGCAUAGCUGCGGCCAUAGGGAAGCUUGUACGCGGAUCGGUGACGUGGUUAAUAAAAAAGAAAAAAAAGUAUGCCUACGGCUAAGCCGUCGGCAUAGGUGCCACGUGGCGCCCUGAGCAAUGCCGAUGGCUUAGCCGUCGGCAUAGUUGACCUUAUCCACUCGCGUUACCCCCCAUCCACUCACUGUCUCCCCACACCCCGAGCUAGCUGCCGCCGUCGCACCCCCGACCCCGACCUGCGCCGCCGCCNNNNNNNNNNNNNNNNNNNNNNNNNNNNNNNNNNNNNNNNNNNNNNNNNNNNNNNNNNNNNNNNNNNNNNNNNNNNNNNNNNNNNNNNNNNNNNNNNNNNNNNNNNNNNNNNNNNNNNNNNNNNNNNNNNNNNNNNNNNNNNNNNNNNNNNNNNNNNNNNNNNNNNNNNNNNNNNNNNNNNNNNNNNNNNNNNNNNNNNNNNNNNNNNNNNNNNNNNNNNNNNNNNNNNNNNNNNNNNNNNNNNNNNNNNNNNNNNNNNNNNNNNNNNNNNNNNNNNNNNNNNNNNNNNNNNNNNNNNNNNNNNNNNNNNNNNNNNNNNNNNNNNNNNNNNNNNNNNNNNNNNNNNNNNNNNNNNNNNNNNNNNNNNNNNNNNNNNNNNNNNNNNNNNNNNNNNNNNNNNNNNNNNNNNNNNNNNNNNNNNNNNNNNNNNNNNNNNNNNNNNNNNNNNNNNNNNNNNNNNNNNNNNNNNNNNNNNNNNNNNNNNNNNNNNNNNNNNNNNNNNNNNNNNNNNNNNNNNNNNNNNNNNNNNNNNNNNNNNNNNNNNNNNNNNNNNNNNNNNNNNNNNNNNNNNNNNNNNNNNNNNNNNNNNNNNNNNNNNNNNNNNNNNNNNNNNNNNNNNNNNNNNNNNNNNNNNNNNNNNNNNNNNNNNNNNNNNNNNNNNNNNNNNNNNNNNNNNNNNNNNNNNNNNNNNNNNNNNNNNNNNNNNNNNNNNNNNNNNNNNNNNNNNNNNNNNNNNNNNNNNNNNNNNNNNNNNNNNNNNNNNNNNNNNNNNNNNNNNNNNNNNNNNNNNNNNNNNNNNNNNNNNNNNNNNNNNNNNNNNNNNNNNNNNNNNNNNNNNNNNNNNNNNNNNNNNNNNNNNNNNNNNNNNNNNNNNNNNNNNNNNNNNNNNNNNNNNNNNNNNNNNNNNNNNNNNNNNNNNNNNNNNNNNNNNNNNNNNNNNNNNNNNNNNNNNNNNNNNNNNNNNNNNNNNNNNNNNNNNNNNNNNNNNNNNNNNNNNNNNNNNNNNNNNNNNNNNNNNNNNNNNNNNNNNNNNNNNNNNNNNNNNGCCGGCCGCGGCUCCUAGAGCCGGCCGCGGCUCCGUCCGGCACCGUCCCUCCCGUCCCCGACCGCCCCUGCCUCACCAUCCCCUCCACCGCCUCGCCCCCUGCCACGCCCCUCUCGGUGAGCUACGUUUUUUUUCAUUUUUUUUCCAUUUUUUCUACUGUUGGAUGGAUGAAUGAAUGCAUGGAUGGAUGUUGGAUGUUAGAUUGUUAGGUUAGAUGUUAGAUGUUAGGUUGUUAGGUUGAUAUAUAGUUGAAUGUUGGAUGUUAGGAUGUUAGAUUGUUAGUUUGCAUUAUUUUUAUCAUGAUGAUCUUGUCAUUUGAGAUGUGCUCUAAAAUUGGUAUAAGAUGAGUGAUUAUUUUUAUCAUGAUGAUCUUGUCAAAAAAAUUGAACCGGACAAAAUUUGACACUUGACAAAAUAAGAUUUUUUUCAUAGUUUUAAGUGUUAGUGCUUAAUGUUAAGUAGCUAUGUGAGAUGUGCUGCAAAAUUAUGAUAUGAUCAGUGGUUAUUUAAUCAUGAUGAUGUUGCAAAAAAAUUGAAGGACAAAAUUUGGCACUUGACGAAACAUGAUUUUUUUUCAUAGUUAAAAGUAUCAAUGCUUAAUGUGAGGUGAUGACCUAAUUUUUUUUCACUCGGUGUAAUUAACAGGAUUUGUGGUGUUCCAUCUUCGUGGAGUGAUUGUCGACGUUGGAGGUGUUGGUCCACGAUCGUCCAUCUCCUUUGAUCGACUACAUCGGAGGGUGAGCAACAAUUCCAUGACCUCGUCCACUUUUUUUCCAUGUCACUAGAUUAAAUUUUCACGUCAAGUCACGUAACCUAGGUCUCCCGUCCGAAAGGGUUGCAUCGAUAAAUAUGCAUUCAAUUGCAUAUUUAUCGCUGCAGCUCUUUCGGAUUGUCCGGCGCUUUGCACGGACAGCCCGAGGAUGUGUAGAUUGGGUACGUUGUUCAUGCUCUACCCCGUUCCGAGACAGGAUUUCGGCGGCGCCUCCCUGUUGUUCUCCGGAUGCACAUUCUCUCGGCAUUUUGCCGAGACGUGUAUUUGGAGAACAGCGGGGAGGUGCUGCCGAAAUUUUGUCUCGGAAUGGGGUAGAGCAUGGACAACGUACUCAAUCUACACAUUCUCGGGUGGGAUUAGGACCCAUCUUUACCUAUUAGAGAUGUAGGUGGAUUAAAUGUCGUUUCUCGUCAACCUUGUAAAAAAUAAAAUAUUGAUGUGAGUAAUUUAAAUGAAUCCUUAAUUUUGUUGUGUGGCUUCCAAUAAAGCAGAGAUGGCAGAUAAUCAGUGGAUGUAUAGUGGGUUUUUCCGUCGGAAUCAAGUAACAACAGAGUGGGUCGAGAAAACUGAUGUGUUUUUGAAAGAGAUAUUCCGUAGUCCAAUGGGGAUGGUGCCAGAAUGCCCGUGUGCCAGAUGUAAGAGGCAUAUUCGCAGAGAUAAGAGUGAGAUGACUAAGCACCUUCGCACGCAUGGAUUUAUGCCCAACUUUAAUAUGCCGAUAAACUUUGCCCAGCGGGACCGUGGUAGAGAGGAUGUGAUACGACAAUGCGUCGCUGGUUAUGAGGACGAUGGGGUUAGAGACAUGCUAGAUGAUGUCUUUGCUGCACAGCCGACACCUCCGUCACAUUCAGCGAAUGAACCGGAGGAGCCGGAGGAAACCGCAAAGGCCUUCCUGGAAAUCUUGGCCUCGUCAAAGAAACCUCUCUAUGAGGGUGCCAAGCUGUCUGUGCUGGAUGCCAUCUCGCAACUGAUGGCAGUCAAGGCUGAGUACGGCUGUAGCCGAGGUUGCUUCGAAGCAUUUCUGGGAGUAUGGGCUAACAGCCUGCCUGAGGGCCAUGAACUGCCGAAAACCAUGUACGGUACGAAGAAAAUCAUGAAGGCGCUCUCGAUGGACUAUGAGAAAAUACAUGUUUGUCCAAAGAAUUGCCUUUUGUUUAGGCAUGAGUAUGCAGAUGACAAGUACUGUAGGAAGUGUGGUUCCUCUCGGUAUAUUGAGGUGGUCGAUAAGCAUGGUCAGAAGCAGCAGCUAAAAAUCCCUGUGAAGGUUCUUCGGUAUCUUGAUUUUAUAAAAAGACUGCAGCGCCUUUUCAUCACCGAGGAGUCUGCCAAAAUGAUGAAGUGGCACAAGGAAAGGAAAAGGUACAAUCCAAAAAAAAUUGUACAUCCAUCAGGAGGUGAAGCAUGGAAGUCAUUCGAUAUAGAGUACCCGGAGGAAGCAGCCGAGGCUGGGAAUGUCAGAAUUGCUAUAACAGGUGAUGGGUUCAAUCCAUAUGGUAUGUCGUCUAAUCCAUACAGCUGUUGGCCCGUAUUUGUUAUUCCGCUGAAUCUCCCUCCCGGCGCCAUAAUGCAACAUAAACCCCAUGACAUACGAGGGAGUGUUCUAUCAAGAGGAACAUGAUGACGUGGUCCGAAGCAACGAGGAUGAUGACUUGGGUUAUGUUGACCUGGACCCAAACGACGACGACGCACGGAUUGAUGGUGAGGCAGUUGUGAAUCAAAGAGACAUAAUUAUGCUUGAAAAGUUAAAUGAAGACGCUGACGAUGAGGAAGAGCCUCCACCUCCGUCAGAAAACGAAGAAGAUAUGCGUGAUAGUGAUGAUGAGACCGGUCCACAAAUAGAUUACAAUAGUGAUGAUUCAUAUGGGUUCUAGAAAAUGUAAGUUCUUUUAAUGAUCAUUACAAUAGUAUGCUUAAUGUGCUCUUCUGUUAUUAAUGUUUUUCCUGUAUGCUUGUUUAAUUGAUAUCCUUACUAAUUGUUUAUUCUCUUCUCAAUGCAGGUUUAAUAAUCAUGGGCAAGUCCAGCGGCGCUAGUUUCCUUAGUAAAUUUAAAGGACUUACUCGGAGUGGACGAGCCCACAAGGUUCCCUCCCGACCACGCGAGGAUGACACCUCACAGGGAGGUGGAGGGGUCGGGGGAGGAGACCCUAGAGGAGGAGGCGGUGGGGGGAGAGCCCCUAGAGGAGGAGGAGGUGGGGGGAGAGGCAACCGGGGCAAAAAACUCCGGGCCGUGUCUGAAAUAGGAGGGUCUUCUUUGAUGCCCUCCUAUACAGAGGCACCUUCUGAGUCUGAGGAGGAGGAGUAUGUUCUUGAUGGCGAGGAGGAGGAGGCCGAGGAGGAGGGUGAGGAGGAGGAGGCCGAGGAGGAGGGUGAGGAGGAGGCCGAGGAGGGUGGAGGCGAGGUUGAUCCCGCGUUGUGGGGUGACUUGCCACCGGGUUCUUCGCAGGGGUGGCUACGUGGUAAUGCCGGACUACCUACACCACCUUCUAUCGAGGAGCACAAGUGGCUCAUUGAACCUGUGGGGACAGAGUAAGUGCCUCUCAAUCAUAUUUUCAACACAUGACAACAUUUUAUUAUUGUACACAUGGCAAUCAUUUGAUUCUUUUGCAGAAACUGGAUCCUUCACGGAAAGGGCCAUAAACCGAACAGCCUUAUCACUGUCCUGUUGAAGGAGUUUUGGCCUGGCCUAUUCUGCCCGCGGCCAGACAGGGACCCGCAGCAGCGGGUUUUGGCCACGAGCUGGGCCCACUACGAGGCUUGCAGCAACGCGGAGUACGGGACGACCGCUAAGGCCGUGAUCACCAAAUUUUGGGUAAGUUCUCUUCUGAAUCACUUGUCUUCAGUUUCGUUCAUAGUUUAUCAUUGAAUCACUCAACUCAUGCCUUGUUUACUUCUGGUUUUUGCAUGAUUGCAGCAACUCUAUAGAGUUCUUGACGAGCACAAGGCCAGAGCCGACGUGGUCUUGCUUGCGGCUGCGAAGAAGAAAGCUCGUCAGUUGCAGUACGAGGUGUGCUGGGUUGCCGUCUCGCAGUACUACCACUACUACCUGCAACAAAAGAUGCCCAAAACUCAAGCACAGAAGCUACGACUUACCUUGAGCAAGGAGCAGUUCAUGAUGGUAACUAUUACUAACUUUUCAUUGUUUCAAGCAGUCAACUAUAUGUUUCGUGCUCACAUGUCAUGCUUCCAAAAUUUGCAUAGGUUGUUCCUCGUUGGUGCUAUGGAAGGCAUGACGGAUGGGCGAGUUUGGUGGAUAGGUGGCUCGGCACCGAUGCAGAGUUUGCUGCCAAGAGCAUCAAGGCCCGGGCUAACCGUGGAGACGACGGGACACACGGCCAAGGAAACAGGAACCACUGGGGCUUCAAGGCCAUGAAGGUAUAUCUAUGUGCAUGAUGCAUUUUUGUUCUUCUUUACGUCAUGUUCUUAUGUAUGGCUGACUUCUAUUUGACGUUGUAGGAGGACAAGUUGAAAAGGCCGCUCUCAGACAUGGAGUCGUGGAAGCUGGCCCGCGAGCGGAGUCAUCGCAAGGAGGGCGAGAGCCAGUACUACGGCAAGACCGAGGAGCACCUGGGGUCUUACAUUCAUCACUAUCAGGAGUUGCAUCUGGAUGUUCCUGUUGCUGAGGUCGCCCAGUCUCAGAUCAACGACACGGCGGUGGUGGCCAUCCAGGGGAAGAAGAAUGGCCGGUAUCCGUGUUUCGAUGGCUUGAUCACUCCUUCGAUCUCGUACACACGGCUUCGGGCUAGCAACCCGAGCCAGUUAGAGAGUACGGGGCGUUCACAGACUCCCUUAGCCCGCCAGCAUGCUGUAAGUACUUCCUCUUUAUCUUUUUCUAUCUUGCAUUCUCAGUUUAUUUUCAGCAUUGCUCACUUAGAAACAACCUAAAUUAUGUAGGCAUAUAAGGAGUUUGUCGAGCAUAGGAAUCUCGAGGUGCGGGAGUACUUGAAACGAGUGAAGGCAAACGAUGAUUACAACCGUCAGAUGAUGACGGUUAGUUUUGCCCUCUUAAAACCAACCUAAAUUUUUGCACUUUCAUUCCUUCUGAUCUUCUAGUUUGCUUGUUUAACUAACAUUCAGGCUAUGUUGGCGUCUUGGACUAACCGCACGGAUCCACUACAAAUGGGACCCCCACCACCACCCGCGGGAGAACCCCCACACGUGCCCACGUUCGAUGAAUGGGUGGCACUAGGCAGUGAUGGUCCGGUUAGUACAUUUGCCUAACUACUAGCAAACUAGUUCUCGUUCAUGAAACACUAUCAUAUCAUAUUUACCGUUAGAAUCUUUUCUGAAACAUGUAGGGGACCGGUGGCUCGACUCCUGCUCCGUCGACCCCAGUCACUCCGAUCUGGCAGAGUGGUGGUGGUCGCGAUGGCGGUUUUGGCGGAGGUGGUGGUGGUGGUUUUGGCGGAGGUGGUGGUGGUGGUUUUGGCGGAGGUGGUGGUUUUGGCGGGGGUGCUCUUGCUUGAUGAUUUCGUGCAUGUGGCCAUCAUGCCAUGCCUUUCAUAUUCCUACUUUUAUCAUGUUUCAUGUCUUGCACUACUUUUAUGUUCAUGAACUUCCAUCGGUGAUGAUCUUUAGAUGAUGUGAUGAACUUGAGUAUGUUUAGAUGAUGAUGGUGAACUUGAGUAUGUUUAGAUGAACUUGAGUAUGUUCACAUGAUGAAUUGUCAUAUUUCUGCAUAAUUUCAUAUUGUUCUGUUUUGAAAUGCUUUCAAAUGAAUUGGAAAAGAAAAAACAGGGAAAAUAAAAAAAAAACAAAAAAAACUAUGCCUACGGCAAAGCCGUCGGCAUAUAUACGCCCAGGAGUUACCAGGAGCUGCCACGUGGCAGAGAUAUGCCUACGGCAAAGCCGUCGGCAUAGAUUUCCAUCUAUGCCGCAUAGCCCUGCCGCUAGGAGAAGCCGGGGGACGACACGUGGCGCAGGUAUGCUGACGGCUAGGCCGUCGGCAUAGAUUUCCAUCUAUGCCGACGGCCGAGCCGUCGGCAUACAUGCGCCACGUGUCGUCCCCUGAAUCGCCAGCGCUGUUGACGGCGCCGUCCGUUGCCGUCAGACGGAAAACAACGCCGACGGCUAAACUAUGCCGACGGCUCUCCCACGGCCGUCGGCAUAUGCUCCUAUGCCGACGGCUAUACUACGCCGACGGUCUGACACAUCUAUGCUGACGUGAUCUACGCCGACGGGGAUAUGCCAACGGCAGCCAUAGGCAUAGAUCUACGCCGACGGCAAUGGACCUAUGCCGACGGCCCUAGGCCGUAGGCAUAGCCCGCGAGUCCGGUGGUGGUAAUAACUGGUAGCCCCGGCUCGCCAUUAUCUGCCAUCGUCGUAGAUUGCGGCUCGGCGUGAUCUAUUGAGGCCAUGAAUUAUGCUACACCGUCGGUGGAGGAUUAGUAGUACGGCGAAUGUAGCGGUGGGUGGGGCUCCAGCUGAUGAGAUGAUCGCUGUAGCGGUAGCAGCCUCUAGAGGCUGGUUUGGGCUAGCUGCUUCCCAGGCUACUACAGCUGCUCCAGGCUGGCGUUUGCUCUGUGAUGGUAGCUGCUCCGCCACCUCAUGUUCACGGCAGCUGCCCCAUACCGCGCGACUCCCUUUAGUAGGGUCUUGUUGUGCUAUGCCCCCAGCGGAACCUCCUAUUUUCAUUUUGUCGCCUCUCUUUUUUCCUUUUGACUUGAACUUGAACUUGAGCUGCUACUGUUAUUGUGGGUUGUUUGGUGCGGAUGCUUUAUAAUAUAAAGCUGGAGGAAACCCUUUUUCGUAGUAAGGAUCUGAACUUCUCAGAUGCCUCCCAUGUCUAGUCCUAGUUCUUCUAUUGUCCCUGAAAGAUAUGGUGGUGAGUUGAACUUUAAGUCACUCAGCAUCUGUGAAAUAUAGAAGCAGUAGGCACCCCUUCAUUAUUUAUAGGAAGAUGAAUGGAACUGCACUUAAGUUGAUCUUGUACAACAACCAUACAAAGCCAGGUCAUAAUGUAAUUGCCAUAUGAAGACCACAUGCUUGUUGGUUGGAUAUGAGAUACACAAUGACUACAUUGGUCGGUGAACUUUUUGACGCGGUUGAUAGAUGUUCCUGUAGGCUACAGAUUUCUCUAAGUGAAUGGCAUUAACCGGACAUUCAUGCAAAGCUUUGGUGCCCACCAUUUUAUUUUUAUAUUGGAUCAAAUUAUUUGGAUAUAAAUAAAAUUUUCGUAUAAAUAAACUGGGCAGUACUGGGAUUCUAAAUCUAAAUUUGUGUUCGCAUAUGGUCAGGAAUUUAGAAAAUAAAAUAAAAUUGGGAAUUCAUUUGAAUCUUGUUCAUAUAUACUCCCUCUAUAAACUUUAUAAGGCCAACUCUAACCGAACCCCUACAAAAUAGAGGAGGAUCUGACCGAGCAAACCUUAGUGGAGGAUUUUUACUGCACUAGUCGGACCUAGCCGAACUCUUAAAUUUAACGGAGUAAAAAAAAUCUUCAUGAGUUCAACCUAGAUUCGAUUUAAAGAACCGAAACUACACAUAAUGUACAUAACCAUUUGAUUUAAAAGUAAACAUGAAUUUUAAUUAAAACUAUACACCAUCGUCAUUGCCACCCUUCUAGAGGGCGAGCCAAUCCUCCCGCGAGAUCCAACCGCCCCUGGGGUCCAGGCAUGUGGCGUCAUCGCCGGAGUCGGGGAAGAUGCGCUGCCACUAUUCAAUGUUGAACUCCUCCUCAUCCUUGCCACCGCCAUUCUCGCCGGCGUCGGUGCCAUUGUGCUCCUCGUCGUCGGAGAGGACGAUGACGUCUCCGUAGGAGAAGAUCACCCGCUCUGUCUCCACAAGCUCGCACUACAAAAAAAUGACACAUCCGUGAUAUUUUGGGCUGAACGAAAUUUUUUUCUGUCAUACAUAUGACACUUCUAUGACGAUAAUUGUGACAAAACCCGGUAUCAUCAUAGAUGUGGUGGGCUCCUACUUCUAUGAAAAAAAUCAUGACAGAAAAUGGGCUUUUCGUCCUAGGCGGGCCGGAGACGCAGCUGCAUGACAUUCUUUGGGUCGUCCAUGACGGAAAAAACCGUGGUAGAAUCGAGGGGGAGGAAAAUUUCGGGGAGUUCUCGGUUACGGUGGGAGGUCGGGGGCCGAGCGAUGCGCGUUUCUCUCGUACACGUACGCGCGUGUGUGCGAGGCGUUGGCUCUAACUGAACCCGAGCGAUUACACUGCAGGCUACGCGUUACUGAACCCGAGCGAUCGAUCGAUGGUUGUUAACUGAACCCGAUCGAGUGAUUCCUUCGUUACUACUGCUAACUGAAGCCGAUCNNNNNNNNNNNNNNNNNNNNNNNNNNNNNNNNNNNNNNNNNNNNNNNNNNNNNNNNNNNNNNNNNNNNNNNNNNNNNNNNNNNNNNNNNNNNNNNNNNNNNNNNNNNNNNNNNNNNNNNNNNNNNNNNNNNNNNNNNNNNNNNNNNNNNNNNNNNNNNNNNNNNNNNNNNNNNNNNNNNNNNNNNNNNNNNNNNNNNNNNNNNNNNNNNNNNNNNNNNNNNNNNNNNNNNNNNNNNNNNNNNNNNNNNNNNNNNNNNNNNNNNNNNNNNNNNNNNNNNNNNNNNNNNNNNNNNNNNNNNNNNNNNNNNNNNNNNNNNNNNNNNNNNNNNNNNNNNNNNNNNNNNNNNNNNNNNNNNNNNNNNNNNNNNNNNNNNNNNNNNNNNNNNNNNNNNNNNNNNNNNNNNNNNNNNNNNNNNNNNGAGCCCGUGGAGGCUGGAGGAGGUCGACGGUAGCCCGUGGAGGCUGGAGGAGGUCAACAGUGGAGAUGAACAGUAUCUCGUGGAGUCCCGUUUUGCGGUACGCCACACCCCUCCCGAUGAACAGGACCCCCGUUUCGAUCGUAGGAGGUCCGUUUCGUCCGUUUUACGGUACGCCACACCCCUCCCGAUCAACAGGACCCCCGUUUUGACCGUAGGAGGUCCGUUUCGUCUGUUUUGCGGUACGCCACACCCCUCCCGAUCAACAGGACCCCCCGUUUCGACCGUAGGAGGUCCGUUUCGUCCGUUUGCGGUACGCCAGACCCCUCCCGAUGAACAGGAUCCCGUUUCGAACGUGGCUGGUCGAACACAAGGCCGUUUCCUCCGUUCUGCGGUACGCCAGGCCUCGUUUCCAUCAUCUGUUCCAUCCAAGCCCUCCCGAUGAACAUGACCACGCAUUCCGUUCCGACCCAGCCGGUUGGCUCCCACGCGUUCCGUUGCCUCCCGAUGAACACGACGCAUUCCGUUGCCUCCCCAUGAACACGAUGCAUUCCGUUGCCUCCCCAUGAACACGACGCAUUCCGUUGCCUCCCCAUGAACACGACGAUGACGCUGUUUCUCCGUUCCGACCCAGCCAUGUACACGAACCCUGGUUGUACGUAUGCGUGAGUAGGCAUUCGAGACCCCGUCCGUAUGUACACAUACGUGGCCGUAUUUUCUUUCUUGCACCCUGGCCACUGUACGUACGUGUACAUGCUAUGUGCGCGCCUCUACUACGACACGUACGCGCCUCUACUACGACACGUGCGCGCCUCUACAUCCACCAGUAUAUAUGUAUGUACACGUUCGCUAACAAAAUGACAAUGCUACAUACGCUUCGACCAGGUGGGUCCCGACUGUCAGACACUUCCUUGCGUGCGAAGACGUAGCUGAUGGGUCCCAGCAGUCAGGGGGCGAAUUGUUUUUUUUGCCCGGACGCACUUCCUUGCGUGCGAAGAUGUAGCUGGUGGGUCCCAACAGUCAGGGGGGCGAAUCGUCUUUUUUGCCCGAACGCACUUCCUUGCGUGCGAAGAUAUAGCUGGUGGGUCCCAACAGUCAGGGGGAAACGUUUUUUUUGUGAAAUACGGUGGCCCGUCUGGUGGGUCCCCGCUAUCAGGUGGAGGAAGCAUUAUUUUGCGCAUAAUAAGGAGGCACUUCCUUGCUGCGGCCGUGGACCCAGUUGUUAGCCUCUCCACGUACAGUCCACGUCCGAUGGAAGUCAUUCCUUUACUAUGUUGACCACGCCACGCCGAGAGCACCACGGCGGUGGACGACGGCGAGGACUAGGAAGGGGACGACUCGGAGCCGAGGAAGACGCAGCAGUGGAUGCCCAUGCGAAGAGGAGUACGAGGGUUCACUGGGUCGGCUGCGGUGUGAGGUUGAUGUCGCCGCAGAAUAACAGGGGGUGUGGGUGAGUAGAGGGAUGGCCUGGCCAGCGGUGGGAGUAGUAGGGGGCGGUGAGGCCUCGGCGGCAUCACAGCCGGCCACGGGAGGCAGGAGCACGUGGCACGGCCGUCGCUGGUUUGGGCGGCUGGAGCAAGAAGACCAGAGGUUGAAGAAGCACUACCGCCAUUGGAUGAACAUCGUACGGUAACAGCAGCUAGAAUCGUUCAUAUUGACUAAGUUGACAAAGCCCUCCGUCCCCGUCAACUUGGUAGGCCCACAAGGCAGCCUCCCACUAUGCUGGGUUCCAGCUGACAGGGGGAAUAUUCUUUCUUUUGUGCGUAAUAAGGAGACACUUCCUUGUGUGCGAAGAUAGCUGGUGGGUCCGACAUGUCAGCGGGGGCAUGUUAUUUUCGCGAAAUGCAGAGGCCCUUCCGGUGGGUCCUAGAUGUCAGGUGGAGGAAUCAUUAUUUUGCGUGUAAUAAGGAGGCAUUUCCUCGUGUGCGGCCGUGGACCCAGCUGUCAGCCUCUUCACGCACAGUCUACUUCCGAUGGUGUCGUUCAUUGACCAUGUUGACCAUGCCGCGCCGAGCGCAUCUGAGGUGGUGGACGACGGCGAGGCCCCGGACAGCAACGAGCCGGAGAUGGGAAGACGUGGGAGUAGAGUCACAGACGGAGAGGUGUACGAGGGUUAACUGAUUCUAGUGCGGUGUGGUUCGGCAGUCGGUGGAGAAGAACAGGAGGUGUGGAGUGGUGGAGGGAUGGUCUGGCCAACGGUGAAGUAGCGCUUCAUAGCGAAGCGUGCUAAGCAGAGCUACUAGCAGCAGGAGGCGGGAGGUGGUCCCGGCGGCGCUGGAGGAAGAAGACGAGAGAUUGAAGAUGGAUGCCGGUCGUUGGAUGUAAAUCCAACAGCUAACAUGUCAGAAUCAUUUGUUGACUAAAUUGACAACGACUUGCGUUGGCUUCGACCUAUUGGCCCACAUUUCAGCCUCAAAAAAUGUGGCACGUAUUCAACCCAUUUUUUUAGAAUUUACAGUCUUUUUUUGCGUGGUAGAAUUUACAGCCAAUUUGAUCUUUUUUUUGAAUUACAGCCAUUAGCUGGGCUGGGUGAACAAAUAAUGUAGUGUCCAUGCGGCCCAUUUAUUUUAUUUCCUAAAAAAUUACAGGCUAUUUGCACUUUCUCGAAAUAUACGAUUUUGCUGGAUUGAUUCUAAUUAUAAUGUUGGAUUGGGCCAGCAAUGUUAGCAAAACAUAAAAAGGGGUUGAAUAUUUUGUUAUAAAUAUAUUUAAAUAAUAAGUGAUAUUAUUACAUUCGUCCUUAAAUCUUACCAAGUUUUUGUAUACAAUCACUAGGAUUUUCGUGCCAAAACAAUCCAGGAUUUUAUUUGUUAAGAAUUUAUUUUUAUAAGUUAAUAAGAUGUGGGAUAUUGUUUUCUUACAUAUGUAAGUAUCUGUUAAAUAUAUGAUGACAAUAAAAAUAAUAUAUAAUAACAUAUAAAAUAAUUUAAAUAUAUAUAAUAUAGUUAGAAGGGAAAUAUAAGUUGGACCUGGCGUUCCUAUUCUUAUAUAGAAAAAUAGAACAUACCUCUGCGUUUUCUUUAAAAAAAUACAUAAAUUGGGCUGCCAAAAAUAAAAUCUCAGAUGGGACGUCCAUAGGCCGGUCGAUACAUGACGGCCCUAAGAAAAUACAAACAGGCCUAUGGACCUCUCAUCCGAGGUCGUGGGCUGCGCAUGUUAAAAAUGAAAGCCUAGAUGGGGCAGCCCAAAACCACGUCCAACACUUGCCAAAACUUCGUCCCUCAUUUUCUCUGUGUUUCACACACUCGUCAUUGUGUGGGUAUUUUGAUUGUGCAUCAUAUGAAGAUGUGCUAUGCAUGAAUGCUGAUCAGCAUGAUGUUAACUGGCUGGUAGUUCCAUUUUCGACCAUGAAUAAAACAUCCAACAUGAUGUUAACCCUGUUUGAAAAGGCCAUGUUAAUAUAAAUGCUCUGUCUCUGAAAGUUGCAGUUUCUUAUCUGAAACUGAAACUUGCAGUUUCUUCUCUGAGAAUCACAUUGUCUGCACUUUUAUACUCCUAUGAAACUACAUUUUUUAAGUGCUAAAAAUAGAUUUCUAAAAUUCAUAAAAUACUUCAUAUGCUCAAUACUGCAAAUCUGAAAUUCAAAAGACAUUCAUAUCUGAAAGUACUCUCAAAAUACACAACAGAAAACACAAUUCACAACCGGCAAAUAAUGACAACCCUAAGCUCCUCCUGACAAUUCACAACCUGCCUGACUAUUGGGCUGGGGGGGGGGGGGCAGCCCCCUCCUAUUCCUCGGCGGCAGACAUCCGCCCCGUGAGACUAUGUGAACGGCGAGGGAGACGAUGGCGGGGAAGCAUCGUCGGGCCAACUGCUUUUCUCCUCUUGCAGUUGGGUUCGGUCGACGAAGACUCCACCGACUCGCUCUGGCAGGACACCCUCACAAACGGCACCCUGUAGAUGCUCGAUCCUUCAAACUCUGGUGGAUGCUCCAUCUGGGAUCGAUACUCCCACUACCACCCCUCAUGAUCGGAUUCGGUGAAUCUGUUUGCUCCAUGGCCCAGAGGAGCAGCUUUAUGUACUCCGGCGCGACUCCCUCCGGGAGUAUCGCCGCCUUUUCGCUCUGUUGCAGAUAUUUGGCCAUGGAUGUCGUCGUCGCCGCUAGUUGGUCCUUGUUGUCAAACCAAGACUGUAUCUCCAACAUCCUAGCUAGCUUCACAGGGUCACCGUCUGCGAUCCUCACGUAUCGGUUGUACUCCUCCAUCGAUCUACUUCUCCAUAGCACCUUCACUCGCCAUGGUGGUUUUUGAAUGGAAGAGGAGAGGAGCAACACUGGUUUUGGAUUAGAACGGGAGAGGAGCGACGCUGGUUUUGGACUGGAACAGGAGAGGAGGGCGGUGGUUUUGAAAUGGAAGAGGAGAGGAGCGGCGCUGCAUUUAGAUUGAAACAGGAGAGGAGCAACGGUGGUUUAAGAGGAGAAGAGCAGAAGAGCGGCGCUGGUCUUGGAAGUAUUUUUUUUGUUUUUUUGCGUAUUUUGGGUCAAAGUUUGACCACGUACUGUAUUUGACAAGCAAAAUGUGAAUGCAUGUCACCAAAAAUUGGAUCGUUUGAAUGUACUUUCAAAUUAUAUUAUUUUUGCAACAUAUAACAUAUAUUUUAUGUGCAAAAAUCAUGGUCAAUUAUGACCCAGAAUAAAAGGGAGACUAGUUAAUGUGGGGCCGCUUUCUUAAUUGAAGGGUAAAUUGAUUUUGAUUUUGAUCCAUUCACAGCGCACCGGCCCUCUUGUCCAAUCCGAAAUCGCUGCCGCACGCUCCUCUCCCUCUUCUCCAUUGCAAAAUCACCUCCUCUCCUCUCCAUCAUCUCCAUUCCAAAACCACCGUCUCGCAUCUCCCUCUUCUGAUCUUAUCCAUUGCAAAACCACCUCCUCUCCUCUCCAUCAUGUCCAUUCCAAAACCACCGUCUCGCCUCUCCCUCUUCUGAUCUUCUCCAUUGCAAAACCACCUCCUCAUGCAUGUGGUCCGGAGGCGCAGUUGUCGUCAUUUUGAUCUGAAGCGCUGGAUUAUAACAUAUAACAUGAAAAAAUGCCACAUGACAAGAAAUCAUAACCUCACUGCCCAAAGGAUACAACAUGAAUCCCGACGGACAAACUAGACGAGGAAUAAAGCUCAAAUUAAAGAUAAACUCAUAGAAAAGGGGUCCGUUGAUAGAUGUCCUAAUUAACAUAGCCGGCUUGACCUAGAUGGCAGCUGAGUAGUCAUUGUUCAUGCAUGUGCCCCCAAUGAUUAGCCCAACUCAGUUGUCGCUGUUUAACCCUCGCAGUGAUUCGAAGCACAUGUCACCUAAUUUUGCGAGAUGACAAGAAACCUUUUUUUAGAUUUCUCACCACAACUACAACCAUGUACAACACAGCCUGCACGAUAUUUAGACGAUAGCCAAUCCAGGCGUGUUUGCUGGAGUCUGGUCACAUGCAUGGACGAACUGAUCUUCCGUGUCUUGCAGGGAUCGUCCAGGCACCAACGUAGUACAACACUUCUCUAGUACUAUCGCUCGUCUCCCUCUUCUAUUAAGUCACCCGACUUGCGGGGCCGGGGAGUGUGCCUAUGGUCGGUUCUCAAUUGUCGUCCCACAUGUGUGUGCAAACGCAAUAUGACGUUCGUUCCAUUCGGAGAGCAGCGUGCCAGACCGACCGACCGUCUGGGGUAUGACGCGAACGCGACGGGCAUGCUGUAUACUCCGUACAUGUGUACCGCCGUUUUCUAGAUGCUUUGCUCCAUGGCGCGGGCGUAAUCCAUGGAGACAAAAUUAGUACACUGUAUACUAUUUAAAAGUCGAGGGUGGGGCUUUUCCUGCGCGGUAGGCGGCGGGGCAGUUCCGCCUAGCACUACAGGAAUCUGGUACUUUGCCAUCAGCCACGGCGGACGGCAAAGGCACGGAUGGCGGACGGCAAAGGUCUUUGCCGUCUGCCGCGGACGGCAAAAGGGGAUGGCAAAGACAGGGUCGGCAAAGGCCUUCUUUGCCGUCUGUUUUUUGCAGCGGACAACAAAGAGGCCUUUGCCGUCAGUGGCAGACGGCAAAGGGCAUGGCUCUUUGCCAUCUGCCGACGGACGGCAAAGGGAAUGGCUCUUUGCCAUCUGCUAGCAGACGGCAAAGGCUGCAGGCUCUUUGCCAUCUGUUGGCAGAUGGCAAAGAGACCAAAUAUGCAUUAUUUCUGUUUCUUCUUAUAUCAAUUCAUUUUCAUAGAAAAUCAAACACAGAUAUAUAUCCGUCAUGAACACAUAUAUAGCAUAUCCAACACAUAUUACCAAUAGUCAUGAACACAUAUAUAUCCAACACAUAUCCAACACAUGUUACCAAUAGUCAUGAACACAUAUAUAUCCAACACAUAUCCAACACAUAUUACAAGGAAUGACCUAAAACUAAAUAUCUAUUUUCCUAAAAACUAUCUUAUUACUAAGAUCUUCUUUGGAUCUUCUUCUUUUCUUCCAACCUGCAUAACAAAAACACUAAGAAAGAGAGAAUGUGUUAGGAGUAGAAAUGUAGCAUUUCACUUGGUGAAAUGCAUUGUUGUAGGAGCCAGUACUUGAGAUCAAGAUAAUCUUAGUUAACAUCCUGAUUUUCAAAGUGAUCUUAAUUAGAAAGCCGAAUAGAGUAAACCAAUACCAAAGAGCCAAAGGAGAGAACCAGCCAAGGACCCAAUCAAGAAGCCACCACAAUUAGUAGUAAGUUAAAUGCCAACACAAAGACCACUAUCAGUACUAGCUCCAGGAAUUAAGCCAACUAAAAAAUAGUGAUUAAAGCCAAGGAUUAGACUUCAUUCAGGCCACCCGUGAGGACAGCACAAACACACACACACACACACAACUUAGUCACACCAUUCAGGCCAGUAUAAACAGGGCAGCCAACAGUAGAGUAGGUUCUGUUAGACACUUGGUGUCCAAAACAUCAAACAGGACCGGGCCCAAAACCAUAUCUGUGAGAUAGUGUGAAGCAGCUAGGAGGAGGAGGCUGUCCACAAGAAGCAGGUUUACCAGAAUCCACAAGACCAAGCUACAGAAGACCUCAAGGUAUACUUGAGGGAUUAUGUGCUCAGACAGCCUGGAAGUGCCAGGGCUAGUUCAUCACAGCACAGGGAUAGCCACAUGUAAAUUAAGCCUAAGAGAGGGGGGGCUCAGACCAGCAUCACUGCCCAAAUCAGAUGUAGUAUCUGUCUUAUCAGUAGAAAACUAGGAAAGUAACAGCCAAAACCAAGUAUAGCAUCUGUUCAUAGGCUAUUAGAAAGAGACCAAUAGGAAUAACCAAACCAAGUGGUAUCUGUUCAUCUCAGUAUUAGAAGUAAAACAACUAAGAACAAGUGAGUAUCUGUUCAUGAGUAAAGUAACUAUAGCAUAGAAGAAAUAGCAGGGUAGCACCCCAAAUGAUUAUCUGCUUGUUUAGAACUUGAGUGUAUGGGGAGCUUGCUUACCCACCCAUCGGUUGAGAAGGAAGUUGAUCUCCUGCACUCACACAUGUAGCAACCAAAAGAGAAACCCCAGGUUCAGUUAAGCAGGCAGCUAGCGUCCCUGAGGCUGUCCCUCCUGCAGGAUUACAAGAGAAGAGAGGGAGCUUCACCUGUUACUACUUCUGACAUCAUAUUGCAUACUUCUAAAAAAUACGACAACAAGUAAAUAUUCAGUCUAGAGUACAUAUUUUUUUACUUUGAGCAACCAAUGUGAAUAUUAGGUGCAGAGUAAUUUAGCUUAACAGAUCCGAUAAAGAUGGGAAGAAUCUGUGAACUGCACACCACAUAUUUUUGGGGCUUGCAUAUGAAAUUUGCACAAGGCUUUGGCUGCUCACACUGGUGGCAAUGCAUGGCUGCUCACACUGAUGGCAAGGCAUGGCUGCCCACACUGAGACAUGUAUGUGCCUUUUUGAUUUGCAAACUUAUGCUAAAUGUGAGGCUUUUGUUCUCUGUAUGCUCUCUGUACAUAGUUAAAUAUGAGUUGAGGAUGUCGUGGCUGUGGUGGGUUGCUGAAUAGGCCCCAAGUAACUAGAUCACUUUGAUUUGCAAGAAUUAAGUUCUUAGAAGUAAAACAUUAGUAUAAAAGCUAACGAAAUAGAUGUCAACUAAUGUAUUCUGUUUUAAAAAUUCUAAAACAUUACUAAGGUAUGAAGUUUUGUAGCAUUCUAAAAAUCUCAUCCUUGUGACAAAACAUAGAAGCUUGAUACAGAACUUUUUCAACUACAGAGAAAACAAAAUCAACAUCUAUGAACUAACAAAAUUGUAACAUCAAAACAAGAAAAGAUAAAAACACUGAAUAAGGGACAAAGCAACGGAUAUGGCAGCUGACAUGUAUAUUUACUAGAAAAUUUUCAGACUUUCAGUGUGUAUAUAUCUAUAGCAAUAUUACUAUGGCUGAUUAUAAAUGAUAAAUUUUGACACUUCCAAGUACAAUUUUUUUGCUGCUACACACUGGCAUUAAAGACAACAACCAAGAACUUAAAAUGUCAUCAAAGGCCACUAGCAUGUGAGCGCCUAUGGAGUUCACAACAAUUAGAAUCCACAAUUUGAUUCAGAUUGAUGAGGACGCACGUUUGAUUCAGAUUUAUGCAAGGGGAAACAAACAGAGAGAAGGGAGGACGGAAGGGGAUGCUCACGGGGAGGUUGGCGGAGGGCUCCUACGAGGACGGUGGCGCGUUGCUCAGCCUCGCUGCCGUCGACCCCGAACGCCUCGGCCAUGGCGACCUGCGCGAGCUCCUCCUGUAGCGCGUAUGCUAUGAUGUCAUCAUUCUCCACCGCGUCGACCCUGACCUCGGAGGCAGCGGGGGUGGCUGCGGCCAUCUCGUAGCCGUCGAGAAUGGCGCGUGUGCACUGGGGAUGUGGCGGCGGCUGCCAUGGCGACCUACAGCAAAGGGACGGAUCGGAAGGGAAGGCAAGGUGAGGAGGAGAGGGUGGACCCGAGCAAGGAAGGAGGGGAAGGGCCUACCUGGGAAACACCGGUGACGGAUUCAGCAAGCUCCGGUCUCGCCAUCACCGAUUGCGGUGGAUUCCGGCAAGAACACGGGAGGCGCCCGAAACCCUAGCCGUGGGCAAGGGUGCAGGCCUUGAGGCACGGAUCUGGACGGAGGGGAGGGAGGGGCCGAGCUUGGGGGAGUUAUGCGCGCGGCCGGUGCUCGCCGGAACCGGCCGACAUGGGUGGUGGCGACGGCGAGGAGAUCAUGGGGAGAGGAGCCGGGGUGGGGUGGACCGAGGGGUGGGGGUGAGUUCGUGAGAGAGUUUUUUUAGGGACGAGAGAGAGAGAGACAGAGUGGUGGGGUGGGAGUGGAUCGGGCCGGUGUGGUGGGGCUGGGGAGAGAGAGAGAGGGGGUGGCUACCAUGGGGCACCUCUUUGCCGUCUGCUGGGCACCUCUUUGCCGUCUGCCAGCGGACGGCAAAGAUUCUUUGCUAUCUGCUAGCAGACGACAAAGUGAUGACUGAUGGCAACCAGGUUCUUUGUCGUAUGUCAGUUCUUUACCGUCUGUUUUUUGCAAGCAGAUGGCAAAGACCUUCUUUGUCGUCCGCUAGCAGAUGGCAAAGAGCUGACUGAUGGCAAAUUCUCUGUUUCCAGUAGUGUAGUCGGUUCGACAGAGACGCGAGAAGACGAGGGAGUAGGCUGCUGCAAACGUAGGGCUAUGUGAUUUGACAGCGAGUUACUGCUGGAUAGGUGGGGCCCCGUGAUCAUGGGAGAAUGGAAAGCCACUACCCUGCCGUUCGCACGCUGGCAGUUCACUCCUACUCGUCCCCGCACGUCCUUCAAUACUACGGCGGUUCGCUCCUAGUCGUCCCGUCCAUUCACAUUAUGGCAGUUCCACUAAUCCUAACCCUCCUCCCAAAUCCAUGGCAUCCCAAAUCUCCACGAUCGACGGUGAGUACAAGGUUAGAACCAUCACCGGCGAUGAGUUCGACGUCAUCUACACCCGUUCUUCCGCGUCGGUGAAAGGAUGCCUUUCUCGCUUCAGACACAUGUUCGAAGACUCAGAUGAUGAGUGGGUCGCUGGGCUAGAUAUUGAGUACACCACAAUCCUGGGACCAGAGAAGGAUCUAAAGGACGAAGAGAAGAAGAAGCCCGCCAUGAUCCAGGUUUGCGUGCAUGACUUAUGAUUGAUCUACCACAUAUGCCAUGCCGACGUUGAGUGCCAGGAUUUUAAGGACUUCCUCCAGAGCAACCUAGUCAAAUUUGUCACUUUAGACUUUGGUAACGACAAAGAAGUCCUGCGUCGGAUAGGCCUCGUUGUAGGCAACACCUUCGACCUCCAGAAGAAUCGACUGGUGUCCUCUCGUCAGCCUUUAAUGCUGACCCUGGCAUGAGCCAUGGUUCAUCCUUCGUACGGUAAACUGGAGAAACCUCCAUACACGUUUCAUCGUCAUGCAUGGCAGCGGAAUGUACUAGAUAUAGACCACAUCCACUACGCUGCAAUGGAUGGCUACCUUUGCUUCAAUAUCUACAAGGGUUGGAUGAAGAGCAACAGCCAAGUGUGCGGUUCAAGCAAAGAAGUAUCGGCCAAGAGGAAGAGGGACAAGGACGAAGUCGAGGACGUGGACGAGGACUUCGAGUAAGGUGGCAGUGUCGUUGCUCAUGGUGGUUCUAAUGCAGUGUCUACCGGGAUAGUUGCAAAGUUUAAUUUCAGGUGUGCUUAAUUUAAUUUGAGGGGUGUGUUGUGCUGAGCCCCCAGCAGAACUAUGUUAUGUUUCUUCUCGUUACUUUAACUCUUCAGUACGUACAUACUAGUAUUUCUUACAUUUCAUCUUUUAGUUGGUAUAGUACUACCACUCGUUUCUUCACAUUAUAUACAUACAAUAUAUAUGGCCAACAUCAUAUAGCCAGCAGUUUAGUUGUCAAAGAAUUUCAGGGUGCUUAGUUUUGUCAAAGAAUUCCAGGAUGCUUAGAGGGUGCUUGGAUCCAAGGGACUUAUUUUAGUCUGACUAAAAAUAGUCUCUUUAAGAGGCUAAAGUUUCAAGCACCCCUGACUAAAGAGGGGCUAAAACUAGUCUUGAUACUAAAUUCUUUUAGUCAGGGGUACCCCUACUAAAAUGUGGAUUAGUCCUCUCUCUAGUCAUUUAACUCCUCUCCUUUAACACAGGCGAGUUCUGGAUUGGAGGGUUUGGAGGAUAAUAAAUGCUCAUUAACUUGAUUUUAGCCUUUUUAGUAUUUGGAUCCAAGCAUGGGUGAGGCUAGCAUGUUUUAGUCCCACUACUUUUAGUCAUGGGACUAAAACGUAUCCAAGCACUCUCUUAGUUUUAUUUGAGGGGUGGGUUGUGCUGGACACCAUUAUUGUGACUAGCCUUUUUAAUAGUACUAUAUGCAUAAUUUGGCAAUGAGCGCUCUCUAUAUGUACCACCUUUUUUUUAAUUUCAAGUUUUGCUCCAUGGCGCAAUCCAUCGAUACUACUGCUGUACAAAAGUAUACAUUUUUUAAAAGGCUAGAGGGCGGGGAAGUCUAGCUUUUUGGUCGGUUUCACGAGAGGCGAGGGCCUUUGUGAUUUGACGGCUCAUUACUGCUGGAAGGCGGGGCCUUGUGAUUUGACUGCUCGUAUAAAUGUGCCGAUGACCUGAUCGAGGAGGAGCAAAGAACCGUGCGGUAUACUCAAGUUUUCCACUGGAGUAGUACUGCGACGGAGGAGCACGAAACACGGCAGCCCAGUUCCAUAUGGCGAUAAAAAUGAUCUAAUUUGCUAGUCAUCUCAUUGUUAGCAUUGUCCUAUUCAUUCCCUCAUAAAAAACCACUGUUCUAUUCAUGCCUCGCAGAGAACGUGACACGUGCGGCCAAACACCCGAAGCAAAAGAUGAAACACAGGAGCAAAAGAAGAAGGACGAUUAUCACCCCAAAUGAUCUAAUUCACCGCGGAGUCGUAACUGCUUCUUCAUCGCCUCCACGACCUCUAUCUCCUUGCGCGUCUCCUCCGCCAUCUUCUUCAUUCUGUCCAUGACGCGGGAUUUCUCGAUGCGAGCCUUCAUCAUCUGUUCCACGGCCGCAUUACAUACCUUGACAGCAGUCGGGUGCUCGAUGCGGAGCUUCGCCAACUCCUCCUUCUGUUCCAUGACGAGGGCUUGCAACAUCUUCAUCGAGGAACUACUAUUCUCAUGCAGUUUCUUCUAGCCGGCGCUCUUCUCCUUCAACAGGUCGAUUUCGUGGCAGAGCUUCGCCUUGUCCUCCUGAAGUCGCAGGAUUUCGUCGGUCGCCUUCUUCUCCGAGGCAAUGCUCUUCUUCAACAGCAUCACCAAGCCGGCGGUCAACUCCCCUUGCUGAUUGAGCUCAGCGGGCAUGUCGUCGAGGCUCUCCUUCAGCAACUCCAUCAAGCCUUGGAUGAACUCCUUCUGCUUAUUGAGGUGCUUAUUGAGCUGAUCGGGCAUGUCGUCGAGGGAUAAUGACUCGAGCUCCGCCGGCUCGGGAUGUUCGCCUCCGCGGCUAGGGCGCUCCUGGGAGCCAUCUCCUGCCCGUGAGAGAUCUUUCGAGGUCUCUGCGUGGCGGCGAGCCCUCUCUUUUUUUCUGCAGCCUUGGUUGCCGCUCCCUUGUUACGAGUAGUUCUUAACCUAGAGCUCUGCUCACCGGCCAUGGCAACGACGGACGAAGAAGAAGCACUUAUGAGGAGGAAAGGUAGAGUAAUUUUCGGUUAGGUAGUUCCCCUUUUUAUAACCUAAGUACUAGCACUAGUACUAAUACCUGCAUAGUGGGAACACGUUCAGGUUUGGUACGUACUAGUAGGUGUGAGCAGGCUUUUGAAUGUGAUGGGAACAAGGUAAAGAUUAAUUGAUGGUUUUGGUUUCGAGGCCCGAAACGGCUUCUGAUGAGUUUAGCGGAACAUAAAUUUCAAGUACUACACUGCUCAAAUGCGUAAAUAUUAUGUUACUGUCAAAAAUUGGCACAAAAUACGAAGGAGACCAAUGGAAGUACUACUAGCAACCCACGAUUUAACUACUCGCAUGCGCGCAGUGGAGUAAUAAUGUCUUUCUUUCGCCCUCACGUCCACUCAAUUUGCAUGCGGUGUAUUAAUUGACCAUCAAUGAAGUGAAUGACUUUACACGCGUCAAAUUAUCACAUGGGGUGGAUCUUGCUACAAAAUUGCAUCCGCCCGUGUACCCGCGUGUGUGUGCGAGGGAAUGAGUGCGUGUGUGGCGUGCGUGCACAUCUUCGCUUCAUGCAUGUACUCCAGUAUGGCUCAGGGAGGACGAGUACAUUCUUCUGGAACCAGCAGCACAUCACUGUGAUCAAUCCACGCAAGGAGGUCGCGACAACGCCUCCACAUGUGCCACGUGGCUUCAUGAACUGUAAGAGAGACACUGUGUAGCGUUCCAUUGGUAUUCUAAUUUACGUGUUGUGCACAUACUCGAAGUACUAGUAAGGUACACGUGCAUUGCACGCAUCAGAUUUUGCAACCAAAUUAUGAAUAAAUACCACACUAUAGCAUGUAAGCUCUGAGUCAUAUAUGCCUGAUGUAUCCCUUCGUUUAAUUCUUAUAGUUCAUCUCAUUCAAAAUCAAUUAGUUUUUAUAAAAAGGCUAAGAACACGGGAAUAGGAAAAACAUGGGAUUAUAGUGGAAUGUCAUCUUGAAUCCUAUAGGAUUGUACGAGUGUUUGAUUGUGCAUAGAAAAAAUGCAGAAUUCUUUCAAAGAGGUUUGAGUGGAUGGGAUGUUUCCUAUGAAAUCUAGUGCAAAUGAAUCAUAUGAAAAAAUUCGUAUGGUUUACAAUCCUACGAAUCAAACAACCAAGAUAGGAAAAAUUCCUAAUGAUUAGAAUCCUCCAAAAUUCCUUUGAGAAUCCUUUGAAUCAAAUAAUCCCUUAAUCUAUUUUAUGAUUCAUGGAAUUGUGCGUUGUAAAGCAUAAAGUAAAAACAAAUAAUGGCAAUUCAACUAGAAAAAAAGUUUGGGCAGUUAUGAUACGGAAGAUUCUAGAACAAAAGAGAACCACUGUUGUUUUGAGGUUUGUGCAUUAUGCUUAAGUUCAACCAUGGAAUCUGCUAGAUUGUACAUGUGGCAAAAUCCACUGGGGGGCUAGAAGAUGGUGCGAGGGGCCGAGUGGAGGGAGACUAUGAAGGAAUGCACACGUGCGAGAUUUUUAUUUAGAGAGAGGGGCGAACAAGUGCGCUGUUGCGCGCAGUGGCGGAGCCAUGAAAAAUAAAUGAGCUAGGGGGCCAAGCAUUGCUAAUCCUUUAUGAGGAGGGUCAAUUCAUGAAGUUAAACCAUUUUUAGCAGCAAUUGUCUAAUGAUCACAUUCAUAUUAGCCUCGAUAUAUAGUGAUCUUAGGGGGGGAGGGGGCAUGGCCCUUACUGCCCCUGUCUUGGCCAUUGUGCACGCGUGUGAGAGAUGAAGCGGAAGGCAUGGAUGAUGAGAGGGGACGUUGGAUAUAUAAUUAAUGUGGGUGUAUUAUCUAUAUAUGUUAAUCCUAUAUAGAGAGGUAUAGAUUGAUCGAUGUGGACGUGGGAAAGAGGGUGAGACCUCACUGGAUAUAUCGAUUGAUCGGUUUGUGCGGAAAACUAUGAAAGACCUAGCUAUAUACACACAUACAUAGAGAAACAUCGAUUGUUGCGCAUGCACGCGUGAGAGAUAAAGAAUGCCCAAUAUGAUGGAGAGGGGGAUGUGUGUGGGUGUGUGCCUUCAUGGGAGGCCGACCUAAAGAAAAAGAUUGCAUGCGUGCGAUGGAUAAUGGCGACUGGUAGUGUGUGUGCAUGCAUGCACGAGAGAAAGUUAGUGGUACAAUUAUAAAGAGAAGACUACUGUGUGGGUGUAAAAGAAUAGGUGAGGUCAUAAUCAAUAUAAAGUUGAAUUCAAAUAUUUUAAUAAGAGAUCCUGAUGUUUGAAACCCAUGCAUGCAUGAAUAUAACAGAGAUCUGCGCGGUGUGGUUUGGAAAUGAGCAUGUUGUAAUGUAUACACAUUGAACAAGGUCAGACUGAUUUGAAUUUGAAAUACCGAUGGCAGACAUCAUUUGGCCACGUCGCAUCCGUGCAUGGACACACUAUUCUAAUUGGAGAUGAUGGGCGGCUUUCGCAUCACAUAUCUAUAUCUAUACCCAUAUAUAUAUAUAUAUUAUAUUAUAUUUUUUAUAUUGUGUGCGGGUAACUUUAACUUUGAAAGAUGGUCGUUGGAUGAGGUGAAUACGAUGGUCCAAAGAUGGCAAAUUUGAGCACUACUGGCCGUUGGAUAUCAUCUAGAUUCCACCAGAUUUCGCCACAUGUAUAAUCUAGAAGACUCCAUGGUUGAACUUAAGCAUAAUGCACAAAUAUCAAAACACAAGUACUUCUUAUUUGUUCUAGAAUCUUCCGUAUCAGAAUUGCCCAAAUGUUUUUCAACGUGAUUUGCCAUUAUUUGUUUUUACUUUAUGUCUUACGACGCACAAUUCCAUGAAUCUUAAAAUAGAUUAGCUUUCUUAUAAAAACUAGAUGAUUUUGAAUGAAAUGAACUAUAAGAAUCAAACGAACAUCUACUUCAUGCAUAUAUGACUCAAAGCUUGCAUGCUAUAAUGUGGUAUUUAUUCAUAAUUUGGUUGCCAAAUCUCAUGCGUGCAAUGCACGUGUACCUUACUCUAGUCUAAAUGGUGUUUGUGUGCGUGUUGUGCGUGUUGAGGUGCAAAUUGUCUUUUUUUGGUACACGUUAAGCUUGUUCUUCCGAAAUUUCAAGCCGCGCCUUGUUAUGCCGAAAAUUCAAGCUAGCGUCUCUGUCUAUCGUCCUGCGAAACUCCCGCCUCUUUAACCCGCGCCUUGUUAGCCCGAAAUAUUUAAGAUGUAUCUUUGUCUCGUUGUGCUCCGACAACUCCCUCCAUCUCAACCCGCGCCUUGCUAUUCCGAAAUUACAACGCGCGCGAAAACUCCCACCUCCUGUGAAAUCCCGACACACGAAAUUCCUGUGGUACCCCUGAACCGAAAGAACCGCCUCAUAUCGGUGGGGGUACUUUCGUAACUUACCCCACAUUUCGGACAAGCGCGUCUCUAAGCCAUGGUUCCCCAUUGCCAUCCCAUCCGCCCACCCAUUCAUACACCGAGGCCGCGAAAACCCGCGACGAAACCCCACACCCUGCUCCGUCCGCCACCCAGCCAGAGCCUCUUCCCCGAUGAUGUUGUCCACAACAACACCUCGACGUCCCUCAUCCAUCGUACCGGAUGAGGAUCUGUCGUCGAUCUCAUUGUCCCGCCGGUUCAGCCACCCCGUCCUCCACCUCCAAGGAGCUGCCCCGACGUUCCCCUCGUCUUUCGCUCCACCUCCAUUCCCACACCACCGUCUUCACCUGCACCAUCGGCAGAGCAUCAUCAUCACCGUUUCCUCGGAUGAAGCUACAGCCUAAUCGGCGCCACCAAAGAGGUUGUACACUAAUCGCCGCAUUUUCUUCUUGAUUCGAUCUCACGGUGCUGCCGGCGCUCGGUCCCGAGCCGACACGGCGCGGCUCCAUCCACGGCAGCGUCGCCGGCCACUUCCUCCACGCGUCGCUCCCUCGGCGGCAACAUCCACAUCAGUAGGAGCUGCUGCUGCUUUAGCUCUCGCUCGCGCUGCUGCUCUGCUCUUGCUCUCGGUCCCCUGCCUGGUCUGCUCUUGCUAUUGCUCUUGCUCGCGCUGCUGCUCUCGCUCUUGCUCUUGCUUNNNNNNNNNNNNNNNNNNNNNNNNNNNNNNNNNNNNNNNNNNNNNNNNNNNNNNNNNNNNNNNNNNNNNNNNNNNNNNNNNNNNNNNNNNNNNNNNNNNNNNNNNNNNNNNNNNNNNNNNNNNNNNNNNNNNNNNNNNNNNNNNNNNNNNNNNNNNNNNNNNNNNNNNNNNNNNNNNNNNNNNNNNNNNNNNNNNNNNNNNNNNNNNNNNNNNNNNNNNNNNNNNNNNNNNNNNNNNNNNNNNNNNNNNNNNNNNNNNNNNNNNNNNNNNNNNNNNNNNNNNNNNNNNNNNNNNNNNNNNNNNNNNNNNNNNNNNNNNNNNNNNNNNNNNNNNNNNNNNNNNNNNNNNNNNNNNNNNNNNNNNNNNNNNNNNNNNNNNNNNNNNNNNNNNNNNNNNNNNNNNNNNNNNNNNNNNNNNNNNNNNNNNNNNNNNNNNNNNNNNNNNNNNNNNNNNNNNNNNNNNNNNNNNNNNNNNNNNNNNNNNNNNNNNNNNNNNNNNNNNNNNNNNNNNNNNNNNNNNNCCGGCGGCGGGGACUGUUUUCGAGGCGGGUGGGGCGGGCACCGCCGGCCGCGGGCGGCGGGGGGCUGCUGUUUGGCCGGUGGUGGCUGGCGGCUCAGGGGGGUGGAGGUUGAAGAUGAACCGCAGGACCUUGAUUUCGUAUCCAACGGCUGCAAAAUCGACUGACCAGAGAUGAAAGAGUCAGUCGACCGACGUGUAGCCUCAGCUUGUUAGUGCGUUCAGUUUCGACAGCAAAAUUCAGUUUCGAUAGCGAAAUUCAGUUUCGACAGUUAAGUUCAGUUUCGACAGUUAAAUUCACUUUCGACAGUUAAGUUUAGAAAUGAGCGGCUGAUGUAUUUUACAUCUAGCACUUUGUGGUUAUGUAUUUUACGUCAUGUAUUGGAGAUGCUAUUAGAAUUCCACUCAGAUUAACGUUGUUCAUUGUCUCUCUUGUCCUGCUUCAGCCUCGGCGUCGUACAACUCACCGAAGUUGCUCCAACGAUGAAACCCUCCAUCACAGCGGAGCAGUACCUCGGGCUCUAUCUCCAGACGCCUAAGAUCUUCUUCCCCUCCUCAGACAGGCAAGUCAGCCGGAGCAUCCUCACCGGCCAACCCAAUCAUGCUGAGAUCGACAUGGCUUCGCCAAAGAGGUUGUACACUUGUUGCAUCUCUUUUUACUCUACAUGUUAUAUAUAUUGUCCACUGAGCACUCGUAGUAACGGGAAAUAUGAUUAUUUUAUCCUAGUAUAUGACAAGCAGUGAGGUACCAGGCAACUUAGCUAUCCGUGCUGGACUCUCUUGAACGCCAUCAUUAUUUAUCUCUGCGCGUUUGAGCUGUGCAUUUGUCGAUGGGCCUGGGAGUUGAGCUAGUAUGGCAGUGGCCUGGGUCCAAAGUAAUAGAAGCAGCACAAAAACAUUUUUUAGUGUAGGAUUUUCCUUGCUCAAGCCUGCCUACUAGAAUCGCCAGUGCUUGAAAGGAAAAGUGAAUGAAAAACAUUGGAAUUGGAAAGUUUCCUAUGGUACUACUUUUCAUGAAUUUAGUGCAAAGGAGAAAACUGUAGGAUUUGUUCCUUUAGUGUCUCCUUGAAAGAAAAACCGUAGGAAUUCUAAUUUCCACUUCUCCUUUUCAUAUUCCUAUUCAUCAAGCACAAGACUAAGAGAUAGUAGCAUAAUAGCAUUAUAACCGUACAUUUUCUUGUGGUUUGACUUAAUCUCACCAUGCUUUUUUGCAUCCUGUGAUCUUCCAAUUGUUGUGAAUCAAACACCCAGAUUGGCAGAAAUCCUGUGUUUUUAAAUUCUCUGUUUUGGACGUGCAUUCCUAUCCUAUUCCUGUCUAUUUCCUAUCCCUGCAUUGUUAGAAUCCUCAAAUUCAAACAAGCCGUUACUCAAUUACUUUUGUUACAGAUAUGUGUCAAAGAAAACCUUGUGUGGUUUGUCUUGCUCCUGCGGCGCUGUGUUCCACCCCAGCUCAGCUGCUCCAAUGACGGAAGGGUUCACCACAGUAGGGAUCUGCUCUCUGGACUGUCUUUCGCUGCCUCAGAUCUUCUUCCCCACCGCCGGCAGCCACGACAACUGCAUUACCAUCAUCAACUGAGCAGAUGACCUUGAGGACUACACGAGUCCGCAAGAGAGGUCGCACUCUUUCGUGUCUGCUUAAGUUAUGCGUCGCUUAAUAUGAUGACAUGCUACAUUAUCGUCGUGUUCACCUAUUAGACUCCGAGUCUGGUCCAAAAUAAUGCUGAAACUUGAGUUUUUAAAUGGUUGUGGGGUACAUAUUGGGGCAGCAAUCAGUACUAUCUGUCUACUAUCUGGUUAAUCUCUGGUGUCUACUAUGAGUUUCAUGUUGGGUGCAAAAAAACAUUAAAGGAGCCAUUAUCUGUAUUUUUUAACUAAAGCUAUUAUCUGCCAGCUAUCACUGGUUUUGGGUCUAUCCACAGUUUACUACCAUCACUCUAGAUUUGUGCAUGCACUCCUUACAUAAUCUCACUAUGUUUUAUUCCUAUGCAUGCCAGUUAUUGUACACAAUGGAACUGAUCAUGUAGAGCAAAAGAGACGAGCCUUGCGUGGCAAUAAAAUUUCAUGCAGACGUCGUUCCAUGGUGGGCGCAAAGGCAGCCCCCCUCCACCCAUUUCGGAUCGUAAUCAAGAGGAAGAUAACUAUUCUGAGGGGGAUUCAGAAGGAGAAGACCACUCCUAUUUACCCCAUGAGGUCUUUGCUCUAACUUGGCAUGCUGACGUUGGUAAUAUCAUGCAUAUGGUGCCUUGCAUUGCUUACUGUAUACAUUAAACAUGUCACCUGCUUAGUUUAGACAUGCUUUGUGUCAAUGCCAUCUGUUUAGUUUCUUUAUCGUAUAUGUGAAUCAUGCAAUUCCAUCUUGUCUAGCCAGGCAUCAUAUAUGUGAAUUUUGCAAUGCCACCCUGGUUAGCCAGUCAUCUUAUAUGUGAAUUAUAUCAUGCCAUAAUUUUUUAUUACAUGUUAAAUUUGUCAACAAUUUUAGUAUAUUCAAUUACUCUUCCUGUGCAUCAGCCAUUCGGCACGGUCAUGAAAAAAAUCUGGAGUGGAAACAAGGUCUUCAGAGCAGACAAUGCUAUCUGACAAAGCACAUGUCUUGCUGGUUACCGAUAGCUCCUGAGAGGAGGAUUCAGAGACAGAUGACCAGUCAUAUCCCCCCCGAGGUGCAUGCCCUAACUUGGCAGGGUUAUGUUGCUCAUAUCGUGCAUAUGGUAUCUUGCAUUGCUAUGUCAUUUGCUUAGUUUAGACAUGCUUUGUGUGAAUGCCACAUGUUUAGUGUCUAAUUACCAUAUAUAUGUGAAUUAUGCAAUGCCAUUUUGUUGCAAGACAUUAUAUAUGUGAAUUAUGCAAUGUUAUCUUGUUGCAAGGCAUUAUGUAUGUGAAUUAUGCAAUGCCAUGCUGUUUAGGCAAGCGUCAUAUAUGUGAAUUAUAUCAUGCCGUCCUUUUUUUGUAUUUCUCAUUGCUUUUGUCGACAAUGUUUGUAUAUUCAACUGCUCUUCCUGUGCAUCAGCCAUUUGAAUUGGUGAUGGAGAAAUCUGGAGUGAAAACAAGGUCUUCAGAGCAGACAAUGCUACCUGCUGAAGCAGAUAUCUUGCUGGUUACAGAUAGCUCUUCAGAGGAGGAUUCAGAGGCAGAUGACCAGUCCUAUUAUCCCCCUGGGGUGUAUGCUCAAACUUGGCAGGGUUAUAUUACUCAUAUAAUGCAUAUGUUCUAUUGCAAUGCUUAGUUUUUACAUCAUAUACACAAUAUUGAAUGCCAUCUCCUUAGUUGACACAUCAUAUAUGCGAUUGCCCUCUGCUCACUUCCUUAGUAUAUAAAUCAUAUAUUUGAAUUAUGUCAUGCCAUGAUGUUUACAUAGACAACAUGUAUCUGAAUUAUGGCAUGCCAACCCAUUUUCUAAAGACAUAAUAUAGUUAUAUCAUCUCAUCCCUUUUACAUAGUCAUCAUAUUUUAAAUUAUGCCAUUCUAUCCAUGAAUUAUAUCAUGCCAUCAUGUUUCCAUCGAUGGCAUGUUUGUGAUUUAUGGCAUGCCAACCACUUUAAUAGACAGAUCGUAUAGUUAUAUCAUGUCAUCCUGUUUACAUAGUCAUCAUAUUUUGAAGAAUGUCAUUCUAUCCUAUUUAGUUAGCCAUCAUACACGUGAAAUUGUGUCAUGCUGUCCUGUUUAAUUAACCAUCAUACAUGUGAAAUUAUGUCCUGCUAUUCUGUUUGCUUAGACAACAUAAAUGUGAAUUAUUUCAUGCCCUGUUUUCUUCCCUACUAUCCAAUGCACCUGUCUAUCUUACAAUGUAUGUACAUUCAAUUACUUUUCUUGUUUAUCAGCCAUUUCAAUUGGAGGGAGUGAUGGCAGUAUCUGUGGGAGUAAAAACACGGUCUUCAGAAAAGAACGUGCUACCUGUCGAUGCAGAUAGAACCACGGUUGUACCUGCCCAAGAACCAGCCCCACCACACAUAACCCACACUCAUGCAGAUUGUACCCCUACCCAGUUGGACAGAGAACCAGCUACACCCCUUCUAACCCCAACCCCAGCAGAUAGACACCCAGUUCCCAUUGACACAACAUCGUCUCCACCACAGAGCACCCAAACACGAGAAGUUAGUAAGGCAACUGCAGUGCCCAAAUCACGAGGACCACCGCUCCAAACCCGAAGUCAAUGCUUAAAGCAGAAGAAGAAUUGUUCUCAGGUCAGGUUCCGUAGCUAUGGUUCAUACUACUUUGCUCUUGCAUCACUGUAUUUAUUGGUACCAACUAAUUUCAAAUUUGAAGGAUGCAAUUGAAACUCCAAUGGCGCAACAUGUAUGUUUUAAACCUGUUUCUUCAACGUGUUUGGCUAUUUGCUGUUGUAACUUGCUCUAUGUUGGUUUCAGUUUCAAUUGAAUAAACAGUUAUGUUCUCAUGCCAUGCACAUUACAAGUGUUGUUGUUGCUGUGUAGUUUCCCACACUUAUAUUCUGUCUAUGCUGCUUUGUCUUAAAUAUAUAUGAUUCGAACUGUAUCUAUCUUGAUUUGGCAACAUAAACUACAAUGAUAUAGACCAUACAGUGACCAUACUACAUAGAUAUAUGUUUGUUGCAUGUUGUUAUCCUGUCCACCUUACUACUGAACUGGUUUACCAAAAUGAGUUUCAUAUACUACAUUGUAAACCUGAGAUGUGUUUGUUUGUUUCUCUUUUAGAACGCGGAUAAAAUAUUGGAGAAGAGUAUCCUGUUAUGCAAUGGUAAAGGAAGUAAUGUAGAUAAGGUUCAAGAUAGUGAGACAUCCCUGUUGGUCUCCAAGAAAGCUGAUAAAAACUAUAUUGAAGACACUGAGACAACCCCAAAGUCCUGUCUUGAUGUAGUGUUUGAGUUACUGGCUACCACUGCUAGCACCAGCUCUUCAAACUCGUUGCCUGAAUCAGUUCGGCUUCUUGAGUCUCAACUUCAUGUUGAAAGACAUCGAUCAGAUGUUAUGCGACAGGAAGCUGAAGGACUGAGGAAGUCCCUGUAAAAUUCAGAUGCAAACUUUCUGGUGUAACAGCAAGCGCUGGAGGACUUAAGCGCCAAACAAGAGAAAGUUAAUAAGCUUGCUAAGCAUCUUGCCAGCAUUAUGGGUACCCAGGAUAUUGUUUCUUGAGCUCUUCUGAAGUGGUUUCAGUUCUGGACUUGUUUUGCUGCGGCGUUUAUAUGCUGCUGCGUUCCCUAUAUUUGCACUGGUGGCGAACUUUGAUGCCGAGUGGAUGUAAUAUGUGUAAUAGCCAUGAUAGCCUAGUGUAAGUUGCUUGCUUAUUUAUUUCCUUAUUGUCUUGUUUAUUUGUUUGCUUGUAGUCUGUGCAGUUCUUUUUCUGCGGUUUGCUAGUGGCUGCAAUAACCUAUUUUUUAAAACUAGGCCACAAUAACCAUGGGCUAAUAUUUACUAUAGUGACACUGGGCCUCCUACGGGCCGUAGAAACAGUGGGCCUUCUACGGGCCGUAUAAAUAGUGGGCCUUUUACGGGCCGUAGAAACAGUGGGCCUUCCAUGGGCCGUAGAAACAAUGGGCCUUCUACGGGCCAUAGAAACAAUGCGCCUUCUACGGGUUGUAUCAUCAAUGGGCCUUAUACGGGCCGUAUGGUCGAUUGGCCAAACAUGGGCCAAACAUACCGCAUUUUGGCCGUAAACGGACUAGAGUUGGAAUCGUCCGUUCAUGGGCUGACCAUAACGGGGCAUCAUUAAUAGGCCGUAUUUGAUGACUCUAUGGAAACGGCCCAAAGUAUUAAUGGACCACAAACGGGCCGACUGUAACCACGGGCUGAAUUUGGCCCACAAGCAGAAAAUGACAGUAACGGGCCAUAAGUAAAUGAAUGCUGGAUAAUAGACCAAGAAUACAUGGGCUCUGAGAAGGCCGAAAGAUAACAUGGGUUGGAAACGGCCCAACGGAAUAAUGGGCCGUUAAUGGGUAUAAAGUGAUACACUGUUCUUUACAGGCCAGUUUCACCACGGGCCGUUAAUGGGUGUAAAGUGAUACACUGUUCAUUAUGGGCCAGUUUCACCAUGGGCCGUUAAUAGGCCAAGAGUUACAUAGAGCCUCAUAUGGGCCGAAAGACGUCAUGGGUCAUACAUGGGCCAGAAGUGAAAAUGGGCUGGAAUCAAAUUGGAUGGCCCAGAUGACGCCACUGAGCCUAAUUCGAAUAGGGCGUAACGGGCCUUGGGUUAGCGAUUUGUAAAUGGGCUAUAUGCGAACAAGCCGUUAACAGGCUUUCCAUGGGCCGGCCCACCACCUUUUGACCAAGUCAAACGGGCCGGCCUUUUCACAGGAAUGGGCCUCUGUUGGGCCGUGCCACAUGUCGACGUAUCAUAGGUGCCUUCUAUCCAAUGAGUGGAUGACAUCUGUCCAAGCGAUGAGCCGACACGUGUUUCCUCCAGCCAAUGAUGAUUUUACACGUGGAAAAUCCCCAUUGGUCGGGGCUGUUAACGGGUUAUCGGAUCCAAAACCCGACCCGAUAGCUUAACGGUGUUCCGUUACAGUGGAUGCCACGUGUCGGUCACCCUUGACAAAAGCACUUUUGUGACGCGCGAUUUAUCAUCAUGGAAGUAGACACUUCUAUGAUGAUAAUAUUGGUAAUGUCAUGGAAGACUUCUACGACAGCACAUGUAUGACUAUCUUGAUUCUAUCAUAAAAUCGUCAUGGAUGUACAUGCAUGACAGAAAACGCGACCUACUGUGACAAACACGUAUCAUCACAGAAGUGUAUUUUUUUUGUAGUGUCGGGGUACUAGCAGCGGAGGUCCGCCAUGUACUCCUUGGCGGCGGCCUCCGCCGCGAUGUGUUCCCUCGCCUCUCAGUGGUGGGACGAGCUCGACAGAUGAACCAUGCAACCAGACCUACCAUCGAUCGUACUCGAGAGCGGCGAGCUUUGGAUGUCGAAGGACCCGAGCCACUUCUUGAUGUGGAUCUCACGGUUGGUUAUCUCCACCAUCCACGUCCUACUCGUCCGUUGUGUAAGACGAGGUACUUCCUCUGCGACUGCCAUGGCAGAGGAAGGUCGGGGAAGUCGGAGAUGCAGCGGGAGGGGGCCACAUCCGUGGGGCUGCGGUGGCUUGAGGAGGUGCCGCUUGAAGACAUGCGACUCGUGUGGCAGCAUGGAUCUGCGUUGCGGAUCAUUAGCGGGGAGCGCCGGCCACGGGGUCUGGCCAUUGUGGGGAGGGGGUGGCCUGCAAUAACCGGGGGGAGGGGUGGGGGAGGGUGGGUGGCAGGUGGUGGGGUGGGGGAGGAGGAGAGGCAGAGAGACGAGUGAUAAGAGGAGGAUAAAUUAUUCUCCUCUAACGAUUAUUGGAGUUCGGCUUGGUCCCAGUUAGAGGAGUAAAACAGGGGUUUACCUCCUCUAACCAGUUAUGGGGGAUCGUUUAGAAAUGCCCUAAGAUGUUUUAUAACUGGGUAGUAGAGGAAGUACAUUAAUAAACAAGAUACCAUACUUACCCUCCCCCAUUAGACUUAUAAUAUGACAUUCCCCACCGCUGACCAUGCUUGCUUCUGCCCCAGUCGUGGGGCGCUUGCCCGCCAUCGUGAUAGAACAAAAUGUAUCGUAGCUCCCCAGUGUCCACCCCAUGUUGGCAAGGCAUGGACUUGUUUGAUAUCUAUGUUAUCAACUCAAGGUAGCACAUGUAAAACUCUUUUCAAAUUCUUAAAGAUAUGUGUCUACAAUCCCAUAAUUCAAACCAAAGUUCGGUCCAUGUAUAGAGAAGAAAAAUGAACAAAUCCAUCGUGAAUAGGGUCUUUUUGCUACAAUGUUGAGGUGAAAUCUAUUUAUUUUUAGCUCAUCUAUGCAUUGUUCAAAUUUGGAUAUGAAAUUUCUCUAUGCGGACCCAAGGAAACGUGGGGCUACCUUGCAUAAUCAUAGCCAAGUAGACUGGGCCUAUUUGGAAGACCCGUGUGCAUACUGGUCUUCUAUUAACAUUUACUUGGGGUGACUCCUCUUGGCAUUUAGUUUUUUCUUUAGAAAAGGAGGUUGAAACCGUGGCCUCUGUGUCAUUACUAUGUAGACAACCAUUCUCAUUAAUUAAGCAGAAUACAUAACAAAGGCAACCACGUCCGAACCGUUACAAGAUAAGAAACAAACACUUACGACUAAGCUCUUCCGCAACAAUGCCUUCAAGAAAGGUACACUUCCUUACACCAAUGUUCCCACGUCCAGCCGGAGAUGGCCAGGACAAGAAUUUUUAUCCUGGUUGUCGUGACCAAUUAGUGAAGACCAGCACAUCAGCAAGUAGACAAUGAAUUCAAUAAGGUAACGACGCAAGUCCAUAGCUACUGAGCCCGACCAAUAAAGGCCAGGACAAGUUUUCAUCCCGAACAUAAACUGUGUUGCACACAUCAUCUUGAAGUUAGUCAUUCGACAGCCACAUCCAUCAGCCCUUUACGCCGGGCCUAAAAAACAAUAGCAGAUUAGUGGGACUACUUGCUACCUUAUGCCACGAGCACGGCCAUCUGGAGGUCGUCAUGUAUCAGGUAGACCUCGCCGCUGAUAUGUCUCCAACGUAUCUAUAAUUUUUGAUUGCUCCAUGCUAUAUUAUCUACUGUUUUGGACUAUAUUGGGCUUUAUUUUUCAAUUUUAUAUUAUUUUUGGGACUAACCUAUUAACCGGAGGCCCAGCCCAAAAUUGCUGUUUUUUUUCCUAUUUUUGUGUUUCAGAUAAACGGAAUAUCAAAUGGAGUCCAAACGGAAUAAAAUCUUCGGGAACGUGAUUUUCUCACCGAAGGUGAUCCAGGAGACUUGGACCCUACUGCAAGGAAGCAAAGAGGUGCUCACGAGGGUGGGGGUGCCCCCCCUAGGGCGCACCCCCUGCCUCGUGGGCCCCUCGGUGCUCCACCGACGUACUCCUUCCUCCUAUAUAUACACACGUACCCCCAAACAAUCAAAACAGGAGCCAAAAACCUAAUUCCACCGCCGCAACUUUCUGUAUCCACGAGAUCCCAUCUUGGGGCCUGUUCCGGAGCUCCGCCGGAAGAGGGCCAUCAUCACGGAGGGCUUCUACAUCAUCAUAGCCUCUCCGAUGAAGUGUGAGUAGUUUACCUCAGACCUUCGGGUCCAUAGUUAGUAGCUAGAUGGCUUCUUCUCUCUCUUUGAAUCUCAAUACAAAGUUCUCCCCCUCUCUUGUGGAGAUCUACUCGAUGUAAUCUUCUUUUUGCGGUGUGUUUGUUGAGACCGAUGAAUUGUGGGUUUAUGAUCAAGUCUAUCUAUGAAUAAUAUUUGAAUCUUCUCUGAAUUCUUUUAUGUAUGAUUGGUUAUCUUUGCAAGUCUCUUCGAAUUAUCCGUUUGGUUUGGCCAACUAGAUUGAUAGUUCUUGCCAUGGGAGAAGUUCUUAGCUUUGGGUUCUAUCUUGCGGUGUCCUUACCCAGUGACCGAAGGGGCAGCAAGGCACGUAUUGUAUUGUUGGCAUCGAGGAUAACAAGAUGGGGUUUAUUUCAUAUUGCAUGAAUUUAUCUCUCUACAUCAUGUCAUCUUGCUUAAGGCGUUACUCUGUUUUUAACUUAAUACUCUAGAUGCAUGCUGGAUAGCGGUCGAUGAGUGGAGUAAUAGUAGUAGAUGCAGAAUCGUUUCGAUCUACUUGUCACGGACGUGAUGCCUAUAUACAUGAUCAUGCCUAGAUAUUCUCAUAAUUAUGCAUAGUUCUAUCAAUUGCUCAACAGUAAUUUGUUCACCCAUCGUAGAAUACUUAUGCUCUUGAGAGAAGCCACUAGUGAAACCUAUGGCCCCCGGGUCUAUUCUCAUCAUAUCAAUCUCCAUCACUUUUAUAUUGUUUUGCUAUUUACUUUGACUUUACUUUUUUACUUUGCAUCUUUAUAUCAAAAAUACGAAAAAUAUUCUAUCUAUCAGAUCUCACUCUCGGUAGUGACCGUGAAGGGCUUGACAACCCCUAAUCGCGUUGGUUGCGAGUAGCUAUUGCUUUGUGCAGGUACGAGGGACUUGAGCGUGGGCUCCUACUGGAUUGAUACCUUGGUUCUCAAAACUGAGGGAAAUACUUACCCUACUCUGCUGCAUCAUCCCUUCCUCUUCGGGGAAAACCAACGCAAGCUCAAGACGUAGCUGCCGCCAUCACUCCACACUGGUGCUAUUCAAACUUCAACAUCCACCAAACCGUCGAACCCGCUGCUUAGGAAGAUUUCCUUGGCGAGCACCUACAACAAUCGUGCUUGGAGAUAUGGCGACGUGUCUGCAGAAGACCGCUAUCCUCACCCUUAAUAUCUAUCUAUCUAAUAUGAGACUAGAAUGCGAUGGGAACUGCUUAUUUUGUAUUCCUGUUUCUACCUUGUUGUAAUUGCUACAAGAGGUUGUAAACCUUCUAAUUUUGAAGAAAGUGUUUGGUAUGUUCCUAGUUUUUCUAAUACGCUAGUUCAUCAUUUG